GCACUUACUGGUAUUGUUACUCUGAUAAUUAAACAUAUUUAUUAUGUAAUUGAUUUUGGAAACAAUUUAUGAUUGUAAUCUCAUAUUUGAAAAUGAAAUUUUUAUCCGGUUUUUCGGUUGUUACAUAAUAUUCUAAGGUUUAAAAUUAGUGGCUCAUAUUGGUUUUCGCGUUCUCGAUUGCAUAAUUGUUCUAGUUUGAACUUAAUCUAAAAAAUGGAGAGUAAAAAUAGAAAGAUUAUAGGGAAGUCUCCGAAAAAGUCUCAAAGUUUUGGUCCGGUAUACAGUUUAGUCCUAAAUUAUUUUUUUCCUCUAUGAAAAAGUCUAAGAUACUGGCUAAUAUCCCAUUUUUACCUUCUGAGCAGGUAAACUGCCUAAAUGACAUGCCGAGUUGGCAAAGCUGUUGACGUGACGCUGAUAAAAAUCAUGUUUUUAAUGUAUAUUGGGGGAAGAGGGUUUCAAUCCUCUGGCCUCCUAAACACAAACAACGCCUCUUACCAUUAACGUAGAACAAUUUUUAUGCUUCAGUUGCUGAAAUUAUAUAUAUAAUCCAUUAAUUCUCACCUUAAAAACACUCAAAAGUAUAGAUAGUGAAACUAGCACUCCGGUUUCCCCCUCAUGAAACACACUUCCUGCCAGGGCCGGUCCAAUGGUUUUUCAUGCCCCGGGCGAAACGGAAUAAUAGUGCCCCAUUUUUACGUGAUUGAUUUACUUAAAACCUUUAAGAGAAAUAUAAUUUAGAAAUCAACAAUAUUAUAAGACCUUUUAUCUAAAGAUGCUAUACAAACUAACACACACAAAGUUGGCUUAAAACAAUGUCUUACAACAUUCUUGAAACAACAAAAUCUACGAACUUUGAUACAACUAAACCAGUCAACUUUUUUGAAACACCAAUCAUGGUGUCCUACUUUCUGAGUAUUACCAAGAAUAGCAAACAACUUGUGAAUACCACACAAACAACAUGAUCAACAACGAGCUUAUGACUUCACCCUAUUAGUGACUAAAGCCGAUGUACAAAUCAGAAUAGCACUAAACCCCCAUAUACUGAGUAAAUCUUCAAUCCAACAAUGAAUGUAAUAUAUCCCUCUGCUUCCUUCACCUUUCAGAAUAAUCUCAGAAAAUCAAUUGCAAAUCAUAACUUAAUAAACAAAUUUUGAACUCAAAUAGAAGGAAAAUCGGACCAAAUCGAACUACAACAGGUACACUAAUUUCUAUUGUGAACGAACUCCAACAACAGACAACAGUGCACAAAAAUCACGCUGAAACAAACAAAAAAAUCCGAUUAAGAGAAAUUAAAAUAAGAAUAAGAGGAAAUCAAACUCACCCAAAUCAAAAUAAAAGAAAUAAGAAAUCAAAAACCUUAAAACCAUCUGAUUUUGGUGCCCUCGGUGGUUUGCUUUAGAAUUAAAAACAAUAAAUAAAAACACUCACCCAAUUCAUAGGAAUUAGAAGAAACAAGAAGAAAUAAGAUUUAGAGGGAUAUAUGUGUAAUCGGUAUAAGUUCAUCGAUUUAAAGGCUGCCUCCUUGAUCUCUAUAGUGUACGUUAUUCAAGGGCAUCGUCGAUUGGAUUUGGCGAUUACAAUUCUCAAGGUGCUUCAAACCUAAUUAUUUAGUGCCCAUGCUCGCCUCGCCUAGACACCGGUGUUUUGUCGAUAGAAAUAAAUAUUGGGUUAAACUGUUGGGCCAAAAUGGUAUACAAAGAAUUAUAUAUCCGAUUAAAUUUAUGCCCUCUCUUUUUUGCUGUCCUGGGCCUUAGCCUAGCUAGCCCAUGUAUUGGGCCGGCCCUGCUUCCUGCCACUUGGGCUACACCACUUUUAAUGAUUUCUUUCCAUUUAUAUAUAAUCGUUUAUUUUCUGAACAUUAUUAUUAUUAUUAUUAUUAUUAUUAUUAUUAUUAAAAAAUACGUUUUAAAUACAUUUUUCAUAUAUAUUUCUGAAUCUAGUUUUAAAUAUGUUUUCAAAAAUAUUUUUUUAAAAACAUAUAAAUUAUACAAAAACGUAACCUAUUCAAAAGCGUAUUUUCAAAAAAUAUUUUUUNNNNNNNNNNNNNNNNNNNNNNNNNNNNNNNNNNNNNNNNNNNNNNNNNNNNNNNNNNNNNNNGACUAUAUCUAUUUAUAAAAUAAAAAAAUAAAUGAAAGUCGAGGAGCCCAACACACAAGUUUUAGCCAACCUGUUUCUAUUUCUUAAUGUUUUUAAGGUGAGAAAUACAGUCACUAAUUAUGUGUUGGUGUGAGCUUUCAAACUUGAGGUUAUGAGUUUGAUUUUCACUAUCUCGUUUGUAUUUCGGCAUUUAUUUUUUAAAUAAAACAAAAGUAGCUGACGGGAAUACAUUGUCAGCUGCCACGUCAGCCAAGUCAGAUGUCACAUGAGCAAUUACUGGUUAAGUAGGUUAAAAUAAUCAAAAUGAUUACAUUAGACGAUAUUUUGUCUUUCUUCAUUAAAAAAAUUAAUUAAAAUGUAAACGAUAAACUAAACCAAUUUUUAGGAUUUUUUGAGAGAUUUUUUAAAAAUUAUAAAUGUCCGGAAUAGUCUAGCAAAGUGUAUUAUUUGGAGUGCUCAAUUAAUUAAACCACGUGUCUAAUCCACUCCCCAACCAACCCUACUGGCUAAAACGCUAAAACUAGAUGGUAGCCAUUCAUGCAAGCAUGUAAUUACGGAAAACUUAGACAUCCAAUAGCCCUACUUCGCUUACCACACUAACUACCCAACUCUCUCUAUUAUAAAUACCUUGCUUUCUCCAAUGAAAUUAAUCACACAUUUAGAGAAUCUUUUACACAAAGAGAGGAAGACCGCUCGAAGACUUAGUCAGGUGCUUCCCUUCUCCAAUGAUCUUCAUAAUUCAUAUAAAACUCUACGCAACUUUAUAUCGGCAAUGAUAUAUGUGAAGUAGAUACACGUAAAAGGUAUCCUUGCAAUUAACCACAUGCAUGUUCGUCCUGCUGUUAUUUUUCCUAUUCACGAGUUCAUUCGCUCAUUACUAACAAGAAUUGGAACUUAAAUCAGAUUGCAUGACUAUAUAUGCACCAUUUUUCUUAAUGCAGGUCACUGUAGAACAUGGUCGCAGGUGGGCAAAUGAAUAAACCAUCAAAAGGAAGCAAAAAUUACGAUGAGGAGCCCCUCCAACGAGCCCCUUACAAAAAACCACCAUUCACAAUUGGGGAUCUCAAGAAAGCAAUCCCAUCGCAUUGUUUUAAUCGCUCCAUCCUCCGCUCUUUCAGUUACCUUUUAUACGACCUCUCGUUACAUCCACCUCCUCUCCCGCAACCUCUCCUGUCUCGCAUGGCCUGUUUACUGGUUCUUUCAAUCCUCUGUCGUAGGUGGUGUUUGGAUCAUAGCACAUGAAUGUGGCCACCAUGCCUUCAGUAACUACCAAUGGGUCGAUGACACCGUUGGGUUUCUACUACAUUCUGCUCUCCUUGUCCCUUAUUUCUCUUGGAAAUACAGUCACCGCCGCCACCAUUCCAACACCGCUUCACUUGAACGUGAAGAAGUCUUCGUCCCUAAACUAAAAUGUAAUCUCCCUUCAUUAGUUGUCUACCUAAACAACCCACCUGGUCGAGUCCUUUAUAUAUAUCUUGUUCGUCCACACCCUAGGCUGGCCUCUGUACCUAAUGUUCAACUAUGGUGGCAGGAACUACGAUAGGUUUGCAUGCCACUUUUACCCAAACAGCCCUAUUUACUCGAAAAAUGAACGUGCUCAGAUCAUUGUUUCUGAUGUUCGGGUCGUUAUUGUCACUUACUUCCUCUACAAUCUAGUGAUGACCAAGGGGCUCACAUGGGUGCUCUGGAUGUAUGGCGUGCCACUGCUCAUUGUCAACAUUUCACUUAUUUGUGUUACAUUCUUGCAUCACACGCACUCUUCGUUGCCCCACUAUGAUUCAACGGAAUGGGAUUGGCUGAGGGGAGCUCUUGCAACAGUCGAUAGAGAUUAUGGGAUCUUGAACAUAACAGGCCACAACAUCACUAAUACCCACGUCAUCCAUCAUUUAUUCCCGAAAAUACCUCAUUAUCAUGCAAUGGAAGCCAAGAAAGCAAUCAAGCCCAUAUUCAAAGAUUAUUACAGGUUUGAUGAAACACCGAUUCUGAAAGCCUUGUACAGAGAAGCAAAAGAAUGUGUAUAUGUUAAAUCAGAUGAUAAUGAAGAGGCCAAGGGUGUCUUCUGGUUUGACAAUAAGUUUUAAUCACGGGAGAUUGUAUAAUUGUAUUUCCCAAAUAAGAAGUUGAAGCCUAUAUUGCUUAGUAAUUUUAGAUUUGUGUUUGUUUUCUAUGCAUCUAAAAUCGACUUUAGACUUUAGAUUAUAUAUAAUAAAAUGAAUAAUUUGUUACUACAUCCUGUAAUUAUUUGCUUAAAUGGCUCUUCACUUCUACUAUGGUAAGAGUUGAUCAAGAAAAUCAUUUAUUUACUAUGCCAAACUCAACCUGUCAUUAACCUUACUGUUUCUUAGGUCUAUUUCUUGCCAUCUUCUUUAUCAUUUUUAAAAGGGAAGACUAAACAUAAACAUUCAUAUAUCAUUCCUGAUCCCAGUAAUAGUAAGUUGUGGAUUUCCAUUUUAGGAAACCAACAUGGCCGAUGGCCGGUUCCGAGGAUUCAAAUGGUCAAGACGAGCCGGAAAGGCUCUUAGGCGGUUGUGGAUCCAGGAUCAAAAUAAAGGGGUAUAAAUUUUUCAGAAAAACAUUACACUACUAAAAAAACAAAUCGAAAAAAAGUUACACUCCUGAAAUAUUUUUGAAGGGCAUCCCGGGCUACCUACACUACUGAAAUAUUUUUGAAGGGCAUCCCGGGCUACCUACACUACUGAAAUAUUUUUGAAGGGCAUCCCGGGCUACCCCAGGAACCACCUAGAUCAGCCUAUGCCCUUAGGCCUUACCAUGUAAUGAAUAAAUUACAGAAUUUGAUAAUAUGAUAAUGGCAUGGAAUAAUCUAUUUUCUCAUUAAUGCUUCCACAAAUGACAAGCAAGUAAAACAACAAUGAUAACAUAUAUAAUUAUAAAUCAAAAGUUCCUUAAAAGGACUAGACGUCUAGACUUUAGACCCAAAGAAAAAAAUGUUACAGUUUAGUAUUUAAUAUGAAUGGAUUAAAUUUAUCUAAUAAAUACUUAUGUUCAUAAGUCUCUUUCAAUUUUCAAUGGGAAGGAGGUUUUCAAUAACCCAAAAGAAGUUUCUAUUGAAUGAUUUCCAAUUUACCCUCAACCUUUUAUAAAUAUGAUAGGUAUAUUCUUUGUUUCAUUGUUAAUGCGUCUUCUCCAAGAUUUAGUCAUGCCCAAGACAUUUAUUACUUAUUUUUCUUGUUUCUGGUCGUGUCUUUGCCCACAAGUUAGUUCAAUUUGAGUGUGAAUUUUGAUUUUGCUUCAUUGAUCUUAUGUUCAAACGACUAGUUUAGAAUUAAAUAUAUAAUAUCAUUUCCACCAUAAAUCUGUAAUCGUAUUUGGUUGUUCCAUAAGGGUUUAGAAAUCUAUCAGGAUCAAAUACUGUAGGAUUUUCCCAAUAUUUUGGAUCCAUGUGUAUUGCCCAGACAUUAAAAAAGCACAUUGGAACCCUUUGGGACCAUGUAUCCACUUACAUUGCAAGGCAUAUUUGGACAUCUCCCUAUCAAGAGAGCAUGGUCGGUGAUGAAUUAAUGAAUGAUGAUAAUCAAUUACAUGAUAAUGAUUGAUUAUGUGAUGCAAAUGACUUAAUGAGACUCUAAACCCUUCACCCCCUUGUCGAUGUAAGAUGUUCUGCUGUGAUUUAACGAUUUACUUUUGUUGCUUCUGUUCUCAUUCUCGCGUCUGGACUACGACACAUAAUAUGGACUAUUUUUGAGCUUACAUUUAGGCUAAUAUUGAAUAUACUAAAAACAUUGGUCCCCUUGAAAAAGUAGGCCUUGUGCACAUGCCCAUAUUGCACACCCUCUUCUCCGGCCAUGGAAACCAAUGACUAUGCUAACUAGUGCAUUAUACUCUUGGACUCCAAGCUCCAACCGAGAGCUUGGGUCACACGACCUAUAUAAUCCACACCUAAAUGGGUCUAAAACCCAAACCCUUGAAGUCUAGGGCAAUCACUAGAUCCAUUAAUGCCCAUAAUUCCCGAAAUAGGAAGCUUCUCGAAACUAUAUGUUACAACUCUCCCCCACUUAAACUGGAUUUCAUCUUCAAAAUUACUCCUUGUUACUUUCCAGGCACCAAGACAAUCCAGUCAAUUCUUCUCGAACCCUGCUUCGGCUAAAUGCCGAUUCAUCCACAUGACGAUCUUCCAAUGCUAUAAUCGAAGCCCAAUCUUAGCAGGAAUCACACGUCCUGAUGGAGAAUGAAUCAUUGACCUACUAACUUUAAAUAAUACAGAAUAACCACUACUUUCCUACCAGAAAUCCUAUAAUCCAACACCUUUUCUGGCCUCCACACAUGCAGAACCAUUCCGAAAUAUAGUCACUAUGACCUCACACUGCAAUCAAAACCAAACGAAAUCCUUUCGCUCCUAUAUUAUCUUGUUGAUACCACUGGAAAACAGAAUCCACGACCAUUCAUCGCUGCUGAACAACUUCCCCUUGGAUAAUGGUUGAAACUCACAUCACGAAUCUCAGCCGUAUUCGCUAACCCGAUCUAUAAUUCACAUCCCGAUAACCAAAGAUCCACACAUUCAUUCUAUCCGAGGUCCUCUAUUUCCAUGGUGACCUUCUACUAAACUGAGAUAUAAAAUCCCUAAUCAUCCACUAAGACUAAUUGUCUCACGCUUGGCCCCACUACGAGGCUCCAUCUAUCAGUCAAACAGAUAAGGGCUACCCUAGCCUAACUACAACACGAAUUCGGUGUAUUGCUCGUAGAGUAAUCCUACCCUAACCACGAUCCAAUACCUUAACCAAACUAAUUUCUACCAAGUUUCACCCUAAAGAGUCACACACUGACUACCCUACGCAUAACCCCAAAUGCCUAUACGAUCUUCUUCCCUAAGUUAACCUACUCAAUCGGGUAUUGCCCAUGGGUCUCACCCAAUCUACAUAAUCGAACGAGCCUCGCUCAUGUGUCUCACCCAUCUGAGGGCUAUUUGAGCCCAAGACACCGUCACAACUCCGACAAUUCUUAUUCCCAACCAGGUGCAGUCAACAAAGAAUAACAGUUCGACUCAACCAAUGUGUGCAAUGUGAUCCUUCUACAACCAUCAACCUGUGACAUCCCCAAAAUCUCGGCCAGAAAAGACCGAUUUUUCAUUUAUGCUUUUAAAUAAUUUCAGAGUAAAUCCUUUUGAUUUGAAAGAGUUGCGGAAUUUGUUCCCAAAACAAAACAUGAUAAAAUAAUAUUUAUCAAAGCAUUUCAUCAAGAGAUGCAUUUUCAUUAUAAUCAAAACUCGGGAUGUCAUGUUCCGAUACAGAUAUACAUAUAAAACUGAGUGCCACUUCCUGUAAUACAAAUAAAACUGAGUGGGUCCAUCUUACGCCCUUGUGCAAAUAUAUACAUAUACAGACUUGCAAACAAAACAACAAGAUGAUCCAUCUAUCUUACGCCCUUGUGCCACUUCCUGUAAUACAAAUAAAACUGAGUGGGUCAGGCUUGGGAGCCUGGUGAGCAUAUGGGUUUUCAACCCACAAUAAAUAAGUUAUAUUUAAUUUCACCAACCAAUCACUAUCCCGAUUACCCAUUCCCGUUAUCCUCACUUUACGUCCCUAAAACAACAUCUAUCUCAAGGGACCUAAUCUAGGAUUUUCAUCGGGACGGACAUCACUGCUAGAAGAAUUUAUAAUUAUUGGUUCGUUUCAAAGGCAACCAUGAAGGGGAUAGAGUACACCGGUGAACACAUCGUUCACAACACCUACAGGUUAUGAACCUGCUAGCGUUCCACUGGACUGUCUAGAAAGAGUCCGUGGUCGUUAUCCAUACUCCGCUGAAUAACUAGAUCAACAACCGAGGCCUCUCAUCUAUUUAUUACACACCAACUAUCUACCCAUGUUCUACCCAACAUAUUAGUAGAUAAAAAUAUAUAUUUUCAUACAUAGUUAAAAACCUGCAUAACAUUUUCAUUCAAUAUAUAUUCCACAUAACAGAUGAGGCAUACCACAUAACACGUAUUCCAUAGAAAACAAUUCAAAUCUAUGAGAUAGAAUAAAGUGAAUAUCCGUUCACGCAUACAAUCACAAAAUAUACACAUAACAAGUAUAUCGUAUAAAAUACUUCAUAGUUACUCGUUAGAAGAAAGUAACUACACCCUCACACAUAUAAACCACAAUUUACUUAAUACACUCAAACCGCACUUGUAUUAUUAUCGUGUUUAUGAAAGGUAGUAUACACUCACUUGAUCAGAAGAUGAUCGGACAGCACUACGACUUGCAGAAGUAGUAAUCCUCAGCAGAUCUGGAAGAUCUUCACAAAAAUCGAACUUCUCGCGGGCAGAGCUUCGACUCGGGAACCGCACUUCUCGGGAUCUUCGGGAUCUCGGGACUUGCCUCGGGGCUCGAGAAUAAUACCGGGGCUUCGGGGUAUUUCUGGCACGCAAAACGAUGCAAAACGGGAGAGAGAAGAGAGAAAAUGAACAAAAGAAUCGGCUGCCUUCGGAUCCUAUUUAUAGGAGGCUGGAGCCUUGGAGUACGCGGGGCGUACGCGUCCGAAUUCGUCACUGCUUACGUAUCCGAAGUCCUCGAGUGCGAGUGUCGACAUCCUCGGAGUACGCGGGGCGUACUUCGGAUCGGACCGCUGACUCCUCUUCGGAUAAUGUCAGAUUUAAUGAUUUAAUUUAAAUACAAAAUAAUUAAUAAACUUCGGAAAUUCAUAUCUUUUUCAUACGAACUCCGUUUUCGACGUUCUUUAUAUCCACGCGAAGCUGAGACUACGCUCUACAACUUUCAUUUAGAUUCCGUUGGCUAAUUUCGACUUUAUUUUUAUUAUUUAUUUUUAAUAGGCCGCGACAGAAAAACUUCGUUAUAAAUUCAUAACUUCUUCGUUUGACGUCCGUUCUCGCCUAGCUUUUUAUUGCUUCGAUACCAACAACGAGACCUUCGAUCCUCGUUUAGAUUGCUUCGGCUAAAAACCGCUCGAUCUUAAAUCGAGUAUUUCAGGCUGCAUACCGCUAAGUCGAAACUUUGAUAAAUCAUAACUUCCUCAUACGAAGUCAGAUUUGGGCGUUCUAUAUAUAUUCGGAAACCUCGUUUCAACUACUACAACAUUAUCCAAAGAUAUUAAGUUUAUUUUACACUUAAAUUUUGACGCUUAUUUUUAUUCUUAAUUAAUCAAACCACAUAAUUAAGCAGUUAAGCACAAAACACAUAAUACUCAAAUAAUACACUUCUAUUAUUUCAAAACGGGUUACAAAGGUUAACCUAGACUAUUACAUUGCUAAAAACGGCAAGCCCAGAAACACAGGCGUUACACAACCACUCAUGCAAUGGUUCAACCCAUCUUGGUGAAUGCUACGACUACCCAUAGUCUUACAACCCUUCCAUAACAACAUAUCAACCUUGUGAAUGCUACGACUACAAGUAGUCUUACAACACUUCCAUAAUAGCCAUCCUUCACCCAUACUAAACCAUGAUCAAUCAUGAAUCGAAACCUCGCUCGACUAUUCACAAAUCAAGUAACGGGUCAUGCUUCGAACCCCAAAGCCUUUAUCACACAAGAACACACAGAGAGGCUCUAACACAUCCCUUAACGUGCGGCUAGUCACAAUCUCAACAUGUGUCACUACCGAUGCUUCCUGUAUUCGACACAAUAACCAAAAUCCUCAUUCCUUGUGCAUCCUUAGUCCAUACCACGAAUAGAACUAGCUCUCCACUUUCUUGGGGUAUGGAAUUCCUCCUUUUUUUGUGUCCAGAAUCAUCCCCAUUAAUUCAAGCGGUUCUCCCCCACUUUUAUUCAUCUACUCUUUGCCAACCUUCUAAUUCCAAUGAAUGUUAAACCCUUCACCAAAACGGACGGAUCUCCAAUCCGAUAACCUACUUACCAAAAGGUUGAUGCACUAUAAACAUUUCCAACAUACACAAGUUAGAUCCUAUUGACAAUCCCAACGUUUGAACACACCCAUGCGGCCAAUUCAUCUUGAUAGAUUUAGCUCAACAAUGCAUGAGUUUAUAGUCAUAAUGUAUGUCUUGGGUCUCUUUGAUCCAUGCAAAGGGUUCAAGUUAACGAAUUUAUCAUUUAAGGCAUUCCCAAGAGCUAUCUCUAUGAUUUGGACAUUUGGAAUUAAGGAAUUAAGCGAUUAAUGUGACUUAUAGUCAUCAAGGGAGUACGUUGUGCAUAAAUUGGCAUACACUCAACGUAACGCGAGUUAGCCUCGUUCCCCUUUUGUUGUUGAAGCUUGUAUGUUGGGCUUAAGAGGGAGGUAUACCUAGUGUACUCACCAAAAUAUCUUUGGGCCAUUAUUUAGGCAUUAGGUGUUUAUAGGUUUGGGCAAUUGUUAGGGCUUAGGUCUUUAUAGGUUUGGGCCAUUGUUAGCCUUAGGUCUUUAUGGGUUUGGGUCAUUGUUAGGCUUUACAUCUUUAUAGGUUUGGGCCAUGGUUCUAUGGGUCAAAUAAGAGAAGAGUAAAAUGGUCUUUUACCCUUAGCAUGUUAGAUUAUAAUUUGGAACUUUUAUUAUGGGUUAUUUUCCUGAUUAUUUAUUAACGUUAAUUUUAGAUAUGUUCAGUGUGAGGAGCCAUGAUAGCAGCAGCUUAAGAGUGUGGUUUGUUCAUCUUUAUAUUGAGGUGAGUCUCCUCACUAUACUUGUGGGUCGAAGGAAACAAUGUUGGCCCACUAGUUUAUGUUGUAGAAUAGUAGUGGUCUUUGUCACACUUCCUGGUAUGCUUGUAUGUGAUUGUUGUCUUCAUGACUGUUGCUAAUGUGAGUGUAUUCUUAUUUGUAGGGGUGAAAUUGACUCGUAUUGGUUGAAAGAUAUCGUAGGAGUCGAAAGGGACUCAGGGUGUCGGAAGGGACUUAUAGAGUCGGAAUGGACUCAGGGGAGAAAUACACCCGUAUUUGUUUUAGUAUGAUAUUUAUGUAUGGUAUGUGGUAUUUAGGAAACUCAUUAAGAUUUGUGCUUACAGUUUAAGUUUAUGUUUUAGGUACUUCCAGUUCAAAGGGGAAGGGCCCGACCUGAUCGUAGCGCAUCCAUCUGUUUUAGAUUUACACUUUGAUAAUGAUUUUCACAGUGGCGUACUGUUGAUGGUUGAUAUGAAUAUUUGAUGGAUUUUGGUUGAAUUAAAAAUGAAAAUUUUUAUUCAAGAUUUUUGGGAUGAUUCAAGUUGGUAUCAUAGCCUUGGUCUAAGGGAUUCAUACACACUCCUAGGUGUCUCUAAACUCAAACGGAAGGUUUGGUAAGUUUGUCAUCAAAUAAAUAAUUUUCUAAAAGAAAUUACUACCAUUAAAAAGGGGUGUGAUGCAUGUAAUCGGCCAAGCUCAUGUAAGUGUUCCCAAAAUACCCAUACGUGUUUAUUGAUUCACUAUGUGAAUAUGAAAAUAGCAUGCUAUAUUAGGGCUAAGUAUAUGCUUUGAAUUGUGCAAUAGGAGAUAUACAUUUGUAUGCCUACUGUAUGAGCAUCUAGAGUUGCAUGCUAGUAAGGAUUAUUGAUGAUAUGUUAGGAUGGCCUGUUAGGUAGUGCUCUGGCUAGAACUCAAUGCUCGAAUGUUACUUGCUUUGUGCUUUUAGGGACCACUACUAAUACUAGUUAACUACCAAGCGAAUAUAUUAGAUUACAUGUUGUAGAAGUUAGAUAAUUUUUGUGACAAUCCGGAAUUUUCAUUCGGUCAAACCCUAAAAGUCAAUCACUCCAUAUUAUAAGUCAAGUUCACUUUUACUUGUUUUUGGGAAAAAUAAGUUCAUUUGAUUAUUUUAAUAAUUAAUCUUUAAACGAACGGGUGAACGGCUGGGUCGUCUCGGGUCUCAAAAUUUCUAAGCCGCAAACACCUCAUGUCUUAGAAGUUCACGGCCAAACUUUUAUGUUUGGGUCGGAAAAUCAUCCAAAAACCGUGAACUCAUGCAUAAGUAUGAGUUUACUCCCCAAACUAGUCAUUUAAAUGGACCAUAUUGGGCCAUAAUUAAACUAGUUUAGCCCUAAUAGGUUAUAAAAAUCAUACUUAUAUUUAUUUGGGCCAAACAUCACUUAACAUAACCAUGAAAUAGGCUUAAGCAUACAAGGCCCAAUCCUUUUCUUUUUCCCUCUCCAUUCUCGGCCCAAGCCCAAAUAGAAGGCAAAGUUGACUUUUAAUAUUGCCACCUCAUUUUUACAUGGAGGUCUUCCAUGCAAUAUCUCAUGCAUCUAUACAACCAUCACCUCACACACUCUCUCUCUUCUCUCCUCUCUCUUCCUCUCAACCAAACCCAAACACACACACCCUCACUUCACUCAAAAAUCCUCUCAAGAAACUCUCUCAUUUCUUCACCAAGUUUUCGAGAUUAGGAAGCUUUUCAAGGAAAUUAUCCCACAAAAUCUUCAUCUAAGGUAACAUCAUGCUUGGAUCUAUGAUCUAGAUUCUUUGUUUUAUCAAAAAUCUCUUCCUAACCCAUGAAAAAUCAUGAUCACUCUCUUAGAAACCCUCUUUGUUCGAAAUCAACAAAGGAAGGCUUGCUAGGGCCGAAAAUAGCACCAAACUUCUCCAAAUCUUCUUCAAAACCGAUCCACAACUCAAGCUGAGUUUCAUACCCCCUUCUUUUCAGUUUUUAUGAGUUUUAUGGGGGAGAAUACAAGUAAAUGUGUAGAUCUAUGUGUAAAUGUAUGCUAUGUGUGAUUUGAUGCAUGUAUGUGUGUGAUAUCAUGUGUUUGUGAUGAAUAUGUUAUCCAAAAAUUGUGUAAAAACCCAGAUCUAAAACAUGAGGAAGGAAAUAAACAUAAUUUAAACUAUUUUACACUAAUCAAGUCAAGAAAAAUAGUUUAUAUGGUUAGGAUGAACAUACUUGAACAUAAAACCCAUUUUUGGACUUAAAUUGUCAAAAAUACAAAACUUAGGGUCCAAACCAACAAAUUAUAGUUUCUGGAGGGUCAAAAGGGUCCAAACAGUUUCUAUAAUAAAUUUUCUGAACAAUAACAUUUUUGAGGGGCUUAAAAUGUAAAUUUUGAAUUUAAUGGGCUAAAUUUGGGCUUUUCGGCCCAUUAAGCCUCAAAAUGCGAGAUUUCUAAGUUUGAGGGGCUGAAAAUACAAUUUUCUGUAAAACAGGGGAUUUGAAGUGUAUUAAAACUAUUUCAAUGAUCAAAAAUGCUUUUCAAAUUUAAAAAGGAUAAAAAAUGUAAAAAAUUUCUAUUUUGGGCCAAAACUGUAAAAGUUGCGAAAUUGGGGGUUUUAACCGAGAAAACAUCAUUCUGGAAGGACAAAAGUUGUUUACUAAAUAAAUUUGGGCUAAAAAUGUAUUUUCAACAAGUUUAUGAUACAAAAGUGUCAAAAUAAUGUUUUAAGGACUAAAAUGAAAUUCUUUUAUAUAAAUGACUAAAAGUUCUAUUUUUAUAAAAGAAAGGUUGUGAAAAGGUAAAAAUCUUACUUUUAAACAAAUUAAUUCAUUAAGACAAAAUACAAGAUCUAUGACUACCGACGAAACGUAAAAACAAAUACACUCUUAACAACCAAUAUCGUUACAAAACGAAUUGAUUCGGUCUCGAAUCAAUAACAAAACAAAAAUCAAUAAACCAUAGUAUUUCAAUAAACACGCGACAACUAUGAGGAGUCAACAUUCAAACUUUGGGCUNUCAAAUCGUGUUGUUGGGCCUUGCUAGCCCAAUGACAUGAUCUUUAGGCCCGAAGGGAACGCGCUUACAUGUUAAUGGGCCUUCUAUGACCCAAUUUCAUUUGAAAGGACUUUCAAUAGCUCUAUUGUGCUAUUGGGCCCCAAUGGUCCAUUAGUACUGCUAGUGAGGUCGAGAAGUCAAAUGUGAGUUGGGCCAAGUGCCUUUCGCAUUCCCGAUAGCCUUGAAUAACUUAUGGAAAUAAAGGGGGCUUCGUACCCUCCUUUCUCCUCGGUUGACCGACUUAUGAGAAUUCGAGUAAUCAGAUUCGUGGCGUUAAUCAAGAGAAGUCAGGGUGGUUGGAUUAUCUGAGUAGUACGAACGACGCCUUAAGGAUCGUUCGUAAUUCGUAGUUAUAAACUAGUCAUUUUCAUUAAUGCAUGAUUAUAACAACUCACAAACCUUAAUUAAUCCAAUGUCACCUGGGUAAUAAAAAACAAUCUUCGUAUCGGUAUAACAAUAAACAAGUCAUGUAAUUUACAUAUUGGGAAAACAUCGGGUUUUCCCGGGGAGUUCAGCAUUUUAACCUAUGUGAUGUAUACAAAGUUCAACAAUUAUAAAUGUUUUCAAAAUCGACAAGCAUAUUUACGGAUCUUCACACUUUUUAUAAACAAAUACUCUUUUCAGAAAAUAUCGGAUUUUCUGGGUUUAAAAAUGUCACAAAAAUCAUUUUUCCAUAACAUUACUUAUGAACUCACCAACAUUUCAUAUGUUGACGUUUUUCAAAAUAACUUGUAUUCUCAGGUAACAGGUAAGCCGAAGAAUAAGUAUCAAGUUAUGUCAUGGUGUUUUGCUUAGAUUUCCCAUCGAACGGUUUAUGUUAUGAAAUUGUAAUGACUAAAACAAUGUAAUAGAUGUAAACAAUAUCAGUUUGUACUAUUUCAAUGCAUGGUGAUGAAUGAUGUUAUGAUUCAUGUAUAAUCUUUGUGAUGGUAUUCAAUUUAAGUCACAAGAGCCCUCGGACGUUUCCGCAGUCCGGUUCGGGGGUGUGACAUUUUACUCCUUGGGUCAUGCUUUUUAUUGCAAAAGAGGUACCUUCGUACGCUGAGCGUACAUCUAAGUAAGCUUAGCGUACAUGGUUAGAGUGAUCGCAGACUUGAACCACGUACGCAGGGCGUAUGUGGCCAAAAGCAAAACCAUGAUUUUUCGGGCAUGACAACUAUUUAAGAACAUUUAUAACCUUUGGACCCUCACGAUUAUCAGCCUCCACACCUCUAAGCGUUCCUAAAACCCUAGUUUGCUUUGGAGUGUGAUCAUUGAGCUUGAAAGUGACUUUAGUUGCCCUUUUUUGUGUCUGCAACAAGAAGAACUUGUUGUGCAAGCCUUAGACGUGAUUGAGCUUCAUGAUCCUGUAUCUACAUCAUCUUAGGAAGCUUUUGAAGGUAUAAAGUUCAUACGUUGCCUAUCCUUUGAUUAGAUCUACUUCUUUAGCUUGUUAUGGUCCUUUUUGGUCCUUUUGGGCUGGUCUUGAGGAGUUAAGACCAUUUGAGAUGCUAAAUCUUGUAGAUGUGGAUGAUUGGUGGGUUCCUUAAGCUUAAAAGUGCAAACGUUUGGUGUUUGUGACAACAAUGCAAGUCUUAAGUCAUUCAUUAAGCUCUUUUGAGCUCUAGGCCCCCAUUAAGCCAUGAAUGCAUGUAAAGUUGGCAACUUUACGUGAAAAACCACUUUAAGGAGGUCGGAUUUGAGGUUUAGGUUAAUGCCUUAAUCAAUUAACAGCCAAAAAGUGAAGUUGGUUAAUUAGGGGAGUACGAUGGGCAUACAAGCUCAUACGCGCUGCGUACAAGCCCUUAAAGCGUGUACGCUUAGUGUACAAGCUGAGUACGCCUCGCGUACUCAAUUGUGGGCUGCGGACAUUUGGGCCUUCGGUAUUGGGCUUUAUCUUGGACCUUAGGAGUUUAGGGUUGUAUUUUCGGCCACCAGAAUAUUGUUUUGGGCUAAGGGUGUUUUUGGACUUGUUUUGUGGGCCUUAAGUGUUAGGAGUUGGGCCUUUGGGCCUUAGCGCUCAUUGUUGUGUUUGGUCCAAGAAUGGUUAAGCCUAUUAAAGGUAAGGUGAAGAGGGGGACCUUGAUCUUAGGAAUUGGAUUGGAAUUUCAGAACUGUAGUCAUUAUUGUAACCUAUUCCUAAUUAGGAUAAUUUGCUUAUGUAUAGUGUUGGAUUUCCCGGAUCAGUAGUCGAGCAGUUAGUAUUUAUCAGCAGACCGAGGUGAGUUUUCUCACUAUAUCAAUGGGUCGAGGACACCAAUGCUGGCCCAUUACUUGACAUGCGGGAUGAUAAUUGUCUAUGUGUUUGCUUGAGUCAAAAGCCCUCGAGGGUAGCCCGUGACACUUGUAUGGAAGACCAUUAGGGUAGCGCAUGGCAUGGAAGACCAUGGGGGUAGCCCAUGAAAUUCCUAAGAAAAGACCAUGGGGGUAGCCCAUGGCAAUCAUAUGUAUGUUGUAUGGUAUUUUUGAGAUUGUAUGUUAUGUGAUAUUUGGGGAACUCACUAAGCUUUAACUUACAAUAUGUAUUUUGGUAUCAGGUACUUCCAGUACUAAAGGGAAGAGUCCGGCUUGAUGACCAAAGAUUCAAUCCCCACUGUUUUUCGCACUUACUGGUAUUGUUACUCUGAUAAUUAGACAUAUUUAUUAUGUAAUGGAUUUUGGAAACAAUUUAUGACUGUAAUCUCAUAUUUGAAAAUGAAUAUUUUAUCCGGUUUUUGGGUUGUUACAUACUAUUCUAAGGUUUAAAAUUAGUGGCUCAUAUUGGUUUUCGCGUUCUCGAUUGCAUAAUUGUUCUAGUUUGAACUUAAUCUAAAAAAUGGAGAGUAAAAAUAGAAAUAUUAUAGGGAAGUCUCCAAAAAAGUCUCAAAGUUUUGGUCGAGUAUACACUUUAGUCCUAAAUUAAUUUAUUUUUUUAUGAAAAAGUCCAAGAUACUGGCUAAUAUCCCAUUUUUACCUGCUGGGCAGGUAAACUGGCUAAGUAACAUGCCAAGUUGGCAAAGCUGUUGACGUGACGCUGAUAAAAAUCAUAUUUUUAAUGUAGAUUUGGGGAAAAGAGUUUCAAUUCUCGCCUUAAAAACAUUCAAAAAUAUAGAUGGUGAAACUAGCACUCGGGUUUUCCCCCUCAUGAAAGACACUUCCUGCCACUUGGCUACACCACUUUUAAUGAUUUCUUUCUUUCCAUUUAUAUAUAAUCGUUUAUUUUCUAAACAUUAUUAUUAUUAUUAUUAUUAUUAUUAAAAAAUAUGAUUUUAAAUACAUUUUAAAAAUAUUUUUCUGAAUCUNNNNNNNNNNNNNNNNNNNNNNNNNNNNNNNNNNNNNNNNNNNNNNNNNNNNNNNNNNNNNNNNNNNNNNNNNNNNNNNNNNNNNNNNNNNNNNNNNNNNNNNNNNNNNNNNNNNNNNNNNNNNNNNNNNNNNNNNNNNNNNNNNNNNNNNNNNNNNNNNNNNNNNNNNNNNNNNNNNNNNNNNNNNNNNNNNNNNNNNNNNNNNNNNNNNNNNNNNNNNNNNNNNNNNNNNNNNNNNNNNNNNNNNNNNNNNNNNNNNNNNNNNNNNNNNNNNNNNNNNNNNNNNNNNNNNNNNNNNNNNNNNNNNNNNNNNNNNNNNNNNNNNNNNNNNNNNNNNNNNUUUAACAAAACGUUCCGGAGCUUUUGAAAUCAAUUUCCAUAAUUACCCUUAAAAAUAUAUUUAUAUAUAUAUAUUUUUUUUAUUUUUAAUCAAUUGUCCUUUUAUGUAAUUUUAUAUAUUUCAAAAGCUUCCAGCUACUUUUGCCAAACAUUCAUACAACAAAUAAAAGCUACAGCUUCCCGCUACCAGCUACCAACUACCAAUUAACCGCUACACGCUUCCAGCUAACAGCUACUUUUGCCAAACACGCCCUAUAUCUAUCUGUAAAGUAAAAAAAUAAAUGAAAGUGGAGUAGCCCAAGUCUGAUUCUAUUUCUUAAUGUUUUUAAGUUAAGAAAUACAGUCACCAGUUAUGUGUUGGUGUGACCUUUCAAACUUGAGGUUAUGAGUUCGAUUUUCACUAUUCCAUUUGUAUUUCGACAUUUAUUUUUUAAAUAAAACAAAAGUAGCUGAUGUGGCAUACAUUGUCAGCUGCCAUAUCGUCACAUAUAGCCAAGUCAGAUGUGUCACAUCAACGGUUAAGUAGGUUAAAAUGAUGAAAGUAAUUACAUUAGAUGAUAUUCUGUCAUUUUUCUUUAAAAAAAUUAAUUAAAAAGUAAACGAUAAACUAAAUCAAAUUUUAGGAUUUUUUAAGAGAAUUUUUAAAAAUUAUAAAUGUGCGGAAUAGUCUAGCAAAAAGGGUAUUAUUUGGAGUGCUCAAUUAAUUAAACCACGUGUCUAAUCCACUCUCCAACCAACCCUACUGGCUAAAACGCUAAAACUAGAUGGUAGCCAUUCAUGCAAGCAUGUAAUUACGGAAAACUUAGACAUCCAAUAGCCCUACUUCGCUUACCACACUAACUACCCAACUCUCUCUAUUAUAAAUACCUUGCUUUCUCCAAUGAAAUUAAUCACACAUUUAGAGAAUCUUUUACACAAAGAGAGGAAGACCGCUCGAAGACUUAGUCAGGUGCUUCCCUUCUCCAAUGAUCUUCAUAAUUCAUAUAAAACUCUACGCAACUUUAUAUCGGCAAUGAUAUAUGUGAAGUAGAUACACGUAAAAUACAGAGUCAAAAGGUAUCCAUGCAAUUAACCACAUGCAUGUUCGUCCUGCUGUUAUUUUUCCUAUUCACGAGUUCAUUCUCUCAUUACUAACAAGAAUUGGAACUUAAAUCAGAUUGCAUGACUAUAUAUGCACCAUUUUUCUUAAUGCAGGUCACUGUAAAACAUGGUCACAGGUGGGCAAAUGUCAAAAACAUCAAAAGGAAGCAAAAAUUACGAUGAGGGGCCCCUCCAACGAGCCCCUUACAAAAAACCACCAUUCACAAUUGGGGAUCUCAAGAAAGCAAUCCCACCUCAUUGUUUUAAUCGCUCCAUCCUUCGCUCUUUCAGUUACCUUUUAUACGACCUAACUAUUUCCUUCAUCUUGUACUACCUCGCCUCUCGUUACAUCCACCUCCUCCCCCGCAACCUCUCCUGUCUCGCAUGGCCUGUUUACUGGUUCUUUCAAUCCUCUGUCGUAGGUGGUGUUUGGGUCAUAGCACAUGAAUGUGGCCACCACGCCUUCAGUAACUACCAAUGGGUCGAUGACACCGUUGGGUUUCUGCUACAUUCUGCUCUCCUUGUCCCUUAUUUCUCUUGGAAAUACAGUCACCGCCGCCACCAUUCCAACACCGCUUCACUUGAACGUGAAGAAGUCUUCGUCCCUAAACUAAAAUCUAAUCUCCCUUCAUUAGUUGUCUACCUAAACAACCCACCAGGUCGAGUCCUUUAUAUCUUGUUCAUCCACACCCUAGGCUGGCCUCUGUACCUAAUGUUCAACUAUGGUGGCAGGAACUACGAUAGGUUUGCAUGCCACUUUUACCCAAACAGCCCUAUUUACUCCAAAAGUGAACGUGCUCAGAUCAUUGUUUCUGAUGUUGGGAUCGUUAUUGUCACUUACUUCCUCUACAAUCUAGUAAUGACCAAGGGGCUCACAAUAGUGCUCUGUACGUAUGGCGUGCCACUGCUCAUUGUCAACAUUUCACUUAUUUGUGUUACAUUUUUGCAUCACACGCACUCUUCAUUGCCCCACUAUGAUUCAACGGAAUGGGAUUGGCUGAGGGGAGCUCUUGCAACAGUCGAUAGAGAUUAUGGGAUCUUGAACAUAACAGGCCACAACAUCACUAAUACUCACGUCAUCCAUCAUUUAUUCCCGAAAAUACCUCAUUAUCAUGCAAUGGAAGCCACGAAAGCAAUCAAGCCCAUAUUGAAAGAUUAUUACAGGUUUGAUGACACACCGAUUCUGAAAGCCUUAUACAGAGAAGCAAAAGAAUGCGUAUAUGUUAAAUCAGAUGAUAAUGAAAAGGCCAAGGGUGUCUUCUGGUUUGACAAUAAGUUUUAAUCACGGGAGAUUGUAUAAUUGUAUUUCCCAAAUAAGAAGUUGAAGCCUAUAUUGCUUAGUAAUUUUAGAUUUGUGUUUGUUUUCUAUGCAUCUAAAAUCGACUUUAGACUUUAGAUUAUAUAUAAUAAAAUGAAUAAUUUGUUACUACAUCCUGUAAUUAUUUGCUUAAAUGGCUCUUCACUUCUACUAUGGUAAGAGUUGAUCAAGAAAAUCAUUUAUUUACUAUGCCAAACUCAACCUGUCAUAAACCUUCCUGUUUCUCAGGUCUAUUUCUUGCCAUCUUCUUUAUCAUUUUUAAAAGGGAAGACUGAACAUAAACAUUCAUAUAUCAUUCCUGAUCCCAGUAAUAGUAAGUUGUGGAUUUCCAUUUUAGGAAACCAACAUGGCCAGUUCCGAGGAUUCAAAUGGUUAAGACGAGCCGGAAAAAAGGCUCUUAGGCAGUUGUGGAUCCAGGAUGAAAGUAAAGGGGAGUAAAGGGGUAUAAAUUUUUCAGAAAAAAAUUACACUACUGAAAAAAGAAAUUCGAAAAAAAAAUUACACUCCUGAAAUAUUUUUGAAGGGCAUCCCGGGCUACCUACACUACUGAAAUAUUUUUGAAGGGCAUCCCGGGCUACCCCAGGAACCACCUAGAUCCACCUAUGCCCUUAUGCCUUAACAUGUAAUGAAUAAAUUAAAGAAUUUGAUAAUCUGAUAAUGGCAUGGAAUAAUCUAUUUUCUCAUUAAUGCUUCCACAAAUGACAAGCAAGUAAAACAACAAUGAUAACAUAUAUAAUUAUAAAUCAAAAGUUCCUUAAAAGGACUAGACGUCUAGACUUUAGACCCAAAGAAAAAAAAAUGCUACAGCUUAGUAUUUAAUAUGAAUGGAUUAAAUUUAUCUAAUAAAUACUUAUUUUCAUAAGUCUCUUUCAAUUUUCAAUGGGAAGGAGGUUUUCAAUAAUCCAAAAGAAGUUUCUAUUGUAAGAUUUCCAAUUUACCCUCAACCUUUUAUAAAUAUGAUACGUAUCAAGUAACGGGUCAUGCUUCGAACCCCAAAGCCUUAAUCACACAAGAACAGACAGAGAGGCUCUAACACAUCCCUCAACGUGCGGCUAGUCACAAUCUCAACAUGUGCCACUAUUGAUGCUUCCCGUAUUCGACACAAUAACCAAAAUCCUCAUUCCUUGUGCAUCCUUAGUCCAUACCGCGAAUAGAACUGCUCUCCACUUUCUUGGGGUAUGGAAGUCCUCCUUAUUUUUGUGUCCGGAAUCGUCCCCAUUACUUCAAGCGGUUCUCCCCCACUCUUAUUCAUCUACUCUUUGCCAACCUUCUAAUGCCAAUGAAUGUUAAAUCCUUCACCAAAACGGACGGAUCUCCAAUCCGAUAACCUACUUACCGAAAGGUUGAUGCACUCUAAACAUUUCCAACAGACACAAGUUAGAUCCUAUUGACAAUCCCAACGAUUGAACACACUCAUGCGGCCAAUUCAUCUUGAUAGAUUUAGCUCAACCAUGCAUGAGUUUAUAGUCAUAAUGUGUGUCUUGGGUCUCUUUAAUCCAUGCAAAGGAUUCAAGUUAACGAGUUUAUCAUUUAAGACAUUCCCAAGAGCUAUCUGUAUGAUUUGGACAUUUGGAAUUAAGGAAUUAAGUGAUUAAUGUGACUUAUAGUCAUCAAGGGAGUACGUUGUGCAUAAAUUGGCAUACACUCAACGUAACGCGAGUUAGCCUUGUUCUCCUUUUGUUGUUGAAGCUCGUAUGUUGGGCUUAAGAGGGCAGUAUACCUAGUGUACUCACCAAAAGAUCUUUGGGCCAUUAUUUAGGAAUUGGGUGUUUAUAGGUUUGGGCAAUUGUCGGGGCUUAGGUCUUUAUAGGUUUGGGCCAUUGUUGGGCUUAGGUCUUUAUGGGUUUGGAUCAUUGUUAGGCCUUACGUCUUUAUAGGUUUGUGUCACAACUAGCAUUUUUGCUAGGAAAUUCUACUCUCAUGCAUGGACUAGGAUUCUCUUAUUGGGUCUAAUGGACCAUAAAAUCUCCAACUUCACCAUCUUGGGCCUAGAAACCCUAAAUGGGCUCUAACUGGACCCACCUUCAUGAAACAUAACAUUUUGAGCCAUAAUGGGCCUAAAAUAAAUUUGUUUGCCUUUAAUGGGCCUAUUAGGCCAUAACAACUCAAAUUAGCCCUAAUGGGCUAUAACCCAUUCUUUUAAGCCAUAUUGGGUCAGAAACCACCUUAAGAGCUCCAUGAGCCGAAAAUAAAUUUUUGGGCCUUAUGAUUUCAAGGAAAGACCAAGAUUGGGCCCAAAGUAAUUUUUUUACCUCUCUAGCCCAAUUCUCGGCCAUAGAUAAAUAAAUAAAAAAUGGAGAAAGAAUGGAUAAAUGAAGAUUAAACAUGCAUAUGACAACUCAUGUUUAACCACCAUAUAACUAUGGUAGCAUCUCAUGUUUCAAGACUAGGUAUUACCUCACAAAUAACAAGAUUAUGAUCUCUCUCUCCCUUCUCUCCAUACUCUCGGCCAAACCCUCUCACCACCUCCAUUUUUCUUUCAAAAACUCUCUCAAACACUCUCAAAAACCUCUUCCUUCUUCCAUCAAAAAUCUCGAGUUUGGUGUGUAGUUUCAAGGGGAUCUUCACCUAGAUCAUUAUCUUUGGUAAGUUUUUCAUUUAGAUCUAUGAUUUUACUGCUUGAUCCAUCCAAAAAUCUCCUCUUACACCAUACUUUCGUGAAUCAUACUCUUAUAGUACCAUAGAGCUCGAAAAUCAUCUCCAUAACACAUCUAGGGCCGAGAUCUCUCCACUUCUUCAUCAAAACCGAAAUCCAAACCCAAGGUGAGCUUCAUACCCCCUAAUUUUCGGUUUUUAUAAGUUUUUUUGGGGUAGAAUACAAGAAAAUGUGUAGAUCUAUGAGUGUACAUAUGCUUUGUGUGAUUUCUAUGUUUAUUUACAUAUUCUUAUGUGAUUAUGGUGUUGGAUCUAGUCAAAAAGGAACUCAAAACCGAGAUCUACAUUAUGUUGAAUGAAAUAAGUAUAAAUCAUAUUAUUUCAUACAAAUCAACUCUAGAAAAAUAACCAAGUUGGUUAAUAUGAACUCCUUUGGGCUAAAAUCCCAUUUUUGGACUUUAAAUGUUAAAAAUAUAAAGUUAAAGGGCCCAAAAUGUCAAAAUACAAAUUCUGAUGGUUGAGGUGAGUUAAAACAGUUUAAAAAAUAUAUUUUCUGGAAAAUUACUCUUUUGAAGGACUAAAAUGGAAAUUUUUAAACCUAAUGGGCCAAAAAUGCACUUUUCGGCCCAACAAGGCCCAAAUUGCGAGAUUUUCAAACUAGAGGGGCUGAAUCUGUAUUUUUCUGUAAAACAGAGGACUACUAGUGCUCCAAGUCCAUUUCAAGGGUUAAAAAUACUUUUCAUAUUCAAAAGGGACUAANNNNNNNNNNNNNNNNNNNNNNNNNNNNNNNNNNNNNNNNNNNNNNNNNNNNNNNNNNNNNNNNNNNNNNNNNNNNNNNNNNNNNNNNNNNNNNNNNNNNNNNNNNNNNNNNNNNNNNNNNNNNNNNNNNNNNNNNNNNNNNNNNNNNNNNNNNNNNNNNNNNNNNNNNNNNNNNNNNNNNNNNNNNNNNNNNNNNNNNNNNNNNNNNNNNNNNNNNNNNNNNNNNNNNNNNNNNNNNNNNNNNNNNNNNNNNNNNNNNNNNNNNNNNNNNNNNNNNNNNNNNNNNNNNNNNNNNNNNNNNNNNNNNNNNNNNNNNNNNNNNNNNNNNNNNNNNNNNNNNNNNNNNNNNNNNNNNNNNNNNNNNNNNNNNNNNNNNNNNNNNNNNNNNNNNNNNNNNNNNNNNNNNNNNNNNNNNNNNNNNNNNNNNNNNNNNNNNNNNNNNNNNNNNNNNNNNNNNNNNNNNNNNNNNNNNNNNNNNNNNNNNNNNNNNNNNNNNNNNNNNNNNNNNNNNNNNNNNNNNNNNNNNNNNNNNNNNNNNNNNNNNNNNNNNNNNNNNNNNNNNNNNNNNNNNNNNNNNNNNNNNNNNNNNNNNNNNNNNNNNNNNNNNNNNNNNNNNNNNNNNNNNNNNNNNNNNNNNNNNNNNNNNNNNNNNNNNNNUAAAUCGAAGGGAAAAAUGUACUCAGUGAUGUCUUGUUGUUUGUUUAACUAGUAUCGAACAAUCUACUUUUUGGGAAUGUAAUGUUAUGAAACAAUGUACUAAAUGUAAACACUACCAGUUGUACUAUUUCAAUGCAUGGUGAUGAAUGAUGUUAUGUUUCAUGUAUAUUCACUGUGAUGGUAUUCAAUUGAGUCACAACAGCCCUCGGACGUUUCCGCCGUCUGGUUCGGGGGUGUGACAGGUUGGUAUCAGUGCUCUGUUUAUAGUGAACUAGCAUAUCUAGCCACACAUUGAUAUGCAACUAUAAACGAAAAGAGGGACUAACACAACUCUGAACAAAACAAGUAAAACAUAACAAUAAAACACCCUUGCCUGUAUUAGGAACGUGAACCUAACACCGAACCAAACAAGAUAUUGCUAGUAUCUCGGUUAAUCCAGGACUGUUCUUAGUUGUAUCAAGGAGCGGAUGUAGCCUGAUCAACUACAUUCCCUCCAAGGUACAACCAUCACAUGUCUUGAAGAAAUCGUGAUAGCUAGGGAAUCUAAAAACAUACCCCUUAAUCUCCAAGAAGGGAACCUCAACUAAAUCUAUGCAAUAGACGUAGAGUUAUAGGAGUAAUUGGUAUGCUAUUUGUUUAUAGUAUUCAUAGCCCUUCGUGCGAUACGCUACAGACGAGUAUCAUUAGCAAGGAAACCCUACCUCCCUAGUCAAGGAAUAGUCGAGUGGCUUGUCUCAGAGGAAGAACCACAGGAGGAACACGAAGAAGAACUCGCAGGUGAACCCGCCGAGUCAAUAAGUGGACCUCGAAGGGGAAGAGCCAGAGGGCAAUGAUGAUGAUGACUCAGAUGUAGAAUCCAAUGACAUCAAUCCUCCAUGUAAAGCCAGAGUACUGACACAUCGUGUGGGCCUCGGUGGCCCCAUGCCCCCUCGGGCACACGAUAUCUGGAGAUAGAGUCACCAGUAGGGAAUACGACCACACUACAGUAGGAACUGAGGUCUCUUUAGUCUUAGUCACAGAAGACCAGCUGACCGGGCCCUCCCAAUCGUGGUCCGGAGCACCUGAGGUAGGGAUAGCCAAGCUCAGGACACCCCUAAUCGAAGAAAACAAAUGUGACUUGCUAUUGAGAAAGAUGAGAGGCAAACAUAGGAAGUGAAUGGAGACUCUCGAGCGAGACAGUUAGUUUGGAAGUACGACUACAAGAUACCGAACAACAAGUAGCUCGUCUUCGAGGUGCAUCCACUUCAUCAACACCACCACCAGACACUUCACGCCACAAUUAGGAUCAGCCUUUUCUUUUCCCCCUCUACUAUCCGACAUGAAUCUCUUUCGUGUACUAAGAUGGUACUUACCACUGGAACAAUUAUGUGCUAUCUUUAUUUCAUAUUACUACAUAGACUCAAUUAUAUGCUGAAGCGAACCCUCAAAACCACUAGAUACUUAAGGAUCUCGAAACCAAAACAACCUAUAUACUCUAAGGAUAGACGUGGCGAUCGUGCCAAAUCUGUGAUUAUGUACUACCACAAAUACAUCGUAGGGAUGUAAUGGAAGCAGUGAGAAUUAUACAACAAGAUGCAAAAUUUAUAGAGUACAACCAGCAAUGACGAUCAUUACUUACAAUCUGGAUUAUCAACGUGCGGCAGGAAAAUGCCAUCCCGCAAGAAUAACAAGCACGCUCGGAAGACACUGCUCCUGCAGAUGGACUCUGCUACAUUUGAAGCUGCUGUAAUGGCGGUAGUAACCGCUGCUAUGGCACAUAUCAAUGCAAACAACCCCAAUGGAGGCGGGAAUAGCAUUGACGACUCCAGCCAAAGGAACGAACAUGGAAACCAACAAGUGACAACCUAUCAAGGAACUCCAAACCCCAGGCUUAAGAGCAGGAAGCUGAGCUCUGGAAGUAAGAGAAAGGGACAACCCACUCAAGGGUUCUCAAGGAAGCAACAUGUUGUUGCUGUUCAUGCGACCAUGACCCCUAUUACACCAACAACCAGGAGACCAUAUGCUGGAAGCCUUCCAAAAUGCAACCAGUUCAAAUUCCAUCAUAAUGGAGCCUGCCGGGAGAUGCAUUGUAACAAAUGCAACCGAAAGAAUCACACCGCCAAAUUCUGUAGAACUUAUCCAUGCCAGAAUCGUCAGCCAAAUGAAAAUGAAAACAAUCGCAACAACCCUAACAACAACACCAAUGAUGAGACCAUUCACACCUGCUAUGGGUGUGGAGGAAUUGGUCACUUCAGGCGCAGCUUCCCCAAGGAUAGCAAUCAAGGAGCAGAAGGAUCAGAAUUGAUCCUGACCUUGGGUUAAGGCAAAGCAGAUCAAGACCCGGCAGUUGUUACUGGUAUGUUCCCACUUAACAACUCUUUCGCUUACCUCUUAUUCAAUAGUGAAGUUGAGCAAAGCUUCGUUAGUAACAAACUCGAGUACUUACUAAAACAACAAUCCUAGAGGCUAAACUAAACCUUAACGGUGGAGAUUACUAAUUGGAAAACCGAAUCAACCAAAGAUAUUUAUGUAGGGAACACCUUAACACUAAACAAUCAUUCAUUUCAAUAGACUUGAUGCCAGUAAAUAUUCGGAGUUUUGACGUGAUAAUCGGCAUGGAUGGGUUAAGCCCCCACCAUGUUGAUGCUAUGUGUUGCAAGAAGGUCGUUUGCCUUCACCUUCCUAAUCACGAAACUCUAAUAAUCCAUGGUGAUAAACCUGGCGCCAAUCCUCUUCUUAUCUCGAGCAUCAAGGCACAGAAGUGCCUACACCAGAGGAACUACGUUUUCCUCACUCAUGUUGUGGACAAGACCAAAGAAGAGGUAGGCAUACAAGGUAUUCUAGUAGCAUGUGAUUUUUCGGAUGUGUUUCCCGAAGAACUUUCGGGAAUACCCCUGAGAGACAGGUCGAAUUUCGAAUCGACCUCAUACCGAGAACCACAUCAAUUGCCAAUUCAACCUAUAGGUUGACUCCCGCCGAAAAUUUACAAGUUACCCAGUCAAUUGAGUAGAAUUGUUGCGCAAAGGAUUCAUCGGACCAAGCUUCUCACCCUACAGAGCUCCGAUCUUGUUCUUCAAGAAGACGGAUCCUUUAGAAUGUGCACCGAUUUCAGGAAAUUGAAUAAGCUCACUAUCAAAAAUCGAUACCCACUCCCUCGGACUGACGAUCUAUUUGGCCAGCUCCAAGGAGCUAGUUACUUCUCUAAAAUAGAUCUAAGAACCGGUUAUCAUCAACUUCUAAUACAAGAAGACGACAUUCCAAAAACUACCUUCCGAACUCGUCUCGACCAUUUCAAAUUCAUUGUGAUACCCUUCGAUCUAAUGAAUGUUCCCACGGUAUUCAUGGAUCCUACGAACCGAGUUCUCCCAACGAUUCCUAGUCAUAUUUUUCAUUUUUUUUCAUCAAUAACAUACUCAUCUGCUCGCGAAGCAAGAACAAAACACUGUCAACACUUACGACCAGCCUUGAAAGCAUCGAAGCCGGAGAAUAUCGCCGAGGAAGCACUGCAAGGAUGGACAAAACUCUCGAAGUCGAAAGACGAAGCUUAUUGUUAUAAGAGUUGAGUAGGGCGUUAUCUGGGUGAACGUUGAUAGGUUAACACAAUCUGCCCAUUUCCUGCUAGUACAGAAAUCAAACAAGACGAAAAGGUUAGCUGGGAUCUAUAUCCAGGAGAUCGUGAGACUCCAUGAAAUAUCGAUAUCUACUAUCUCGGAUCGAGAUAACGGGAUUACUUCAAGACUUUGACAGUCACUUCAGAAGGCUAUGGGGACAUAGCUAGACAUGAGUGUUGUUUACCACCCACAAACCAAUAGUCAAAGCGAAUGAACCAAUCAACCACUCAAAUUCAUGCUACAAGUCUGGGUGUUAGAAUUCAGCAAGUCGUGGGAUACCCGGUUGCCCUUGGUUGAAUUCUCAUAGAAUAACAACUAUCGCACGAGCAUCAAGAUUGCUCCUUUCGAAACUCUUUAUAGUCAUAAAUGCAGAUCACUCGCCAGUACUCCCAUGAGACCAGAAACCAUUUGCGAAACAACAGAGAAAAUAAUCCAAAUCAAAGCUUGACUUCAAGCAUCGCGAGACCGAUAGAAGAGCUAUUCUGACAAGCGGCGUAAGCCAUUAGCAUGUCAAGUCGGGGAUCGCUCGUUAUUAAAGGAAUCUCCCUGGAAAGGAAUGAUUCGCUUUAGGAAACGAGAAAACUAAACCCUCGAUACAUCGGACUGUUCGAGAUUCUUGCUCGGAUUAGUCCAAAGACUUAUAGGCUGCAACUACUUGUAGAGCUCAGCAGCGUACACCCUGUGAUCAACAUCUCAAAUCCGAAAAAGGUGCCUAUCAGGCAAAACUCUUAUCAUUCCUUUAUAAGGGAUCGAAAUAAACAAGAAUCUCCUGUUCGUCGAAGAACCAGUUAAUGUAUUGGAUAAGGAAGUAAAGCGUACAAAACAAAGCCGCAUUCCGAUUGUGAAGGAUCAAUGGAACGCAAAACGUAGAUUGGAAUUCACAAGUGAACCUAAAGAUUAGAUUAAGCAGAAGUACCCUCACCUAUCCUAUCAUUCAUGAACCUACCUUUCGAAAGAAUUUCGGGACGAAAUUCCCUCUAACGGGGGGAUGAUGUCACAACUAGCAUUUUUGCUAGGAAAUUCUACUCUCAUGCAAUCAUUCACCUAGUGUAAUAACUUGCACUCUAAGUGAAUACUAUACUAUAUUCUCAUCCAAAUAUAUCUCAUAUGUGCAAAUAAGGGUUGGAAACCCUAGAAAUCCCGAAUCAAGUUCAUUAUGGACUAGGAUUCUCUUAUUGGGUCUAAUGAACCAUAAAAUCUCCAACUUCACCAUCUUGGGCCUAGAAACCCUAAAUGGGCUCUAAUUGGACCCACCUUCAUGAAACAUAACAUUUUGAGCCAUAAUGGGCCUAAAAUAAAUUUGUUUGCCUUUAAUGGGCCUAUUAAGCCAUAACAACUGAAAUUAGCCCUAAUGGGCUAUUACCCAUUCUUUUAAGCCAUAUUGGGUCAUAAACCACCUUAAGAGCUCCAUGAGCCGAAAAGAAAUUUUUGGGCCUUAUGAUUUCAAGGAAAGACCAAGAUUGGGCCCAAAGUAAUUUUUUUUACCUCUCUAGCCCAAUUCUCGGCCAUAGAUAAAUAAAUAAAAAAAUGGAGAAAGAAUGGAUAAAUGAAGAUUAAACAUGCAUAUGACAACUCAUGUUUAACCACCAUAUAACUAUGGUAGCAUCUCAUGUUUCAAGACUAGGUAUUACCUCACAAAUAACAAGAUUAUGAUCUCUCUCUCCCUUCUCUCCAUACUCUCGGCCAAACCCUCUCACCACCUCCAUUUUUCUUUCAAAAACUCUCUCAAACACUCUCAAAAACCUCUUCCUUCUUCCAUCAAAAAUCUCGAGUUUGGUGUGUAGUUUCAAGGGGAUCUUGACGUAGAUCAUCAUCUUUGGUAAGUUUUUCAUUUAGAUCUAUGAUUUUACUUCUUGAUCUACCCAAAAAUCUCCUCUUACACCAUACUUUCGUGAAUCAUACUCUUAUAGUACCAUAGAGCUCGAAAAUCAUCUCCAUAACACAUCUAGGGCCGAGAUCUCUCCACUUCUUCAUCAAAACCGAAAUCCAAACCCAAGGUGAGCUUCAUACCCCCUAAUUUUCGGUUUUUAUAAGUUUUUUUGGGGGAGAAUACAAGAAAAUGUGUAGAUCUAUGAGUGUACAUAUGCUUUGUGUGGUUUCUAUGUUUAUUUACAUGUUCUUAUGUGAUUAUGGUGUUGGAUCUAGUCAAAAAGGAACUCAAAACCGAGAUCUACAUUAUGUUGAAUGAAAUAAGUAUAAAUCAUAUUAUUUCAUACAAAUCAACUCUAGAAAAAUAACCAAGUUGGUUAAUAUGAACUCCUUUGGGCUAAAAUCCCAUUUUUGGACUUUAAAUGUUAAAAAUAUAAAGUUAAAGGGCCCAAAAUGUCAAAAUACAAAUUCUGAUGGUUGAGGUGAGUUAAAACAGUUUCAAAAAUAUAUUUUCUGGAAAAUUACUCUUUUGAAGGACUAAAAUGGAAAUUUUUAAACCUAAUGGGCCAAAAAUGCACUUUUCGGCCCAACAAGGCCCAAAUUGCGAGAUUUUCAAACUAGAGGGGCUUAAUCUGUAUUUUUCUGUAAAACAGAGGACUACUAGUGCUCCAAGUCCAUUUCAAGGGUUAAAAAUACUUUUCAUAUUCAAAAGGGACUAAAGAUGCAAAAAUUUUCUAUUUUGGGCCAAAAAUGUAAAAAUUGCGAAAAUUGAGGUUUCAGCCGAGAAAACUUCAUCUUGAGGGACUAAAACUGUUNAUGAUGAAAUACUAGUACCACGACUACUGACGAAACAUAAUACACCUUCAACACCAAAAAUCGUUACCAAACGAAUUGAUUCGGUCUCGAAUCAAUAAUGAAUCAAAAAUCUAUACACGACGAUACUACAAUACACACGCUGAAAUUACGGGAAGUCAAUACACACGCGGGAAUUCACCAGACGUCGAUACACCAUCUUUGGGCCCGAAAGUUUCAAAUCGUGCUUGUUGGGCCUAGCUAGCCCAAUGACAUGAUCUUUAGGCCCGAAGGAAACUCGCUUACAUGUUGUUGGGUCUUAUAUGACCUAAUUCCAUGUAAAAGGACUUUCACUGGCUUUUGUGCUGUUGGGCCCCAAGGGUCUUUUGGUACUGCUAGCAAAGUCGAGAAUUCACCAAUGCGAGUCGGGCCAAGGGCCUUUCGCAUUCACGAUAGCCUUGAACGACUUAUGGAAAUAGCGGGGGCUUCGCACCCUCUUUUCUCCUCGAUUGUGGGGAUAUGGGAAGUCAGGGUGGUUGGAUUAAGUGAAUAGUACGAACGACGCCUAAGGGACCGUUUGUAUAGUUGUAAACUAGUCGUUUUCAAUAAUGCGUGUUUAUAACAUUUCACAAUCCAUAAUUAAUCCAAUGUCACCUGGAAUUAUCGAAUACACACGUCACAACGGUAUAAUAAAAUACAAAAUGCGUAAUUCAAAGUAUUAGGAAAACAUCAGGUUUUCCUAGGGUUUUCAAUUCAUACACCUACAAGAUGCAUACCCAGUUUAACAAUUUUCUUUACAUUUAUAGAAACAAACAAGCAUACUUACGGAUCUUCACACUUUUUACACGAUACUCUUUUCAGAAAAUAUCGGAUUUUCUGGUGGAUUUCAAAACAAUACAAAACAUUAUAUUUCAAACAUUACUUAUGAACUCACCAACAUCUCAUAUGUUGACGUUUUUCAAAAUACUUGUAUUCUCAGGUAACAGGUAAAUCGAAGGGAAAAAUGUACUCAGUGAUGUCUUGUUGUUUGUUUAAUUAGUAUCGAACAAUCUACUUUUUUUUGGGAAUGUAAUGUUAUGAAACAAUGUACUAAUGUAAACACUACCAGUUGUACUAUUUCAAUGCAUGGUGAUGAAUGAUGUUAUGUUUCAUGUAUAUUCACUGUGAUGGUAUUCAAUUGAGUCACAACAGCCCUCGGACGUUUCCGCCGUCUGGUUCGGGGGUGUGACAGUUUGGGCCAUGGUUCUAUGGGUCAAAUAAGAGAAGAGUAAAAUGGUCUUUUACCCUUUGCAUGUUAGAUUAUAAUUUGGACCUUUUAUUAUGGGUUAUUUCCCUGAUUAUUUAUUAAGGUUAAUUUUAGUUAUGUUCAGUGUGAGGAGCCAUGAUAGCAGCAGCUUAAGAGUGUGCUUUGUUCAUCUUUAUAUUGAGGUGAGUCUCCUCACUAUACUUGUGGGUCAAAGGAAACAAUGUCGGCCCACUAGGUUAUGUUGUAGAAUAGUAUGCUUGUAUGUAAUUGUUGUCUUCGUGACUCUUGCUAAUAUGAGUGUAUUCUUAGUUGUAGGGGUAAAAUUGACCCGUAUUGGUUGAAAGAUAUCAUAGGAGUCGGAAGGGACUCAGGGUGUCGGAAGGGACUUAUAGAGUCAGAAUGGACUCAGGGGAGAAAUACACCCGUAUUUGUUUUAGUAUGAUAUUUAUGUAUGGUAUGUGCUAUUUAGGAAACUCAUUAAGUUUUGUGCUUACGGUUUAAGUUUAUGUUUUAGGUACUUCCAGUUCAAAGGGGAAGGGCCCGACCUGAUCGCAGCGCAUCCAUCCGUUUUAGGAUUACACUUUGAUAAUGAUUUCACAUUGGCAUACUGUUGAUGGUUGAUAUGAAUAUUUGAUGGAUUUUGGUUGAAUUAAAAAUGAAAAUUUUUAUUCAAGAUUUUUGGGAUGAUUCAAGUUGGUAUUAGAGCCUUGGUCUAAGGGAUUCAUACACACUCCUAGGUGUCUCUGAACUCAAACGGAAGGUUUGGUAAGUUUUUCAUCAAAUAAAUAAUUUUAUAAAAGAAAUUACUACCAUAAAAAAGGGGUGUGAUGCAUGUAAUCGGCCAAGCUCAAGUAAGUGUUCCCAAAAUACCCAUACGUGUUUAUUGAUUCAGUAUAUGAAAACAGCAUGCUAUAUUAGGGCUAAGGAUAUGCUUUGAAUUUUGUAAUAGGAGACAUACAUUUGUAUGCCAACUGUAUGAGCGUCUAGAGUUGCAUGCUAGUAAGGAUUACUGAUGAUAUGUUAGGAUGGCCUGGUAGGCAGUGCUCUGGCUAGAACUCGAUGCUCGAAUGUUACUUGCUUUGUGCUUUUAGGGACCACUACUAAUACUAGUUAACUACCAAGCGAAUAUAUUAGAUUACAUGUUUUAGAGGUUACAUAAUUUUAGAAUGUUAGGUUUAACUCUAUUGCACAGCUCUUUUACGAGUCCAAUCGUUGUAAUGUGAGACCUUGCAGUCGAAGAAUUAUCUAGCAUCUAUUUCAUUUAAUUAUAUUCAUUGGAAUUUAGGGUAUCACUUAGGGGAAUCGGGAUGACUCUUGAGGAGAGUACAAAUAAGUGUGGAAGGUAGUAUUAGGCCCAUACUAUUGGAAGCACAUGAUCUGUAAUCGAGUCAAGGGAGUCACAACUAAGGACCUGCAUGGUGUGAGAUUAUUCAAAUGCUUUCUGAUGGUUUGUAUGGUUUAUUAUCAAUAUGGCGGUCACUCCAGGUGGUUCAGGUCCUGGUGAGGGAUCAGGUUUGGGCUUUGGAGCAGGACCCUUAGAUGAUUAGAUGCGAGAGUAAGUGCAAGGGAGCAAGCAUUUAAGUCAAAGUUUAUCCAUUCCUUUUACCCUUGGAGGGAUAAAAGCGAUAUAUGUGGGCCCCUCGAUGAUUUAGUGAUGACAACCCUAAGUGCUCGGCCGGUCCUAGACUGAUUUGAUUUGUUCAGUUAGCCGCUCGUCAUAAAUUGGAAAUUGGGAAACAACAGAUGGAUAUAUAGAAUGAUUAUAAUCCAUGUCGCUGUCCAUAUGAUAUCUAAAAUGGAGGAAUAUUUGAUCCCUUAUCUAAUGGACACGUCAUUGACAAGGUCAGAGUUCGACAACGGAUUUUAAGUGCUACGAUUGUUAGUCAGGUUUUGGAGUCUUACUUGCAAUAAUAGUUUUAGACUUAUCCAAGUGGGAGACUAUUGGAUUAGAUGUCUAAGCCCAUAACUAUUAUUGGUAUGUACUCGACCCGAGAGUAGCAUGGUUCAUUUGGGUUGCAUAACACCAGGACAAUUUGUUAGGAUUGACUCUUGAAAAAAAGGUUACAUAUGAUUUAUUAAUAUAUUAUAAGUUCUAAUAUAUUAAUAUGAAAUCAUAUGUUUUAAUUAGUAUUGAUCAAGAAUUAAUUUGGAAUUAUUUUAGUGAUCAAAAGAGACUAAUUAAAUCUAUGGGGAAUAAUUAUGGUAAUUAGUUAUAUUUAUAUGUGUUGGGCUUAUGAUCCAUGUUUGACCAAGUUUAUGUAUGGACACAUAAACAGUUGGGCCACAUGAACCAUGGAUCAUAAAACCCAUGGGUAUGGAAUUGGGUUAUACCCAUGACCCUUGUAAUCCUACAUAUAAAUAUGUGCUCUAUAGCUAACAAAACGCCUACACUUGUAGUUCUUGGAGGUGUUUUUGGUGCAUGAAGAUUCUCUCUCAAGAGCCACCUUUGUCGUAGGUGAGUUGUUGUGACAACCCGAAAUUUAGGGUUACUAUUAUAACCAUCAAUCUAUCCGUGAAUAUCUUGUUUAUCCGAAUUACUGAUUUUUAAUGCAUCUAAAGUAAAACAAAUAAUUUUAUUCCAUUUAUUAUAUGAUGUCAUAUGAUACAUUACUUCCGAGUGUGUAAAUCGUCAACAUAAUCAAACAGCUUAAAUGACAACGUUAAUCAAUGCGUCUGAAAAACUGAAAUUUUGCAUUAAGCAGUUUUGAGAAAAAAAAACAUUAAAAUAUUAUAGUACAUGUUCCCCUAUUUCCGAAAAUAUAAAGAACGUCCAAAACGGAGUUCGUAUGCAAAAGAUACGACAGUUUUAAGAAAACAGACAGUAAAACAUUGUUUUUCUUUAAUCGCGUAAAAAUGAAUCGAUCCGUUGAGGCCCUUACGCUUUGCCGAUGGGAUUUUCGAGAGCGUUUUUGGACUUAGGCUACAGUCUAAUAUUUAAUUUUACACUCAAAAUAUUUUUAAUAAAAAUAUUCACAAAAAUCGCGAAACGGACACCGCGAGCCGUUUAGACGUAAAACUUCAAACGCAAUUUCCCGGAGAUCCGUAACUCCAAAAAUUAAUCCGUUUGAUGUUCCAGAAUCCUUGAAUUAAACUCAAUCUAAGGGUACUUUCAAAAAAAAAAAAUCUCGAUUUCUAGAUUCCGAUGCACCUGAUUUUGAGUGUGUUUGAGCAUGAAAAGAGAAAUGUAAUCCAAAGAUGGGACCCACAAGCCAAAGAAAAUCUGAUUUCUUCUCCUUUUCACUUCACCCCACGUGCUUCCCCUCCUCCUCUCUUGUUCUUUGUGUGCAAACUUUCCCAAAAUGGUACAGGAUAUGGGGUUUAAGCAUGGGUUUCGUAGGCUUGUGAGGGCUUUCAAACACUAUAAAAGGAACACUUGGCUUCCUCCUUCAUCACACCAAAAACCUCAGCUCCAUUGCUUCCUCUAAAAUCUCUCUCGGUUCUCUCCAACACCACCAUAACACCACUAUUCCCUACACCAUAAAUCUACCAUCAGCCACCCCUCUUACUCCACUGUUUUAGCUAGCAAACACCCUCUCCGACCAGCUGCCACCUCCCCUCUCUCCGUCUCAUCGACCCACUGCCGAAGGAACCAGAAAACGGGCAGCAAAGGAGCUGCCGGAAUUUCCCGAGCCACCACCACUGCUAUUGUCGUUCACUGCCAUCACUCUUCAUCUACCGUGAGUUCCAUUUGCACCAUUUUUUUUGUAUUCCAAACGAUUAAUCAUAAGCAUCAAUGUAGUAUUCUUAUAUAUUUUCUGUUCUUCGUUUAUACCUGCGACGUGUGACGAACAGGAUGGCCUCCUGUUACGAAAGCAAUGAAAGCAAACUGCAUUACAAAAUAAAUAUAACCAGCCCCUCAAAUUCGGAUUUGUACGGUUUUAGCCCUUGCAUCUCAAUUUGUUUUGAAAACUAAUCUAAACCUUUCAAACUCCCAAUAGAUUUAAAUAGUUUCAGUCCCUUAACUUAGAAAUUGCCUAGAAUUAGCCCCUCGUUCUCAAAAAUUAUUUUAAAUCUAGUUUUUAAACAAUGAAAGUUUAAGCAAAUGUUCAAAACUUACCCCCACUCGAAAAUAUCUUUUAAAACAGAUCUAAAGACACCAAACCUUCAUUUUAUUUAUUAAAAUUACACCCCUCCUUGUGAUUUAUUUGCAAAAUAAAUCCAUGAUUCAAUUUUAUAAAUUCAACAAAACAUUUUUAGUCCUUAUUUGGAAAUAAUUUAACAAAUUCAGUCCAUUUAAUUUAUAUAUGGACCUUAUACUUUGGUUAAGUUACCAAACAACCCUUCACAUAUUAAUUUAUGUUAAUAUUUCCUUAGGAAACUAAAUUUAUCUUGGAGUAUCGUGUUCACGGCAAUACGUCUCGACUUUUCUCACAUCACUUACUCGACAACCACACAUUAAGGUGACUGUUACGGCCCCACUUUUACAUAUUUUCGGGGGGGGGGGGGGUCAAGGGGGNCGUGGGGGGGAAUACAUGUAGUACUUGUAUAUCUAGUAUAUAUCUAUUUUCUAAAUACUUUGUUUAAACAUACAACACUGCCGUUUUUAUGCAAUAUAAUUCACACAAAAAUAUUAUUUAUCACGCUACUACUUACGGUACGUGUACUAAGUAAUAUUUAUCAUACAAAAUACACAAAAAAAAUAUCAUUGUUUUGUGUAAAUACUUUACCAGUUUUAGAAAUAAUUGUUUAAACGCUUACAUGUUAAGUAAACAAAAUCGUUUUAAACCUCAAUACUUUUAUAUGUUAUUUUGUUAAGAUAAUACGAUUAAUAAAAAUAUCAUAUACGUUCCGACAAAAAUUGUGCUAAAACUGUAUAGCCGGUUAUCAACUUGGUAGUCUAAUUAUACCUCAUACAUACAUAGAAACAUAUAAGUUUAUAUAGUUAUAUAAGUAUUGUACUCUUCAAUGUGUACGCUUAUCAAAUAUACUUGUCAAUUACCUGUUUAUCCGUAUCUGUGGUUGUUAAGUUCAACCUUGGCAGAUAACUUCAUCCGUAUAUCUGUAUGUCUGUUUAUGACAAAAAUAUAUAGGUUUAUAUGUUUAUACAAGUUAUAGAACUUGUAUCUUAGGCUCAUACAUGUGCUUGUGUACACUAUACUAAGUUUUGUCAACUGUUUAAACAAGUAUCGUACACUUUAUAUGUAUGAUUAUCAAAUAUACUUGUUGUUUAUCCGUAUCUGCGGUUGUUAAGUUCAACCUUGACAAAUAAUUGUAUCCGUAUAUCCGUAUGUUUGUUUAUCCGUAUUUGCGGUUGUGAAGUACAACCUUGGCAGAAAACUUUAUUCGUUACCCGUACAACCAUGGAUUUGGUUGCUUUCAAACAUAAUUUUAAGUAUGGAAUUACUUAUGGAACAUAACGUUUUGGCUUCAAAGAUUCAUUUCAAACACAAUUUUAAGUAUGGAAUUACUUAUGGAACAUAACGUUUUGGCUUCAAAGAUUCAUUACAAACACAAUUUUAAGUAUGUAAUUACUUAUGAAACAUAACGUUUUGGCUUUCAAAGAUUCAUUAGAAACACAGUUUUACAUACGAGUUUACUUAUACAAACUAUACAUUUUGGCUUUUAAAGACUCAUUGCAAACACUGUUUAACUGUUGUUAUACAUACAAAGAUAAUACUUUUUAGACUUACUAAAAGUAUUACUGUGUUAGCAGAAAACCUGUGACACUCACAAACCUUUGUGUUGACUUUCAAACUUACAUGUAUUCUUAGGGGAUCAUCAAACAUGCUUUCAGGAAGAAGAUUAGUCGUGCAUUGCAGACGACCUAGCUAGCUUGUUCAUUUUAUUUGCUUAUCUGUUAAAGGCAACUACUGUACUAUUAUUAUCUGUGAGAACCCUGUACUCAAACUUAAUGAUGAAUACAAAUGCUAUUUUGUUUAUUGUAGUACUUGUGCUAUAUAUUUAGUUUAUCUGUGAUCCAUGAACUUAGUCCACUCCCGGCAUGUUCCGCCUUGGCCGGGGGUGUGACAAUUGUGAGCCAUUUAAGGCAUUCAUACUUUUGGUGCUAAGCUCUUAAGGCCAAAUACAACAAGUUUUCAAGCUACAAUAAAAGAUAUGCCAUCCUAACUAGUAUUUCAUAUUGUUAAUGUCAUUUGUAUGCUACUUAUAGGCUUAUUGCUUUGGAAACACUAUUACAUGUAUAAUAAGAGAAAACAUAGAUCCAAGGCAUUUAUGGUUGUAUGUGAACCAUAGGAUGUUGUAGUAUACAAAACCCAGCAGUGGUAUCAGAGCCAUGGGUUGUUUUUUAUUAUAUUUGAUGCUAUUAUUGGUUUUCGAAGCAAAAAAUUGAAUUAUCUGCAUUCUGUCAGUCGGACUCGCCGAGUCCACUGGGUGACUCAAUGAGUUUCUUGAAGAUUGUCUUUGACUCGUCGAGAGCAUCAAGGGGUUCGACGAGUUGGCAGUUCUGAAUGCAGAUUUUGGAGUUUUUUGGCAUGUUUUGGAUUAGGAUCAUUACUACAAAAUGCUUUUGUUCAUAAAAUUUGAUUUUGAUGCUAUGGAAAUGAUUAUCCUCAUCCAAAUUAAGGAUAAUUGUUAAAGUUUCAAGAUUUGUAUUAGUUUAUAUGAUUAGCUAAUUUCUUGAAAAUUAUUGAUGUGAAUUAUCUUUGCUUAUGAGUUUAAUCUUGUUCAUAGAAAAUUUAAUUGAUUAUUAUGUUAAUUGGAAUAAUUGAUCUUAAUUGUUUUUAUGAACUCCAUAACAUGUCCUCAAGUUAUGGAAAAUGAAGAGUUUUUCUUUUAAAAGAUUCAUUAAAGUUCAUAGGUUACGAAAAAUGAAAGGUCUUGUUUUUUAAUGUCAUCAUAAAAUAGUUUUAUGUCUUCGAUAACUUGUCCUCAAGUUAUGGAACUUAAAAAGUCUUCCAUAAGAACCAUAUUAAACUCAUAAGUUAUUGAAACCAAAAUUUUUUGAAUUGUUCAAAACUUGCCCUCAUGUUUUGGAGUUUGUAAAGUUGCCCCCCCCCUUCGUGUAUACUUUAAUUCUAACCCCUAGAAUUUUAAAAGUUUAAAAUUCAACCCUUAUACUAUUAUAAUAUUAUAGGCUUUNNNNNNNNAUAUAUAUAUAUAUAUAUAUAUCUUUACUAUAUUAUUAAGGAUAUUGCCAAUUUCUUGAAAUUUAAGAGGUACUACACCUACUGCAUAAUAUACAAUCAAUUUAUUCAUACCUUUUAAUACUCCUGUCAUAUUUCCGUUUUACAAAUUAAUUACAUUAAAUAUUCACAUUUUCGUUUGUCAAAUUAAUGGCAUUAACAUUGACGUUUCAUAGAUUGAAUAAAAAAAGUAAACAUACUAUUUUUCUCAUCUGUCCUCUACAAUCGCAUUUUCCCUCAAACAAAUAACAAAAACCCUAUUUUGAAAAGCCGACAUUGCACCUCAUCCGCCUAACUCAUCGUCAUCAUCACCAUCGGUAGUGAAUCGCCACCCACUCUCCAACCUCGCAUCACUCAUUGUAUCUGUAUCUGAUCGCCGUCGUCGCCACCUACUGUGCUCUCGCAACACUUUUUCGGUGACAGGAAACCACCACGCUCUCUCUUUAUCUCAUCUAUCAUCUACACUCGCACCACUCGCUUGAGAUUACUUCGACGAUUAGCAGCUUUCAGAUGAGAUCCAAUCACUCUAUCAGCCGUAAGUUUUUUUUCUUUUUUUUUUCUUUUUUUUUAAAUGCAAAUUCGAAGUUGAAAUUGUCAUGUUCAAGAGAAAUGAAUCUGAAAAAGGGGCUCAAUGAAGAUUGAAUUUGAUGUCGGAAUUAAUGUGCAAAUACAAAUUUUUUGUUCCAGUUUUGAUGUUAGACCUAGCUCUUUCAAAUUAUUACAUGUUUGAGUGUCGUCUGUGUGUCUCUAGCCUCAAAACCCACGUCUGUAUAAGGUCAAUAUGCUUAAGGGUAUCGGUAGUCACCCAAGGCAAAGUUUUGUUUUUGAGGUUUCAGCUUUGCUGGGAUAUUGGUUCUCUCAGAGUGUGAAUUUGGUAAUAGUAAUGCCGAAAACACGUGUUUUAUGAAUUGCUGAUGAAACAGGUGACCUUUUGAAUUUGUUUGCUUGUAGCUCUUCUUGUUGAACCCUAACUUCAAUUUUACAAUAAGAAACAACCUUUUUGACAUCAGAAGCGAAACUUUCUUUGGCAUUCCUAGACCCUGGUAUACUCUUUUAAAUAAAAAGAGUUGAUUUUGUUCAUGUACAUUUCAGUAAACACUUAUUUGUACAUGUAAAAAUGCAAAUAUAUUGAAAGAAUGAAUCAUAUGAUGAUAAAGUAAAAAGAAAUUGGUAUUUAAAGUUGUAUAUUUUGUACAUGUAACACUUCAUCAGUAGGUGUAGUUGAACGAAUCAAAUACGACCCAAAUCGCACUUCAUGAAUCGCAGUGGUCAGAUGGGUCAAAGGGACAGCCGUUGACCGCCAGAAAAAAGUCAACUCCUUCCAAAAAAAACUUCACCCCACCCCCAAGAUCCUACCCUCCAUCUCCAUCAAAGGUCAGUUUUCAUUCUAUUCAAUUCACGGAAUGUUAUAAGACAAAAAGGUGGAAUCUUUAAGGCCUAAAACAGAUCAUGUAGUGGUUGGACUUUCAAAAGGUAGUAUGACCUUGAGUAGUUAAAGUCAAAGUUAAACGGGGACCCACAUGAGAAAUGUUAAGGAUGUUUUCUUGUCUGCUUAUUCAUCUUCAAAUGGGAAAAAAAGACAUGAUGCUCCUUCUUCGUUUGUGAACGUGUUGGGUGUCCCAAGAAUGGCGGUGGCAUGGGCAAAACCAGAAUUUUUUGUUCCAAGAAUGAAAGAUGAUGUGAAAGAGAAUGAAAGUUUGUUGCUUAAUGUGGUAAAAAGGUGGGAUAAGGAUAGUGUUGUGUGGGGGCAUAAGAUUAAAUGAAAAGCAGUUGUUUCUUGGGGGAGUUUGAGACAAAGGGAGAUUUUAGGGGUUGUUAAUGUGUCAGAGUCAAAGUCAAAGGUGAGAGAAAGUGAAAAGGUGGAAAAAUAUGAGAAAUUUGGAGUGGAUCGAGCUCAUGUGAGUUAUAUAUUGGCUACCUAAGUAUCGAUUUAUCUGUUGCCUAAGUGUCGAUUUAUCUGUUACCUGUCUGUUGUGACAAAAAAAACAUAAAUCGUAAUUAUACUGAAAAAAACAAAUAUUUAAUCGGGGUUGUAAUCAAAAGUGUACAUUUAUAUAUUAUUAUUUUAACAUUUGCACAGUUUGACAUAAUCGGGUUUGUAAUCAAGAGUGUACAUUUAUAUAUUAUUAUUUUAAUUUUUGAAUAAAAUAUCUACAAUUUAAUCGUCUCUACAAUUUAAUUUCUGAAUAAAAUAUCCACACCCGGCGCUUGGCGCGGGUAAAUGGCUAGUNUAUAUAUAUAUAUAUAUAUAUAAGAGUAAGUCAGUCUUACCGUUAGUAGACCUCAUUCAUGAAGCCAGUCUAUAAGGGGGUAUAAGAUUACUGCAUAUAAAAUGACAGUUUAAUGGGUGUCCACUCUUACCCACCGCUUCCUUGACUAGUAGAGGUUCGUUAGCCGAACGGCUAGGACAGGACAUUAAUUCUCAUUUCAUUAAAAGUAUAAUGAUAAAUAUAACGUAACUAAAAUUUUAUUAAAUUCCUAAUCUUAGUUACUUUAGGAAAAUGUAAAUUUGGUGCUAACCCAUGAAAUUGCAGUUUGAGCCUUGUUAAGUCGUUAGUGGAGCGUGUGUGGUUAACCGGCACACUAAUCUGGGACUGACAAUGUGUGGCAAAGGGUAGCUUAAUGUUAAUCAUAGAUUAAUGGAGCGUGUGUGACAUCCCCAAAAUCACGGCCAGAACAGACCGUUUAAAGUUAUGUUUUUAAAAUAAUUUCAGAGUAAAUCCAUUGUUUUAAAAGAGUUUCCGAAUUUGUUCCCAAAAACAAAAUAUGAACAAAUAAUAUUCAUCAAAGCAUUUCAUAAAGGAAUGCAUUUUCAUUGGAUAUCAAAACUCGGGAUGUCGUGUUCUGAUAUAGACCAAAAAGCGUAAACGACAAAUUAUAAGCCAUACAAUAGUUAUAUACAACUACAUGCUUAUAAACAAAAUAACUUGAUAUAUCAUCCAUCUUAUGCCCUCGUGCCACUUCCUGUAAUACAAAUAAACUCAGUGGGUCAGGCUUGAGAGCCCGAUGAGCAUAUAGGGUUUUCAUCCCACAAUAAAUAAUUAUAUUUAAAUUCACCAAUCAACAAUAACCCGAUUACCCAUUCCCGUUAUCCUCACUUUACGUCCCUAAAACAACAUCUAUCUCAAGGGACCUAAUCUAGGAUUUUUCAUCGGGAUGGACAUUACUGCAAGGGGUUUUCUCAAUAAUAGAUGUCCUAAAGGCAACCAUGAGGGGGAUAUGUGACAACCUGAAAUUCCUAUUCUGUACAACAUUUCAAUUCAAUAGAAGUCAGAACUGUUGCUGCUAAUUUUCAAGCUUUUGGAAUAAGUUUGAGUAUUUUAAGAUUAGCACUUUAGGAGAUAUCAGGAGAGAGGAUGCUCUAGGGUUUAUUGUGCAACAAUAAUACCCCAAUGAUCCAAGAUUUUGGAGUUUACGGCCUAAACAAAGUUGUUUACGAUCGUAAACCCUAAAUUGGGGGUAUAUAAGUGACACUUAGUCAUUAUUUACCCUUUUUCACAAAAUCAAGAUCCAAAUCUCAAUUCUCUCUCAAGUAUCAUCCAACAAUUCUUCUAGAUCUUCAACUUGUAAGUGUUUCUAGACCUAUUAAGUUGAUAUAUUACUUAAUCUAGUGAUCUAACACACUUCCAUCCGUGAAAUCAUUCCAAAAGGUUAUAUCUUCAAGUUCCACCAACAACAGCAAGAACACACACUAGUGUUCUUGGACUUUUAGCACCUUUUCAAGCCUCUAUCUUGUAAGUACUUCUACCUAGAGUAUCUUAAGGCUUGUUACACUUCCUUACAUCAAGAAAACACCCAAGAAACCAAGGAUCAAAGGUGUUUACGGUUCAAGAUGUUCUUGAACCGUAAAGCCUAUAAAGGGUGCCAAAGUGUGCCCUAGUCCCUCCCAAGCCCUGGAAACUUGCAUAGAUCCAUUCCUUGAUGAGUUAAGGGCUUGAAAACAUCAAAAUACCAUAAACCAUAGGGGUUUACGACUGCAAACCCAAAAUGAAAUGGUCCAAGAACCGUAAACUCCAUUUAAGUGUGAAAUGGUGCCCUAAUCCCUUCUAUAGGCUUAUUCUUCAAGUGGUAAUGCUUCUAAGGACUUGUAGAGCUUCAAAACAACUCAUGGUCAAGGAAUCAUGAGUUUACGACCGUAAAAUCAAUGAGUGAUGUUCACAAAACCGUAAACUCAUAUUUGGGGUUUCCUUUGAACCCUACACUCAAUAGCAAUGUCCUACAACACUUAAAUGCAAUCUUUGGGACUUAUAACACUUAUAUAAGGUGUUUAGUAUGUCCUAGGAUGUCCUAACUUUUUGGAUUAGUUGUUCUAAGACUAAUUGGAUUCUUAUAUGUGGUAUUACAUGUUAACUAGGAUCCUUGUGUAUGUUCAAGACUUCACUUGAUACCUAGCAAUCCUGUUUCACUAGUUCAUCCAUACCACUCACUACAUGUGAGUUCAUACCCCUUAAAUUGACCUUUUAAAUGUUUUUAAAUGCUUUUAUGGGGGGGGGGGGGAANNNNNNNNNNNNNNNNNNAUACAAGUUGAAUAAUUUUAGUUAUUAUAUCAAUCACAUGUGAUUAAUAACUACCAAACAAGUGGUUUUCUUACUUUUCAAACUGUGUUAUCAAACUGUUUUGCAUCAAACUAUUUUACAAACUCUUUUGCUUGUCAAAUACUUUUACUUAAACUCUUUUUAUACUUUUAUAUUGUCAAAUGCAUGUCUAUGUAUGUAUAGUUAUAUAAGUAAUGUUUAAGGGACUUAGGAAGGCUAGCUCGCUUUAUCUCCUUUUCCUCGUUGGGAUGUGGCUUUAGGGCAUCGGUUAUCCGUCCGAAGGUUGUCUAAAUAUUAGUUAUAUAUUAUGUAUACAUAUAUAGACAUAAAAGUUCUAUCAGUCAAUUCAACACCCUUAGGUAGCAAGGGUAUACGUUCAUAUUCAUACGUACAAGUCAUAUUACUAGUAAACUACGAUAGGCGUAGUUUAGGAAGUUACUAAUACUAUUACUAGCACAAAGAAUCAUACAAUGAGUCAGUUCAUUCAUGAGUCAAUAAUUGCUAGAUAGAGAGAACACACAAUACAACUAGUACACACAAUACAUUCAAUACUUGCUAGAUAGAGAGAGAACACACAAUACAGCUAGUACACGCAGAACAUUACAAUACAUAAAGGCUAGACAGAGGGAGAACAUACAAUACAGCUAGCACAUUCAUUACAUAUACAUUCAUGCAAUUAUGUGAGCCACUAAAUGGGGCAUGGCACUACCUUCCAUGACCGUUUUUGUAUCCAGAAUCUCCUUAAUUAGGGAGCGUAUGAGUUUGCGUAUAUAUCUAUACUGGAUUGACUAUCCUACACCUUGCUGCUCGCUACAGUGGGACUUGCAAGUCUACGGGUGCCAAAUGUCAUAUCUUACGGCGUCUUACAUCGUCGUUUUACUAGACUCGGUAGCAGGAUAGAGGCUGAUCACAUGUUACUUUAAAUUACAAUUGGUUUAAGGUAGUUAGUACAACAGUAGUUACUUAUUACAAUACUACAGUACUAUAAUAUUCUCCAAUUACAUUCCCUUCGUGAACAUUCACACGAUGUGCGGUAAUGUAAAAACUAUACUUUUGGUUAAUGAUAGUCGGAUUUGGGAAAAUACACACUCUUACAACAGACACACACAGACACUAGAUGUCUUGGUAGAAGGCUACUUUUGGUAGGAAACAUAGGGUUUUCUAGGAGAGUUCAAAACAUCUUACAAAAUAUCUUACAAAUACUUUCAUACAAAUACAAAAACUAAUAUACUUAUGAUCUCACCAGCUUUAAAGAUGAUACUCUCUUUCAAAAUAGCUUGUAUUCUCAGGUCACCAGUAGACAGGUACCGGCGCCAGGUUUUGAGAAGAUGGUGCUCGUUCAAGACUCAUCUUUUAUUUUGAUAUACAUAUUUUUGGUGUCUAUAUAACUUGACAGAACACACUUGUAUGAAACUAUAUUAUUAAUGCAAUGGAUGAUGUUGUUGCUUGUUUACUACUAUUCAUUGUUAUGAUACAGUACAUGACGUCCUCCACCCCAGAACGUUUCCGCCAUUCAUGGUUUUUGGGUGUGACAGAUUGGUAUCAGAGCAUUGUUUAUAGUGAAUUAAGUAUAUCAACCCAUAAAAGAUAUACAGACUAUAAAUACAAUGGGAUUAAAAUACUUUAACCUAGAGUUUAUACAUUAAAUAAUAAAAUAUUUAAUUAAGUAUACGUGCCUGCAUUCAUACUAAAAUCGGUGUCACUAAGACAGUACAAAAGUAUUACGAUUGUUGGGCAGCACAAGUAGACUUAGAGACAUAUAGUCAAAACUGGGAAGAUAUACCCUGAUCAACUAUAUUAUCCGGGGGUUGACUAGCAUGUGCCUAAGUGUGGUUGUGAGGUUGCAACAAGUCUAAAAACUUACCCACAAUACCAUAAUGAGAACAAUAGAACCUAAACCUAAAAUACUAUUGGAGUAUUUUGUGUAGCUAUAAACUACUUAUGUGUUAGAUUCUUAUACCUCUCUUCUCACGUAGAUAUAAUGGCUGGAUUCCAUCUCCCAGGAGACCCGUACUACCCCAACCACGACAAUGCAGGAUGUCUGGAAGAAGAACCAGAAGAUGAUCACCCAAUUCCUUUUGGAUGAUCAUGAAGCUGAAGGCUUUUCUGAUGGUUCUGACUCGGAGCCAGAAGUUAACAACCUACCCCCAGUUGUUCAAAACCCAAACCCUCGUCCAGCAUUUCAAGGACCCACACCCCUGUGGGCCACAAACUUGAAUAGAUUGAGUCAGGAACAAGGUCAACCCAUUCCCUACAAUGGAGACAGAAGCUUCUACAACCUCACUAAGGGAGGUUCCGCUGACAGAGUCCUACCAAUCAUAGUUCGUAGGAUUGCUCGGAACACAGAACAGGGUCGAGCAGCUAUUGACCAAGUCAUGGAGAUUGACGCCAACAUUGGCGUUAACACUGUCCGCAUUCGCCAGCUAGAGUCUGCUCAUGAAAGGACUCUCGUCCACAAUGCAGCCCUUCAGAGGGAACUCGUUGAAACCCAAGCUGAAGUCAGGGAACAUCAAGCUCAGCAAGCAAGAGCUGAUAGGCGCAUGAGGGACAUAGAACGUCUUCUGUCGGAGUCAAGAACUCACGCUAGUAGUUCUCGUCGCCGAUAGAUUCUCAUCAACUUCUCUUUUGGAUAUAACUUAGUUUGUGUAAAAACUCUAUGCUAAAUUCCUAUCCCUGUAAAUCUGAGACCUGUUAAGGUCUUGAUUAGGUCAUAUUUCUGUCAGAAUUUUCCCAUCUUAGUUGAUGUAAGACCUACUUCUAGGUCAUUUUUCCGAAACUCGUUACAUCUGUAACUCCAAUAAUAUUGACAGAUAUCUAAAUCUCAUGGAAUUUAUAUCCAAAUGCUUUCAUUUACAAGUAAUUGUGUUAUUCAGUUGUACAGUUGGGCUAUGGCGAGUUAGUCCAUGAGUCAUUCUCAUCAAUUUUUCUAUUAAAUUCUUAUCAAUGUUUUCAUCUUCGUAAACUUAUAGUGCAAAGAUGCCUCCACGUAAAUCACCAAGAAGCAAUCCUCCCAUACCAACACCACCUACUCCUCAGUUCGACACGACAACUCUAAAUGCUACUAUAGCUGCAGUUGUGGCUACAACCAUGGUUCAAUAUCAUUCAUCCGGUUCUACUGGAGGAGGAACCCCUGUCCUAUCUACUCAUGGUGAAAUCCCUGUGCGCUUGAAAUAGUGCUCCUACAAGGACUUCACCAACGGCAAGCCAUUGUCCUUCAAAGGGACUAGCGGAGUCAUUGCCCUCUCGCAAUGGUUUGAGAAAACUGAAUCGGUUUUCGAAAUCUGCUCCUGUCCAGAGGAGAGCAAGGUCAAGUUUGCUACUUGCACCUUUGAAACGAAAGCCCUAACAUGGUGGAAUAGACAUGUUAAGUCACUAUCUCUAAUAGUGGCUAAUGCUAUGGGCUAGGAAACUUUGAAAGACCUCAUGAUUGAGGAGUACUGCCCGAGGGGCGAGAUCCAGAAGCUAGAGGAAGAAUUGUGGAGCCUAACCAUGAAGGGAUCCAACGUAGUCGCCUACACCGCCAGAUUCUGUGAAUUGGUGGCCCUCUGUCCUAACAUGAUUCAUACUGAGGGAAAGAAAAUCGAGAGAUAUAUAUGGGGGCUGAUGCCACCAUACAAGGGAAAUGUUUUGGCUUCACACCCCACUACAUUUGAUAGUGCCAAACGAUUGGCACAACGGCUCAUAGACCAUGGGGUUCGUACCCCGGCUGCAACAACAACCCUGGCCAUCUCAGAACCCGCAAGAACCAUUGAUUCCAAGCGGAAGUUUUGGGAUGACAAAAAGAAGACAAAGGCUACCAAAAAGCAGCAGGUUGUGGCAAUACAUGCUGCGAUAGCACCUGCCGCUGCUGCUCUGGUAAAGCAGUACGCUAGAAGUUUGCCCAAGUGCAACAAAUGCAACUUCCAUCACGUUGGUGCCUGCCGGCAAAUGCAGUGUUUGAACUGCAACGGGAAGAGGCAUACUGCCCAUUUCUAUAAAGCUCCGGCGAAGCCAAUCAACCAAGUCCUCGGUGCUGGAGUGGGCCAAACUUGCUAUGGAUGUGGCGAGGUAGGCCACUUCAAAAGGAACUGCCCGAAGGCAGGGUUUGCCGAUGGAGCGACAAGAGUUCUGGCCAUAGGCCAUGAGGAGGCGGUUGCCGACCCCACAAUGGUCACUAGUAGGUUUCUCCUCGAUAACUCUUAUGCAUGCAUUCUAUUUGAUAGUGGAGCGGAGAGGAGUUUCGUGAACCAAAAAUUUGCUCAUUUACAUAAGCAAAAAUCACGAGCACUUAAAGAACUGUUCACUGUAGAAAUUGCUAAUGGAAAGACAGAGAGCACUCACAGCAUAGUCAUAGGGUGUACCCUAACUUUAGAUAGCCAUUCAUUUUCGAUUGAUCGCAUGCCGGUCUCAAUUCAAAGUUUCGACGUCAUUAUCAGCAUCGAUUGGUAGAGUUUUCAUCGUGCCGACAUCAAGUGUUACGAAAAGGCUGUUCGCCUUAAUCUGCUGUCUGGCGAAACCCUAGUAGUUUAUGGCAACAAACCCGACACGAACCUUCGUAUCAUCUCGAGCAUUCAAGCUCAGAAAUUCUUACGAAAGGAAUGUCGUGCAUUCCUUGCUCAUGUGGUCGAUGUGAGCCAAGAAACGAAGGACAUUCAGGACAUUCCAGUAGUACGCGACAUUCCCGACAUCUUUCCCGAAGAACUCCCAGGAUUACCUCCGCAACGUCAAGUCGAGUUCCGAAUCGACUUAGUUCCAGGGGCUACCCCCGUAGCCAAAUCACCCUAUCGUCUAGCACCUGCAAAGAUGCAAGAACUAUCCUGUCAUGCAACGACCCAAAAAUAAUGACUAAAAAUUUCUUUUCUAAAACAUUACUAAAACCAUAUUUAUAAAAACGUAUCAUAAUUCAUAACAUAACUUUCGAGUAUUAAAUUCAAAACAUAAUCUCAUUAUCAGAGUAAAACAUUCCCCAGGCUAACUAACUAUGGUGUGUGCACUGCAAUCUCUCCGAGCUCCUCUUUUGAAAACUGAGUACCUGAAACCAAAACUGAAAACCGUAAGAACGAAGCUUAGUGAGCUCGCCCAAACUACCACAUACCAUACAAUAACAUAUAAAACACAUAAUGGGCCUUGCCCACUGCAUCAGACCGAGGUCUGGACUAACUGGGGCCUUGCCCCCUACAUCGGACCGAAGUCUGGAAACUGACUGGGACCUUGUCCCCUGCAUGGGACCGAAGUCCGGACUAGCUGACUGGGACCUUGUCCCCUGCAUCAGACCAAAGUCUGGACUAAAUGGGGCCUUGCCCCCUGCAUCGGACCGAUGUCCGGAAACUGACUGGGACCUUGUCCCAUGCAUCGGACCGAAGGCUGGACUAACUGUGUCGGACCGAAGUCCGGAACUAACUGAACAGAACAUUACAUAAACAUAUCAACUAGCAUGAACACACAUACACUGCAUACUGCAUCGGGCCGUAGCCCGGAACACAUAACACAUAAAUCCUGUCUUAGCCACGAAGGCAUCAAACAUACUAACUACUGCAUCAGACCGAAGUCCGGAAACUACUGCUAGCUAAACGGGCCGACAUUGUGGCCUUAGACCCGUUCCUAUUGGAAGGAAACUCACCUCGAAAUGCUAACUGUUGAAAACUCGAGUGAAAGAUCCCCGACUACUGUCCUGGCUACUCCCCAACUAUCAUGGGAAAUAAAAUACUAACUCAGAAUAGGGAUUCUCCUAUGGGUAAAAUGACCAUUUUACCCCUGUUAUGGCAUUGGUCACAACAUUGCCCAAAAACCACCAAUUCCUUCUAAGCCCAUCCAUGGCCCCACUAAAGGCCCACUAAUGGCCCAAUUUGCUCCAUUGGGCCCAAAUCCCUUUAUUGGACCUUACUCAAGCCCAAUGCUAAAUCCUUGGUCCUUAGCAACUGAAUUUUGAUGGCCCAAUAAGGCCCAAUGACCCUAACUCUCAACUCAGCCCACACCGAGGCCCAAAAUGCAAUAAGCCCAACUAACUGCGUUACGCGGGGCAUACUCUAAUGUACACUUAGCGUACUGACUUGCUAGAGAGUACGCAGGGGGUACCUGCAAUGACGCUCGGCGUACUUACUAUGUUAAGACACUUCCCAUUAAGCGCUUAAUACUCCGACUCAAGAGCCAUAAAGUUAGAUCUAGGUCUUAUUCCAUGCCCUAAUCUAUAAAGUCACUGACUUGGUGAAUUUAUAUGGCCCAAACCAACCCAAACUCUCAAAACACUCUUCCACUUUCGUAAAGGGGACUAGAUCUCAUGCAUGAACUUAAUAGGACCACAAAGGUUGGAACUUUACUGCUUCUGGGACUCAUAUGACUCUAAGGGAGGCAACCCUGGUCUUAGAAUCGAGCUUAAGUCAUAAAGUCCAAAUCUUGGGACCAAAAGGUCCAUAAACUUGUACUAAGGAGAUCUAAGAGGUUAAUCAUCAAGCUCAAGACUUUUUACCUUGCAAAGGUCCGAAAUGAAGAACUUAUACCAGAUCUACAAGCUCUAGCUUCAAAGGUUCCUCCUUGCCAACCUUCUUCUCUUUGCUUCCAAGCUUUAAUCCACCAAAAUGGGUUCUCCAAGGUCAAGAUCUCAGAAAAUGAAGGUAGGGAUGUUCUAGGGUUUCUUCUGAGGUUGGGGAGGCUCAUAUGGGGGCUAGGGUUGGAACCAUAAUGUCCUUUAUAUAUUGCUCAAUCCGAAAUUAGGGUUUCAUAACUUUUAGCGUACGCCUUGGACAUCCGCGACCAAGCUACCUCAUUACGGUGGGCAUAACCACACGUGUUCCAAACAUGCAUCCAGGGCCUUCCAUGCAAACUUUUCUCUAUAAGGGCCAUUCUUGCCAAAUCUUCAAAGUGUCAUAACUCCUUCAAUCUAGAUCCGAUUCUGAUGAACUUUAUAUCCACGGAAAGGUGACGAGACACCCUACGUUUCUAACAACACAACCCGACCCGAAAACCUCUCGACUAAUAACUCCAAAUUUAAUAAAGGACUAAAACGCCCCUGGCCUUGGCCUCUGAAAUUCCAUAAAUGAAUAUUUUAGAACAGGGCGGUACAACUCUCCCCCCACUUAAACUAGACUUUGUCCUCGAAGUCCACUACAACCAAUUAUCUCACCACACCUUGCCUGGUGACUCUAACCCUUUUUUCUAUCACCCCAGCCACUCUCAGUGCUGAUCACUACUACUGGAAAAUACUAAAUUCUUCUUAUUUCCAUAACUUAGUGAUGAGCACCCAUCCCAGCGAAUGGAUCAGACAAUCCUUCGAGUGAAAGAUUCAUCCCUGCAAUGGUUAAGACUCAUACGAGAGCUGCGCAACAAGGUCAAACCCUCCCCUAUGAGAUUAUCCAACCCUGCUGCGAGAGGUGUAACACCCCCUGUCAACUUGCUGCCUCUUACCAUACUUCCCUUAUCGCUACUGCCGCUGACUGAAAAUUAUGAUGCUUCUCAUCUGCCAACCGGAUGCACUGAGACCACCCUGGUCCACUAAUCUGCCGAUAUCUGGGUUACCGGACUCCCACCGGUCACUACACCCCAUCACAAUCUCCUAGUCGCUUCCAGCGACUUUUGAAGAUACCUUGACUAUCUAUAACUAUUCAAUCCACUCUGCCACUCAUACUGAUUCGAUGCUGUCGGAACCAGCCUACUUAUCUCUCAUCUGACUACUCUAAUUCCAAUAACUCGAGUCUUCCAUACUGAAAGAAAGGAUACCUGCCUAAUUAUCCUUGCAGAUCACUUAUACUUGGCAGAUGAUUCAAUUGAUCCUGCUGUGAGAGACUUGCCAUUUCCAAAUCAACCAACUAUACUGUCAGCACUUGCAUUCCAACACGAAUACUAAUACUGUCCAUAACAUUGAAACUAUCCGAAACACUGAACUGCCUGGAACACUGAACUGCCUGAAGCAUUGAUCUGCCUGAAACAUUGAACUGUUUGAAACACUGCUUUGCCUUAUGUCCGCUUCCCAAAAUAUCUCGAGACCUUCCUGGUCUCCAAUCAUUCAUCGGUUAUCUGCAACACCGAGUUCCAACUCAACUGUGGAGUCCAAAGACUCCUCACUUAGUCACUCCCAUGACUUCUGAACGAAUCUUUCUCUGGAACUAGUUUCCACUAGUUAUCCUGUCAAUGUGGCUCUAUCAAACUCCCGAUCCACCGAUCAGGUCCAAACGUCACAUCCUGACAUCAUCAAUUCCAUGACUAGCAACAUUAUGGCUCCCAGACUAACGGUAGCCCUUAACAUACCCGAACCCCAAUGGUCCACUGCUACUCUGAUCUCACAACUGCGGUGACGAUCUGACUGUCGAAUCGCCGACUUAACCAUAACUGAACCAUUUGGGAAAUCCGAAAUCUAACCCGUGGAUUCCCAUAUCUUCACUGCUGCACCCGAACUGGUGGGUAGUACUGUUUCCCCUUUGUCCAAAUAACACGCUCAUGCUAUCUACUAACUUGACGAGUGCUACGGCUACUUCCGCAGACUUACAACACUAUACUACUAUCUGACUGCUAGUGAAUGCUACGGCUACCCCCGCAGACUUAUAACACUACUACUACUAUCUGACUGCUAGUGAAUGCUACGGCUACCCCCGCAGACUUACAACACUACUACUACUACUAUCUGACUGCUAGUGAAUGCUACGGCUACCCCCUCAGACUUACAACACUACUACUACUAUCUGACUGCUAGUGAAUGCUACGGCUACCCCCGUAGACUUACAACACUACUACUACUAUCUGAGGACAUCCUGACUAUCCCUAGUCCUGCUAGUGAUUCCUCAUCCUGAUUUCUCAAAACCAGACUUCCGUCUUCGAAUACUGCGUCAACCUCGACAUCUUAUAUCCUUGAUAUACUUAGCGCUUCGUCGAGGAAUUCUUCGGCUUGGUUCCCAAACCAACCGUUUACUAAUCCGGAUACAAGAAGCUAUUGUUGGGAAGUUUCUAAAGUCCCAACUUCUGAAUCUACACAACCCUGCAUGCUGACUCUGUCACUAGCUACUAAUACGAAAGCAUCUCUUGCUAACCGUUCUCAGGAUCCUCAUUCCGACUCACUAGAGGCCAACAGGUGGUCCUCCUAUCCUGGAUUCCCAAACAACUUCUAACCAUCUCGAUUACAUGAACUAACUGUUGGGAAGUUCCUCAAACUCCCAAUUCUGAACUCCUCAAUCCAUCAAUCACUGUGCUACUAUCUUUUCUUCUCAGAGGCCACGUACUCAUUCUGGGUCUUCAUGCUCUUAUCCUUGUAUACUCGGAGGGUUCUCCCCCACUUGGAUCCGGCUAACUCCUUACUGCACACUGGUCGAAAGGAUUUCCCAACCUUCCUUCCAUUAAAAGGGCGAUCUGCUGUCCGCCAACGUUUACCUCUGUCGGCGCUCCAACUAACUUUUACCAGAUCCGAACCAUUCUUGCUAUCUAACUAAGCACCCUUCAAUCCUUAACUGUAUUUGCUUUAGGGACUACAUCCCGAGAACCUGCAUUUGAGGUGCACAUCCCCAACCCACUUCCCUACUGACCGCUGGCUACCUCACUAGAAGCUCUAGAUUGUCACUAAUGAGAGUAUAACUGGUCAUUACCCGACUAACACCCUCUGCAAGUAGUGAGGCACUACUAAAUCUUACACACACAUGCUACAGUUACUGUAUCCAAAGUAACCUGACCUAGAGGGGAUGACCUCCAAUUCACCAUUCUAGUCCCAAGGUAUGCAGAUGGAAUAAAACUUCGUCACAAGCAGGUAAUACAAUACCCCAACACAUAUGCUUAUUGACAUCAAUGCAGCAACAUAACAAGAAUAUCAUGAAUAAUAAUUGACAGGGAGGUAAAAGAUACGUACCUCCAUCACUCAGCGCUGCUCGAAUCCUUGCUAAAAUCAACAGGAAAACUCGGCUCCGAGUCGUGGGCACCCUUUCCCGGCCUCGGCAACUGCUGGCGGUACUUGAAGUCCCAGGGGCAGGAGCUGGCACCUGCCCUGCUGUAUACAAACUCGGACAGUGGGCCUUCUUGUGGCCCCUCUGACUGCAAUGGAAACAUAUCAGAUCAAGUCCAUGGGAGAUGGUAACAAUACAAUCUCUGCUAAAAUGGCCAAUUUGGCGGCACUUGAAAUAUCCGACAUUGCCACCACUUCUACGCCUGCACACAACCAUAUGCGUCCUACCGCACUUCUCGCAUCGACUGCGGCUCUGAUAGUCCCUCAUCCUCAAAUCCGACCCUUUGGGCCUCUUACCCGAACCUGUGGCUACCUGAGUCUCAUCCGAUUUCCUCGCCCGUCUGAACAACAGCUGUCUGAUCCUGGAGCUUCGCGGUCAACCUAUCAGUGACCCUCACGACAAUGUCAGGCAUCUCCUCGCGAAUGGCUCGCAAAACCUCCCUGACUAUCCAAUCAUGUAGAGGCCUCUCCUGAAGACAGAGUGCCCCACUCACUCCUGUCCCGUGAUGAUAAGAGCUAAAAAUAGGAACUCCCUCCCUAAUGGAUCCCUGAACUCCAUAAGCAUCUGGCUCUAUAUGAGCCCCAAUCUAUCCUGAAACUAUCCCGGCCCUGAAGGCCUCCAAAUGACUGUCCAUAAGCUCCACGAUGGCCUCUCUAACCGAACCAAAAAUCACUGGAGCCUGAUCAAUGAUGUUACGCAUGAUCUCUAUGGAAAUGAAAUUCCUCAUCUGAUCAUCAAGCUGCUCGACUCUAUAACCUGAGCCAGAUCCCUACCCGGUACCUGAACUGCUAACUGGUAACUCGCGCAAUGUCACCAUGCUGAAAAUAUAACACUUCCUGAUCAAUACACACACCACUGCUUAGAGAUCUCUCACACACUCUAUAGUUCCCUGGUCUUGUCUUGGCCCCUCUUGAAUCGAGUACAGAUCCUCUGCUUUCAGUAGUACGGGCCCAUACUACCUUCCACAUCUAUCCGUAAUUUCCUCUAGAGUUACCUCAACUCCACCAAGUCACUCUCCUGCUACUGAUCUCUACUACUACCUUCCUAGGCUUUCCCUAGGGAACCUAUGACUCCACCCAAACCAGUCCUCAGCUGCUGAAGGCCUCCUUGUAAUGUCAAUUAGCCACCACCUGAAUACCACCACAUGCAAUGAGGCUCGGAUAAUCCUUCGAGUAAAAGACUCGUCCCUACAAUGGUUGGACUCAGACAAAAGCUGUGCAAUAGGGCCAAAUCCAGCACUCUGACAUUAUUCAACCCUGCUCACAUGUGAUGUGACGUAUUCACCUAAUGGCUAACUCCCAUCAUUCAGAGUCCCACAAAGCACAAAGCAAGCAGCAUUCAGACACAUGAAACUACUCAAGCAAAUCUACUCUCAUAACGAGAAACUGUACUAGCAUACAAUGCUAAGCUCAUACUAUCAUGCAUAACCUAAACAGGCUAUCCUACUAGUGUCUACUCACUACUAGCAUGCAAUUCUCAUAAGGCUAAAACACAUAAGCAGGCACAUAAGGCAUCCUCCUAGAUCCUUAGUCCUAUACUAGCAUGCUGUUCUACUGAAGCUGAAUCUGAACUGAAACUGGAACUAAAACUGAACUGAAACUGAUAAUCAUAAACUUGUUUGGGUAAUUUGGGAGUACUUACUUGAGCUCGGCUGAUUGCAUGCACCACACCCUUUUUCUCGUUUCAAGUUAUUUUCUUUCUAAAUAUUCUUUUCCAUUUUUCUAAAACUCUUUUCUUUUCUCAAACUCCUUUUUACCCAAAAUUUCCUUUCGAAAAUGUUUUUCUUUUGAAAACCUUUUACCAUUUCCUUAGUUUGAGUCCAGACACACUCUCAAGUAUGUCCGAAUCCCUCAAACCAAGGCUCUGAUACCAACUUGCAACGACCCACAAAUCAUGACUAAAAAUUUCUUUUUAAAACAUUACUAAAACCAUAUUGAUAAAAACGUAUCAUAAGUCAUAACAUAACUUUCGAGUAUUAAAUUCAAAACACAAUCUCAUUAUCAGAGUAAAACAUUCCCCAGGCUAACUGACUAUGGUGUGUGCACUGAAAUCUCUCUGAGCUCCUCUUUUGAAAACUGAGUACCUGAAACCAAAACUAAAAACCGUAAGCACGAAGCUUAGUGAGCUCCCCCAAACUACCACAUACCAUACAAUAACAUAUAAAACACAUACUGGGCCUUGCCCACUGCAUCGGACCGAGGUCCGGACUAAUUGGGGCCUUGCCCCCUGCAUCGGACCGAAGUCCGAAAACUGACUGGGACCUUGUCCCCUGCAUCGGACCGAAGUCUGGACUAACUGAAUGGGACCUUGUCCCCUGCAUCGGACCAAAGUACGGACUAACUGGGGCCUUGCCCCCUACAUCGGAUCGAAGUCCGAAAACUGACUGGGACCUUGUCCCCUGCUUCGGACCGAAGUCCGGACUAACUGCGUCGGACCGAAGUCCGGAACUAACUGAACAGAACAUAACAUAAACAUAUCAACUAGCAUGAACACACAUAUACUGCAUACUGCAUCGGGCCGUAGCCUGGAAAACAUAACACAUAAAUCCUGUCUGAGCUACGAAGGCAUCAAACAUACUAACUACUGCUAGCUAAACGGGCCGGCUUUUUGGCCUUAGACCCGUUCCUACUGGAAGGAAACUCACCUUGAAAUGCUAACUGUUGAAAACUCGAGUGAAAGAUCCCCGACUACUGUCCCGGCUGCUCCCCAGCUAUCAUGGGAAAUAAAAUACUAACUCAGAAUAGGGAUUCUCCUAUGGGUAAAAUGACCAUUUUACCCCUGUUAUGGCAUGGGUCACAACAUUACCCCAAAACCCCCAAUUCCUUGUAAGCCCAUCCAUGGCCCCACUAAAGGCCCACUAAUGGCCCAAUUUGCUCCAUUAGGCCCAAAGCCCUUUAUUGGACCUUACUCAAGCCCAAUCCUAAAUCCUUGGUCCUUAGCAACUGAAUUCUAAUGGCCCAAUAAGGCCCAAGGACCCUAAGUCUCAACUCCGCCCACACCGAGGCCCAAAAUGCAAUAAGCCCAACUGACUGCGUUAUGCGGGGCGUACUCUAAUGUACACUUAGCGUACUGGCUUGCUAGAGAGUACGCGGGGCGUACCUGCAAUUACGCUCGACGUACUUACUCUGUUAAGACACUUCCCAUUAAGCGCUUAAUACUCCGACUCAACAGCCAUAAACUUAGAUCUAGGUCUUAUUCCAUGCCCUAAUCCGUAAAGUCACUGACUUGGUGACUUUAUAUGGCCCAAACCAACACAAACUCUCAAAACACUCUUCUACUUCCAUAAAGGGGACUAGAUCUCAUGCAUGAACUUAAUAGGACCACAAAGGUUGGUACUUUACUACUUCUAGGACUCAUAUGACUCUAAGGGAGGCAACCCUGGUCUUAGAAACGAGCUUAAGUCAUAAAGUCCAAAUCUUGGGACCAAAAAGUCCAUAAACUUGUACUAAGGAGAUCUAAGAGGUUAAUCAUCAAGCUCAAGACUUUUUACCUUGCAAAGGUUCGAAAUGAAGCACUUAUACCAGAUGUACAAGCUCUAGCUUCAAAGGUUCCUCCUUGCCAACCUUCUUCUCUUUGCUUCCAAGCUUUAAUCCACCAAAAUGGGUUCUCCAAGGUCAAGAUCUCAUAAAAUGAAGGUAGGGACGUUCUAGGGUUUCUUCUGAGGUUGGGGAGGCUCAUAUGGGGGCUAGGGUUGGAACCAUAAUGUCCUUUAUAUAGUGCUCAAUCCGAAAUUAGGGUUUCAUAACUUUUAGCAUACGCUGGGUGUACCUCCUGGUACGCUGGGCGUACGCCUUGGACAUCUGCGACCAAGCUACCUCAUUACGUUGGGCGUAACCCAGCUUAUGCUGGGCGUACCCACGCGUGUUCCAAACAUGCAUCCAGGGCCUUCCAUGCAAACAUUUCUCUAUAAGGGCCAUUCUUGCCAAAUCUUCAAAGUGUCAUAACUCCUUCAUUCUAGAUCCGAUUCUGAUGAAGUUUAUAUCCACGGAAAGGUGACGAGACACCCUACAUUUCUAACGACACAACCCGACCCGAAAAUUCUCGAAUAAUAACUCCAAAUUUGAUAAAGGACUAAAACGCCCCUGGCCUUGGCCUCUAAAAUUCCAUAAAUGAAUAUUUUAGAACAGGGUGUUACAUGUCAGCUUAACGAACUACUCAGCAUGGGCUUUAUAAGACCAUGUUUCUCACCCUGGGAGAUCCAGUUUUGUUCGUCAAGAAGAAAGAUGGAUCGUUUCGUAUCCGUCGAGUCGAAUUCUUAGGACACGUGGUUAGCGAAGAAGGAAUACACGUGGACCCUUCCAAAAUCGAAGCUGUAACACCCGUUUAUUUAUUAAAUAAAUAAAUAAAGAAAUGAAGGACUCGUAGACCUAAAAUAAAUAAUUAUGUAUAAUAGGAUGGUAUCGAAGAGCUAAUCAUCACCAUUUUAGAAGUAGGGGGUUAAAAGUGUGAGUUUGAGACUCAUUUUAUAAAUAUUUAUGAAGACAGGGGUUCCGUGGUAAUUAUUGGGAAUUAUUUUAAAAAGAAAUGAGGUGGAGGGGCUGAAUAUGUUAUAGUUAAGACAUUGGGGGACUGUUUGGUAAUUUAUGAGACUUAAUUGGUAAGGGAUUUCCAUGGAUUGGGUUGAAAGGGUAAAUAUGGGAUGACAUUUGAAAGAAAAAAGGAAUGGAGGGACUGAUGUUGCCACUAUGGCAAACUUUUAAGAUGAGUCGGGUAUAUAAUCACAUUAUCAGUCAAACCCUAAACAAAAAUCCUCCCUUAUGCAGUAGCUGUCACUCCUCCCCCCUUGUGCCUCCCAACUUUCGGUCGCAACCCCAUUCUACCUAGCUUCGCCGACCGACCCAGGCCACCGAAGGACCGAGAUGACCGGUGAUGACCAACGCUGCAACGGAAGUUUCCAAGGCCGGAGAAUCUGUGAGCAAAUACCGCCUUCAUCCCUUCGCCACCUCAGUCGUGUUUUCUCUCCACUGUCGCCUGUUUCCAUUGAAGGUGAUGUCGCCAGAUAUUUUUGUGUGCUCCAUCAGUGCAUGUGUGGACUGGAUGAUGGGAAAAGACCAAUAGGAGCCUUCGCCACCACUGUGAGGUGGUGGCUCUCAUCGCAAAACCACCUCCUGCUACCGUUUCUUUCCAUUUUUGUCAUUGCUGCCUUGUCUCGUCACCACCAGCUAUUGGGAGUGGCCCUGAGUUCGUAUGGGUGUGUUUCAACUCCAAUGCUCGUGUAUGGGGGUGGCUGUUCGACUGGGAACUAUUAGUAACCACCGCCACCACCACGAGGUGGUGGCUGCCGACGUGAAAUGACCUUUUGUCGUUGCCAUUCGCCACCAAAUAGGUGGUUGGUUUCCCAUUCCGAGAAAGAGUCGUGUUUUAUGGGUGUGAAGCCGGAAAAUCGUGGAAGAUCGCCACUGUCACCACCGUGAGGUGGUGGUUGCCAACAUGUACCACCAUGGGUGGGUGUUUGUUUGUGUGUGUGUAUUUGUAAUUAUAUUAGGGUGUGUGUGUGUUAAUUAGAUGGGCAUUGUAAUUCUAACAAAAUGGAAUAAUUAGAAAGAACCCUAACCACCACCGUGAGGUGGUGGUUGCCGCUACCGGCCACCGUGUCCGGUGGAGGUGAGCUUUGGCUCUUGUGAUAGAUUCGUUUGGGGUGCUACAAACCCUAAUGGGCUCAAAGGAAACUUAACCCUAAUCAUCAUUUUAUGUGAAAUCCUAAUUUCACUUGGGUUUAUUGUUGGGCCUUUCUAUUGGGCCUUGAUGAUUGGGUUAUUAAAUGGGCUAUCCAAGAUCAAGCAAAUGGUCUAGAGUAAUUUAAUGGGCCUAGGGUAAGGCCCAUGUAAGGGGCUUGGGCCCAAUUUGGAAAAUUGGGCCAUAGUUUGGGCCUUAAUGAUUAUAUGAUGCUGCGCCUUAGAAUGAGACCAUGUAUAGGCCUAGGCCCAAUUUGGAAAAUUGGGUCAUGUGUUGGGCUUUGAUUCAUAAUUGAAUUUGGGCCUAUGGAUCGGGCCUUGGGCUUGAAUAAGCCAAGCUAGGGGUAAUGUAGUAAUUACCCAAAGAAUGUACUUAUGGUUAUGUAUUGGGACCCAAUUAUUAAUUGGGUGUUAUUUUGGUGUUGACAGUUCGGGAAUCUAUCAGCCAGUAGCUAGGGUCGAGUCUGCAAGACUUCAGCAAGUGUGAGAUUGUGUCUUCGGGACUUCAGCAAUGUGAUGUGAGUUACCUUCCAGUAGCGGUGGGUCUACGGCCACAAUGCCGGCCCACCAGUAGGAGUUGUAUGCUAGAUGGUUGUCUUUGUGAUAUCAUCUAGGUUUGCUACUUCCUGAUAUGCUAUAUGCUGGCAUGAUAUGUUAUAUGUGAUGAUAUGUUUAUACGCUGGCACGAUAUGUUAUAUGUGAUAGUGGUAGUAGCAGGGGAAUAAUCCCCAAGUUCGGUUGUUAGGACCGAAGGGUAGUUCGGACACCCCAUAUAUGUAUGAUAGUAUGUUUAUGUUAUGAUAUGUAUGAUAGUAGCGGUAGGGGUGGAAUAGUCCCCGAGGGUCGGGUGUUAGGACCGACGGGUAGGUCAGCACCCCAGAAUCGCUUGGCAUGGGUAGGUCAGCACCCUAGAAUGGCUUGACAUGGGUAGGACGACACCCCAAAAUGGCCGCAUGGGUAGGUUGGCACCUCAGAAUGGCCGUACGGGUAGGUCGGCACCCCAAAACUGCCGUACCGGGCAGGUCGGCCACCACAGAAUUACCCGACAGUAUAUAUGUUAUGUGAUUGUGUGGUAUGUGGUAUGAUGGAAGAACUCACUAAGCUUCGUGCUUACGGUUUUCAGUUUUGGUUUCAGGUACUUCGUGUUUAAAUGAAAGGAGUCGGCUUGAUCGCAGCGCAUCACACUAUGGUUUUCCGCGCAUGAGAUCUUUGGGAUUACACUCUGAUAUUGUUUUAUGAUAACAUCUUUCAUUAUUUCUACUUUGGUUUUAACAUGAAAUGAUAUUACAGAUGUUUUAUUACACUGUUGGUUUUAUAAAGACAUAUUUAAAAAAAAUGAAUUUUUUGGCCUGUAUUUUUGGGAUGUUACAAGUUGGUAUCAGAGCCUUGGUUUGAGGGAUUCGGACAUACUGUCGGGUGUGUAUGAACUCAAACUAAGGGCUUGGUAAGAAAAUUUUUAAAAGUAAAACCAUUUUAUAUAAAGGAGUUUGAAAACAAUCUGAAAGAGAAAGGAACUUUGAGAAGAACAAAGUGUGUGAUGCGUGCAAUCUGUCACAAUCAGGAAUUUUUGUGCCUUGUAACUACAACACUUAAGUCAAAUUAUGAAUCCAAAAACAUAAGGGCAUGUAUGAUGCUUACUGUUGGGUAGCGUAGCCUUAUUUUUUUAUUGCGUCAUUGGGCUCGAUUUAUAGUCCAAAGUUUUGCACUCCGGUUUGGGCCUGUCCAACCAUGAGCUUGUAGGGUUUACUAUAUAAUAAUAUGCUUGCAUGCAUAUUAGGUAAACGAUCUAGAAGACGAUAGAAUUACGAUAGCAUUACAGUUUUCUUUCUUUAUCGUUCUUGUAAACCCUUUAAUCCUCUACAGUUGAUGUUCUUUAUCGAGCUCUUCUGAGGGUUGUUUAUAAUCAUUCGACAUUGUUCGAUCCAUUCUUGAGUUGUUUACUAUUUCGUAUUCUUGCUGUUUGCUCUUUAUUUUACCUGUUUAAGAUCUAAUCGAUCUUCAAGUUUAGAAUUUAAACUUAUCAAUUGGUAUCAGAGCAGGAGGCUGUGUAAUCGAUACACUUCUUUUCUGUGAAAAAGGUUUCGAUUAGGGUUUUCCGCAAUUACUGAUAUUUAUUGAGCCAUCAUCUCAUUAUUGACGUAUCUCAAUAUUUAUUGUUUUGCCCUAAUUUGAUUUAUUACAAGUCUGAUCUUUGAACAGGUAAUUCGAUCAUUAUGGACGAGUCGCAAUCGAAUCCCAUCAAUAUUUCGAACAACAUUGGAUCAACAACGAAGAUUCCCAUCCUAUACACCCACGAUUAUGAAGUCUGGGCGCAUCACUUUGAAGAUUACGUUAUAGGAUCUGAGGAUAAUGGAUACCUCAUCAGGGAAGCAAUUAUUUCUGGACCGUUUUCUCAUUCUGCAAUAUCAAGGAUUAUUAAAACUCAAAAAGAGUAUAAUGAUCUUCUGAAAGAUGUUAAAGACAUUGCGCAAGAUGAAAAGGAUAAAUUUCAGUGCAAUAUCAAGGCGUUAAGAUUGAUCAGAUUUGCUCUUCAGUCCGAUACUUUUAGACUGGUGAGUUCAUGCACGACGGCAAAGGAGAUUUGGGACAGGCUACAUGAAUUGUACUCUACAGACGAGGAUAUUGAACACUCCAUUCAAACAUUACUCUUGUCUGAGUUUGGUGAAUUCAGGCAAGGAGCCGAAGAAACUGUGACCCAAACGUUCGAUCGCUUCAAUCAUCUUCUUAGCAAGAUGAUCAAACAUGACAUCGAAAGGAAGCUUAUUGAGCAGAAGGUUACGUUCUUAAUUGGUCUCAGAUCAGAGUGGAGAGCAGUUGUGUCCACAGUUAAAGCCCACGAGCAAUUUAAAUCAUAUUCCUUGGCGAAACUGGUGGGCAUUCUCAAAUCUCAGGAGAAGAUUGUGUUGCAGGAGAAGAAUGUGGUUUCAAGCCUAGGUUCGUUNNNNNNNNNNNNNNNNNNNNNNNNNNNNNNNNNNNNNNNNNNNNNNNNNNNNNNNNNNNNNNNNNNNNNNNNNNNNNNNNNNNNNNNNNNNNNNNNNNNNNNNNNNNNNNNNNNNNNNNNNNNNNNNNNNNNNNNNNNNNNNNNNNNNNNNNNNNNNNNNNNNNNNNNNNNNNNNNNNNNNNNNNNNNNNNNNNNNNNNNNNNNNNNNNNNNNNNNNNNNNNNNNNNNNNNNNNNNNNNNNNNNNNNNNNNNNNNNNNNNNNNNNNNNNNNNNNNNNNNNNNNNNNNNNNNNNNNNNNNNNNNNNNNNNNNNNNNNNNNNNNNNNNNNNNNNNNNNNNNNNNNNNNNNNNNNNNNNNNNNNNNNNNNNNNNNNNNNNNNNNNNNNNNNNNNNNNNNNNNNNNNNNNNNNNNNNNNNNNNNNNNNNNNNNNNNNNNNNNNNNNNNNNNNNNNNNNNNNNNNNNNNNNNNNNNNNNNNNNNNNNNNNNNNNNNNNNNNNNNNNNNNNNNNNNNNNNNNNNNNNNNNNNNNNNNNNNNNNNNNNNNNNNNNNNNNNNNNNNNNNNNNNNNNNNNNNNNNNNNNNNNNNNNNNNNNNNNNNNNNNNNNNNNNNNNNNNNNNNNNNNNNNNNNNNNNNNNNNNNNNNNNNNNNNNNNNNNNNNNNNNNNNNNNNNNNNNNNNNNNNNNNNNNNNNNNNNNNNNNNNNNNNNNNNNNNNNNNNNNNNNNNNNNNNNNNNNNNNNNNNNNNNNNNNNNNNNNNNNNNNNNNNNNNNNNNNNNNNNNNNNNNNNNNNNNNNNNNNNNNNNNNNNNNNNNNNNNNNNNNNNNNNNNNNNNNNNNNNNNNNNNNNNNNNNNNNNNNNNNNNNNNNNNNNNNNNNNNNNNNNNNNNNNNNNNNNNNNNNNNNNNNNNNNNNNNNNNNNNNNNNNNNNNNNNNNNNNNNNNNNNNNNNNNNNNNNNNNNNNNNNNNNNNNNNNNNNNNNNNNNNNNNNNNNNNNNNNNNNNNNNNNNNNNNNNNNNNNNNNNNNNNNNNNNNNNNNNNNNNNNNNNNNNNNNNNNNNNNNNNNNNNNNNNNNNNNNNNNNNNNNNNNNNNNNNNNNNNNNNNNNNNNNNNNNNNNNNNNNNNNNNNNNNNNNNNNNNNNNNNNNNNNNNNNNNNNNNNNNNNNNNNNNNNNNNNNNNNNNNNNNNNNNNNNNNNNNNNNNNNNNNNNNNNNNNNNNNNNNNNNNNNNNNNNNNNNNNNNNNNNNNNNNNNNNNNNNNNNNNNNNNNNNNNNNNNNNNNNNNNNNNNNNNNNNNNNNNNNNNNNNNNNNNNNNNNNNNNNNNNNNNNNNNNNNNNNNNNNNNNNNNNNNNNNNNNNNNNNNNNNNNNNNNNNNNNNNNNNNNNNNNNNNNNNNNNNNNNNNNNNNNNNNNNNNNNNNNNNNNNNNNNNNNNNNNNNNNNNNNNNNNNNNNNNNNNNNNNNNNNNNNNNNNNNNNNNNNNNNNNNNNNNNNNNNNNNNNNNNNNNNNNNNNNNNNNNNNNNNNNNNNNNNNNNNNNNNNNNNNNNNNNNNNNNNNNNNNNNNNNNNNNNNNNNNNNNNNNNNNNNNNNNNNNNNNNNNNNNNNNNNNNNNNNNNNNNNNNNNNNNNNNNNNNNNNNNNNNNNNNNNNNNNNNNNNNNNNNNNNNNNNNNNNNNNNNNNNNNNNNNNNNNNNNNNNNNNNNNNNNNNNNNNNNNNNNNNNNNNNNNNNNNNNNNNNNNNNNNNNNNNNNNNNNNNNNNNNNNNNNNNNNNNNNNNNNNNNNNNNNNNNNNNNNNNNNNNNNNNNNNNNNNNNNNNNNNNNNNNNNNNNNNNNNNNNNNNNNNNNNNNNNNNNNNNNNNNNNNNNNNNNNNNNNNNNNNNNNNNNNNNNNNNNNNNNNNNNNNNNNNNNNNNNNNNNNNNNNNNNNNNNNNNNNNNNNNNNNNNNNNNNNNNNNNNNNNNNNNNNNNNNNNNNNNNNNNNNNNNNNNNNNNNNNNNNNNNNNNNNNNNNNNNNNNNNNNNNNNNNNNNNNNNNNNNNNNNNNNNAAACCGAAAGCUAACAUCCAUCAUCAACCGAAGCAGAUGAGAAAUCAAAAACGUCAAAGGAAUCAGAGAUAUAGGAAGAAUCUCUCUGAAAGAAAACAGUUCUGGCAAUCUCAGAAUGCUUAUUUCUCACAUCAAGACAAGAAUCUAAAGUCUGAGAAAAAUCCUGUUGAAUCACAAGAGAAUUGCAACAACCGAAAGCAGAGGUNAAUGAUCAAAAGCAAAAGCGUCACCUAGAGUCUUCAACCAAGAAGUCAACUCAAUCUAAGCCUUCUCAUUCUAUCUCUUCUAAUUCUGUUAAAUCUUCCAAAUCUUCUCCACCUCGUUCUAAAUCCCAUUCUGCUCCUUCUCAAAAAUCUCUUUCAUCAGCAGAACAAAAGCGAAAACAGAAGGUUUCAGCAUCUAAGCCAGAGUCUAAACCGAAAGAAUCUAAUCCCAAUAAAAUUAAAGUUUUUACCAUCAAAAAGAAAGAUGAAACAACACUAAUAAAACGAACAUAUCUUGUUGACAUCUCUCUUACUAUUCCUGUUCCUGUGAAAGGCUCACGUGGACCCAAGAAACUUUGGGUUCCUAAAUCUGCUUAAUUUUUGCAGGUUAUCAGUGACGAGCAGUUUGACGAAGAAUGGUACAUCGAUAGUGGCUUCUCGCGUCACAUGACAGGGAGGAAAGAAGAACUCAGGGAAUACCGGUCUCUUUCAAAUGGUGGAAACGUCAAGUUUGGAAACAAUUCCUUCGGCACCAUAAAAGGCUAUGGAAUGAUUACUAAUGGUGAUUUCACGAUAAGGAAAGUGGCAUAUGUGUAAGGACUACAACACAACCUCAUCAGUGUAUCUCAGCUUGUUGGAGGUACCGGUCUUAAAGUCUCAUUCGACGAUGAGGGUUCUGAAAUAAUUGAGAAGAAGACGAAAAGAGUUAUUCUCAAAUCGGAGCGUAAGGGUGAAAUGUUUCCUCUAAACCUCAAACCCAUCAAAGGAAACCCAGCUAUUUGCCUAUUAUCAAAAGCGCAAUCUGACGAAAGCUGGCUGUGGCACCGAAGGCUCUCUCAUCUUAACUUUAAGGACAUCAACAAACUUGUCACUGGAGGUCACGUCCGAGGUCUUCCAUUGCUCAAGUUCGAUAGAGAUCACUUGUGUGCUGCAUGCGAAAUGGGGAAGCAGAGUCGUCAAAGUCAUCCAUCUAUAAUAAACACUAAAGUUGUUGAACCACUAGAAUUACUUCAUAUUGAUUUGUGUGGUCCAUCAUCUAUCGAAAGCAUCGGUGGUAGCAAGUAUAUUCUUGUUAUUGUUGAUGACUUUUCGCGUUUUACAUGGGUGUUCUUUCUGAAGCUUAAAUCUGAAGCGACUCACAAGCUAAAAGUGUUCAUCAAGCAGAUUGAAGUACAGCUGAAGAAGGUCGUUCGCAACAUCAGGAGCGACAAUGGAUUGGAGUUCAAAAAUAGAGAAUUCGAAGAAUUCCUGGCAGAAAAGGGAAUCAGUCACAACUUCUCAGCUCCCUACACACCUCAACAGAACGGAAUUGUCGAAAGACGAAACCGAUCCUUAUGUGAAGCAGCCCGAACCAUGCUAAGUUUCGCUUCCUUACCUUUAUAUUUUUGGGCUGAUGCUAUUUCUGCUGCUUGUUAUACACAGAAUAGGUCAUAUCUCAACAAGCGCUUCACUCUCACUCCUUAUGAGAUCAUCAACAACAGGAAGCCAAAUGUGAAGUUUUUCCAUGUGUUCGGUUCACGGUGUUUUAUCUUCAAUUCUAAAGAACACCGCAACAAGUUCGAUGUCAAAGCCGACGAAGGGAUAUUUCUGGGCUAUUCUCUCACUUCUAAAGCGUAUAGGGUAUUAAACAAGCGUUCGAGGAAAAUAGAAGAAACUUACUACGUGACUUUUGAUGAUAGCUAUGUCAAAAAGCUAAAGGCCAACGAAGACACAGCUGGAGAAAUCUUUCCUCAAACUGGCCAAGUCACAGCCUCGAUCGCUAAUCUAUUCGAGAAGUUCAUGGAGCUUUUUGAUGAACCAGAGAAGGCCACUCUUUCUGAAGCCAGUGCAGCAGACAACAGGGUAGAUCACUUAAAGCAACUUGUCGACGAUGCUGCAAGGAGAAUGAAUGAGGGAGAAUCAGGUUCUGAAGACCCUCCACAACACAAUGCUUCAGUCGAGGGGGAGGAUCCACCAUCAUCAUCCCAGCCGAGCUCACAAGUUGAGGGGGAGCUAAGGUCUCAAACUACUCCCGAAAGCACUUUGCCAACCGAAAGCACUUCGCCAACCGAAAGUGCCUCACCAUCCGAAGGUGCAUCAACGCCCGAAAGCUCAGCACCACAAGAAACCACUGUAGCUCAAGAUUCUCAAGACAUUCCUGUAAGAUCAUCUAUCGAGGGGGAGCAUGCUGAUAUGUCUUACGACUAUGAAAGCCAGUCCGAACCAGAAGAAAUGAUAAACGCUGAAUUAGAUCCAACCUUUGAUCCAAACUACCCUCCUCUCACCAAAUGGACCAGAGAUCAUCCUGUCUCUCAAGUUGUUGGUGAUGUAUCUGAAAAAGUUCUGACUCGAUCACAACUCAAGGCAAAACAGACUUCCUUGUUUUCAAAAGUCGAAUUCUGCAUGUUUAACUCAUUCGUAUCAAAAGUUGAACCAAAGACAGUUAACACUGCUCUUGAUCACUCCGAUUGGGUUCAAGCUAUGCAAGAUGAACUGAACGAAUUCGAAAGGAACAAAGUCUGGCGCCUUAUUCCAACUCCUCCAGAUGCCUCGGUUGUUGGUCUUAAAUGGGUCUUUAGGAACAAAAUGGACAAGGAAGGAAACGUAAUUCGAAACAAAGCUCGUCUGGUCGUGAAAGGAUACUGUCAGGAGGAAGGGAUUGAUUAUGAAGAGACUUUCGCUCCUGUAGCUAGGCUGGAAUCAGUAAGAAUAUUUCUAGCCUAUGCUGCCCACAAAAACUUUGAGGUCUACCAAAUGGACGUCAAGUGUGCAUUUCUCAAUGGAGAACUCGAAGAAACUGUGUAUGUGGAGCAACCUCCUGGAUUCGUGAAUGAAAAGUAUCCUAAUCAUUGUUACAUUUUGGAUAAAGCCGUGUAUGGACUGAAACAAGCUCCGAGAGCCUGGUAUGAAACGCUGACUAAAUUUUUAAAGAUGUCCAAAUUCAAACAAGGUUCGGUUGACCCAACCUUCUUUCGUAAAAAGGAAGGUAACCACCUUAUGAUCGUUCAAAUUUAUGUCGAUGAUAUCAUCUUUGGCUCAACGAAUCCUAGCCUAACAGCUGAAUUCAGAAAGCUGAUGGAGACUAAAUUUGAAAUGAGCUCAAUGGGUCCUAUUAACUUUUUCCUUGGUUUAAAUAUUAGACAGGGACCCGAAGGCAUCUUUAUUAAUCAGGAAGCUUACACGAAGACUCUCCUAGCAAAAUUUGGCAUGAUGGGAGAUUCCAAAGUCAAAGUUCCAAUGGCGUUCGGCACCAAGCUCACCCCAUCCCUGGACAAACCGGCUGUUGAUAUUACGCUUUAUCGUCAGAUGAUAGGCUCACUGAUGUAUCUUACUGCUAGCAGGCCUGACAUAAUGUUUUCAGUUUGUUAUUGUGCUAGAUUUCAGGCAAACCCACGCGAACCUCACAUGCUUGCAGUGAAGAACAUUCUACGAUAUCUCAAGCGAACUACCUCUUUAGGUCUAUGGUAUCCUUCCAACUCAGGCUUCUUCGUUCAAGCCUACUCAGAUGCAGACCUUGGAGGUUGUGGACUAGACAGGAAAAGCACCACUGGAGGCUGCCAAUUCCUUGACGGGAAGUUGGUUAGCUGGCAAUCAAAGAAACAAACGUGUGUGUCUUUGUCUACAGCUGAAGCAGAAUACAUUGCAGCUGCAUCCUGUACCUCUCAAGUGAUUUGGAUCCAGAGUCAACUCAGAGACUAUGGACUCAAUAUGAAAAAGAUCCCACUAUAUUGCGACUCUGAAAGUGCAAUUAGGAUCUGUCAUAACCCAGUGCAACACUCCAAAACCAAACACAUAGCACUGAGGUAUCACUUCAUCAAAGAUCAUGUGGAAGAUGGAAACGUUGAAGUACACUUUGUAAGAACCACUAAUCAACUGGCUGAUGUCUUUACCAAAGCUCUUCCUGAAGCCUCAUUCAACAAAAUCCUACAAGGGCUAGGUAUGAUGGAAUCAUAAUCAGUACCACAAACUACCUCUCGAUCUCAAACGUAAGAAGCGAACUAAACCGAACGUUCAGGUUCAGUUGAAUCAUCUGCACUCGCUCAUCAUUUCAAAGGUAAUUUUCUUGGUUGUAAAUUUCAUGUACAAAGUUGUUUAUCUAUUCGUCUAAAGUAUUUCCUAUUUGAAAGUCUAAAUUCCUUGGUUUCUAAAAAUUUUUCAAAACCGAAACCUACCGAAGGUUCGGGUUCGGUUUUUCAAAAUUUUUCAAAACCGAAACCAACCGAACGCUCGGGUUCGGUUUUUCAAAAUUUUUCUCAACCGAAACCAACCGAACGCUCGGGUUCGGUUCCAAAUUUUUCCAAAGUUUUUUUUUUAACUCUUUUUAAUUUCUUUCUGAGUCUUAUUUUUUUACUUUGUUAUUUUUAAUUUUUUUUAUAUAUAUCCAAAACUCCAAAAAUAUUUUGUUCUUUAUUUUCUUUUUAGUCUUUCAUUUUAUUUGUGUGUUCGUUCGUUCAUGGGUAAUGUGUUAGAAUAGUUAAGUGUCCCUAGAAGCAUGCUGCUGUAUGUGUCUCAAGCCUCAUAAGAUUCUGAAUAAUCGCCUUAAUGACUUGGUAUAAACAAACCUUGUCUUCCCAAUUAGGCUAUCACAUUUAUUCUAAUCGUGAGCUACCUAACUCUCUUCUCACAUGAGAUAAGAGUUUUCUGCUUGGUCCUUAUUUUCACAGCAGAGGUAAUUUAAUUUCUUACACCAUCUCCAUUACAAUUCCCCAUCACAUUCGUUUCAUCAACGUAACCCCUGAGACUCUCAGAAAUUACCACUGAGGUUUAUGGUUACUCCAAAACUGUGUUUAUGAUCUUAGUUUCGUGCCACUACGAGCUGAGUGAAACCCAAAAUUCAAUACCAAAUCUGAAUUGACGGUGAACAAUUAAAUUGGUCAAGUUUUUCACUAAUGAAUUGACGGACGUAUCCUCAUGAAAUCUCAAGUUUUUCUUUUGUGUGAUUCCUAUGAAAUUGUUAAACACCAUAACAUUUCUUCCCUUGGGAUCCAGUUUUUUUUUUUUUUUGAGAUUUUAUAUUUACCAGCUACUUUCAAAUUAUUUUAUGCCUACUUGUUCAACAGACUACACCGGUCUCACAAGUACUUUGUUCACUUUCUUUCUUAUUUCAAGAUUAGAACUGUUGAAUCAAAGCUAAAGCCACCCUAAAAAGCCUAAUUAAAAGAAGCCUUUCAACACUUAUUAAUAAGUGUUUGAUCAUUAUUCAACGGGAAACCACAUUAACACUUUAAGGUCUCUCUUGACUUUGAAGGAAGAGAUUCGUGCCCGGGAUCAUUUGUUUCGUGUCUUAAUUGACAUCAGAUUUAUUCCUAAAAGGAUUUGCUUUAUUUUUCUUCUUUUUACACCCUUAGCACGAAAAUCUUUGAUUUUCCAAAAUUCUGGUACUAAUAAUUACAGGCUGUUUUACUGAAUUGGUGGUUAAUUAAAAGACGUGGUCCAAAUUAAUCAACGUGGGCGUAUCAUUCAAAAGAUGCCGUUACAAAGAUAAGAUGAAGGGUUACUAACUCAUGCGGGAGUCUAAUGGAUUGAAUUUCAAACGGCGGUAAAAAGGGACGCAUGUGAAUUUGAAACGUCCACUCUUUAACUGACAUUGUGGACGCGUGUGCGAAUUUGAAACGAUUCCUCUCUGGCACAUAAAGGCGCAUGUGGAUUUUAAACGGUUUCUUCAGAAACUGCGCUUGUUGGGCGGUGUGUUCCAAGGAAUCUGACACUCUCUCUCAUGCGUGAUCAUCGCAUGCCUUAACUGUCACGCAUCAGUCAUUCCGAAAAACCUUUCGUAUUUCGAUAGAAGAUUUGAACAGAUUUUUCUCUCUCCUUUCAACCACUAUAAAAGGCGACCUCAUCUCCCUUUUACCUCUUUACCGCAUCCAAAUUCCCAAGAGAGCAAAAACUCCCAGAAAACCUAACUGUUCAUCAUCUUCUUCUCCACUUCAACAAUGGCUGAAUCAUCGUCUGUUCAUGCUACUUCCCACAUCCUUCCCAUUCGCCCUCAACAGUGUUUGGUGAUCGAUUUAACCCCUCAGGCGUACGAUUCCUACAUGUUCCCGAUUAUCGAGUGCCUGAAGUAUUCUCCUAUCGCUCCUGCACUUUCACGGGUGGAAACAGUGCCCAUGGAGAUUUUAUCGCAGAUCUAUGCGACUGCACAUUAUGACAAAGCAGUCGAUAGAAUCUUCUUCGAGGUUGCUGAUCACAAAGCCUCGAUUUCCAGGCAACGAUUUGCCUCAUUGCUAGGGUUUGCUGCUGACCCUUCUAGGGUUAAUCCGGAGACGAUUCCNNNNNNNNNNNNNNNNNNNNNNNNNNNNNNNNNNNNNNNNNNNNNNNNNNNNNNNNNNNNNNNNNNNNNNNNNNNNNNNNNNNNNNNNNNNNNNNNNNNNNNNNNNNNNNNNNNNNNNNNNNNNNNNNNNNNNNNNNNNNNNNNNNNNNNNNNNNNNNCGGCUCCAGUCUCUUCUUGUCGAUCAUGUACGGGGUUUAUAACGGCGUCAACCUCGAUUAUGGGUUGGUUCUCUGGAAACAACUCAUCCAGAGUUUAUCAUCCUCUUCACGACAUUCUGAGGUGUCGUAUGCCAGGUUCUAGACCAUCGUUGCUAAAUGGGCGAUGGUUAAGCACGAUGUCCCACCUGCUGCCGGUGCAUCGAUGUCUUCGAUUGGUACAUUCCAUACCAUGAAGAUUAUCGUCUUAGAUGCAUCGAGGUUUUCUUUCAUUGGCUCUAUUCCGGAGACCAUGUACGGCGAUGUUCCAUCUGACAGCAAGAUCAUCCGGACUAUCAAGGAGUUCAAGCAGUCUGGACCGAGGGAACUCACAAAGGAGAUGCUCAAAUCUAUACAUGAUGCCGAUAAGCCUGUAUCAAGAGGCAAAAAGGCAGAAAAAGGAAAGCAAGUGGCGAAAGGGGCUAAAGGCCCUUCUCCUAAAAAGAGAAAGGCUACUAAACCUGCUCAAUCCCCCCAGCAGAAGAGGCGCAAGACUCAACCCAAGCGAAAGCUCAUUAUCGCUUCCUCUUCUGGUGAGUCGGAAGGUGAGAGUUCGGAUUCGGACGGCUCUCAAAGAGGCGAAACCCCUCCAAGAGGCAAUACCCCACCCAGAUUACCUACCCCAGACAUGGAAAUCCAUAUCUCACCAAUUCCCUCUCCCACUCAAACCAUUCCCACUUCCAUUCCCACCAUAACNCCUAAAACCCCUUUCCCUAUACCACCACCCAUUUUCACCGAUACAACAACCACAACUACUGCAAAGGUUACAACGAACGUAUCUGAUACGGGGGUUCAUACCGAUGCAACCGAACCACCACCAGUAACCGAACCCUCACACACAACCGAAACCCAACCACCACCCGAACCUACCCAUACUCAACAACAAACCGAACCUAUCCAUACCCACACUCAACCUGAACCUACACACACCACUACACCUCCAGCUUCACCACCACCACCAUCUCCAGGUCAUGCCUCUGACGGAGAUAACCCUUUCCUUGGAGGGGAACAUAUGACCUUCGAUUCGGUCUACUAUAGUCCGUUUCAGGUCCACAGCGACGAUGAUGAGGAAGCUCCAGUAACAAAGAAGCAUCUUAAGGAGCUGCAUGAGAAGUUUGACCUGCUUAUUGCUUCAUCCUCCAAUUCUCAAUCCUCUCUCUCUGAAGCUGCUCUUCAGAAGAUCGUUGAUGCCUUCUCCAGGGCUUAACAUGAUUCCGUCGCUUCAGCCACUGCCGCCUUUGACGCCUCGACAAAAGCUUGUGAGGCUGCGACCGAAAAAGUCGAUAAACUAUUCUCUGAUGCCUCUUUCCUGUUAAAGUCCUUACAGGAGAGUGCCGAUGCAACAAAGACAACGUUGGAACCAAUCGUUCAACAAUUGGCCACGUUCGUCUCCACGGAGUUAAAGUCGUUUGCUACCCUUCGCCAAUCCAUCAGUGACGACAACUCGGCCCUUCGUGCCUCUAUCGACGAGCGCCUCUCUAAACUCCAAGAGGAUCUGACAGCAGAAAACUCGUUGAUGGACGUCCUUGCAAGCAAAACCACCGCCCUCAAGGUCAAGAGCGCUCAACUUUCCCACUCUCAGCAACAAAUUGACGCUCUUUGAUCCGAACGGGAGGUUAUCAAAACAUGUGUUUCGAAUGUACACUCCGCCCUAUCCAACAUCUUGGAAGCACACGAUCCGAUCCUGAACCAUUCGGUGAGGUGAACCCUUGCUGAAAAACUUGCUCCUACCCUAGAUCUCCUCAGUAAAAUAGAAGGGUUACCUAGUUUCGUGUCCACUCCGAAACAAGGGGGAGAAGUGAAGUCCGGAUCGCAACCACCUCCUUCCUCAAAAGCUGCUCACACAACCGAACCUCAUCCUACAGGUCAAACUUCGGGUUCGGGUGUGAAGGACAAAGGAAAGACGAUAGCUAAGGAAGAAGAUGAAGAUGAUCAAGAAACCAUUGCUGACUUGCUGAAACGCAAAAACAGUCGCAAUGUUGAUAAUGAUAACAUUCGUGUGGCGCGAGAAGCUGAAGAAGUUGAACGCAAGAAGAAAGAAGCCCACGAUCUCCUCGAGAGCAGGAAGACUCUUUUCCCUGCUUGGACUCGAGAGAGAAUGAUAAAGGAGGCUAUCGAUACUCCGAGCAUCAUAUGGCUCGAAUCGGUGAUCUCCUUCGACUGCUACAACUCUUUUCGACUCGCAGUUCGACAUGCCCUUAACCCGAAAGGCGUUUAUCUUCCACGCCUUCGCCAACGUUGCCGAAGUCCCUCAUCCUUAUCCUGAGGUUGAUCGGGAAUUAAUCGAGUUCUAUCUGAAGGCUGCUCAACCCCAGUACCAAACAUGGAGCGCUCAGAAGAUCGUCAACGUUCGGGUUUUGAAGCCAUAUACCGAAGGUAGAUUCAUCAACGUUCGGUUCCGGGUGAUCCGAGGGUCUGCAAAAACCGAACAUCUUAUAUCUUUAGCAGAUCUACCGAACCUCAACCUCCAUGACUGGAUCGUUUUGCACAACAUCCUCUUGACGAAUGAAGGUGAAUAUGGUCCGAUCAUAGACCAUCUCAAAAGGAUGUUGGUGUGCUACAUCAUGGAGGUAGCCCUGAUGGAUCAGGAGAUUGCCAAUGUCUUCAAGAAGAAACCGAAGAUCUCUCCUGUUGGCUCGGCCAGUGAUCUCAAUCAGAUGAACAUGGGAAAGAUUGACCCAAGGCAUAAUUCGGUCAUGUUCACUAGGGCUGAAGGACAGAAAUGUCUCUUUGCCUUAGCGGAUAAACAUCUUUAUACCACUGCUUGUCUAGAGCAUGUGCUGGAGAUCAUCCAUCGGUGUAAAGAGAAUACAGCGGAUGAUAUCAAAUACUUCAACGAUAUGAUUCAGUGGUACAUCCGAUUCAGACAAACGAUACUUGCUCUUAUCUCUCGUCUGUUUCAGACUGUAAAGAAGAAGGUUCCUGCUGCUGCUGGCCCAAGCAAGAAGUAAUGAUCUCGCUCCAAUUGACGCAAAGGGGGAGAUUGUUAGGUAGCGUAGCCUUAUUUUUGUAUUGCGUCAUUGGGCUCGGUUUAUAGUCCAAAGUUUUGCACUCCGGUUUGGGCCUGUCCAACCGUGAGCUUGUAGGGUUUACUAUAUAAUAAUAUGCUUGCAUGCAUAUUAGUAAACGAUCUAGAAGACGAUAGAAUUACGAUAGCAUUACAGUUUUCUUUCUUUAUCGUUCUUGUAAACCCUUUAAUCCUCUACAGUUGAUGUUCUUUAUCGAGCUCUUCUGAGGGUUGUUUAUAAUCAUUCGACAUUGUUCGAUCCAUUCUUGAGUUGUUUACUAUUUCGUAUUCUUGCUGUUUGCUCUUUAUUUUACCUGUUUAAGAUCUAAUGGAUCUUCAAGUUUAGAAUUUAAACUUAUCACUUACCCUAUGACAACAAAAUUUCAAUCAAAUACACCCUACAAGCACUACAAAUAGUCAACAAGCAAUUGGAAACCCUAUAAGUUCUUGUUUAGGUCCAUUUUGGACUAGGACUUUCUUAUUAGGCCCACUGGACCAAUAAGCUUCCAAUUUGACUAUCUUGGGCUUAGAACUCUUAAAUGGGCUCUAAUUGGACCCAUUUCCAAUUAAUUCAAUAUUUUGGGCCAUAUUGGGCCUAGAAUGAAAUAGAUUAAUUAUAUGAACCAUUUUGGACCAUAAUUAACCUAAUCUAGCCUAAUAAAGCAUAAAAAUCACAUUUAUAUUUUUUUGGGGCCAAAAAUCACCCAACCUAACUAUAACAUGGGCUUAAGGGCAAAAAGCCCAAAAACCUCCUCUCACCCUCCCCAUUCUCGGCCCAAGCCCAAAGGAAAGGAAGAAGUUGACUUAUUGCAUGACACCUCACUUUUAUAUGGGGGAUAUCCAUGUUUUACACUUCAAACAUCCAUGCAAUCUCAUCUUUCCAUGCAAGCACUCUCUUCUUCUCCCUUUCUCUCUCAUUCUCGGCCGAUUCCACACACACACACACACACACAAUUCUCUCACAAAUCUCUCAAGGAAACUCCCUCCACUCUUCAUCAAGAUCUCGAAUUUUAGAAGGUUUUUCAAGAAGAUAUUUCCACAAAUUCUUCAUCUAAGGUAAGAUUAUGCUUGGAUCUAUGAUCUAGAUUCUUUGUUUUAUCAAAAAUCUCUUUCUAAUCCAUGCAAAAAUCAUGAUCACUCUCUUAGAAACUCCCUAAGUUCGAAAUCAACAAGGGAAGACUUGUUAGAGCCGAAAACAACAUCAAACUUCUUCCAAUCUCCUCCAAAACCGAAACCCAACUCAAGGUGAGCUUCAUACCCCCUAUUUUUCGGUUUUUAUAAGUUUUGUGGGGGAGAAUACAAGCAAAUGUGUAGAUCUAUGAGUAUAUGUAUGCCUUGUGUGAUUUCUAUGCUUAUAUAUGAUCAUAUGUGAUUGUGGUGUUGGUACUAGUCAAAAAGAACUUAGAAACCAAGAUCUACAAUAUGUUGAAUGAAAUAAGUAUAACUUAUAUUAUUUCACACAAAUCAAGUCUAGAAAAAUAACCAACUUGGUUAAUAUGAACAUCUUUGGGCUUAAAACCCAUUUUUGGGCUCAAAAUGCUAAAAAUAAAAAAACUAAAGGGCCCAAAACGACAAAAUAUAAAUUCUGAAGGUUGAAAUGAGUCAAAACAGUUUCUAAUAUGUAUUUUCUGAAAAUUUACACUUUUGAAGGGCUAAAAUGUGAAUUUUUAAACAUAAUGGGCCAAAAAUGGAUUUUUCGGCCCAAUAAAGCCCCAAAUUGCGAGAUUUUUAAUUUGUAGGGGCUGAAACGGCACAUUUCUAUAAAACAGGGGACUACUAGUGUACCAAGUCCAUUUCAAGGGUUAAAAAUGUUUUUCAAAUUUAAAAGGGACAAAAGAUGCACAAAUUUUCCAUUUUGGGUCGAAAUUGUAAAAAUUGCGAAAAUGGAGGUUUCAACCGAGACAAUUUCAUUUUGAGGGACUAAAACUGUUUAUCAUGUAAAUUUGGGUUGAAAAAUGUAUUUUCAACAAGUUUUGAUAUUAAAGUGUCAAUAAAAAUGGUUUAAGGACUAAAAUGGAAAUUCUUUUAUAUAAAGGGUUAAAAGUAUAAAUUUUAUCCAAGACGGGGCAUCAAAACGAAAAAUUCUAAUGUUUAAAACAGUAAAUCCUUUAAGAUAAAAUACGAGUACCAUGACUACCAGCGAAACGUAAUACACCCUCAACACCAAAAUCGUUACCAAACGAAUUGAUUCGGUCUCGAAUCAAUAACAAAUCAAAAAUCAAUAAACAAUAAUACUUCAAUACACACGCGGAAAUUUACGGGAAGUCAAUACACAGGCGGAAAUUCACAAGAAGUCAAUACACCAUCUUUGGGCCCGAAAGUUUCAAAUCGUGCUUGUUGGGCCUAGCUAGCCCAAUGACAUGAUCUUUAGGCCCGAAGGAAACGCGCUUACAUGUUGUUGGGUCUUAUACGACCUAAUUCCGUGUAAAAGGACUUUCAAUAGCUUUUGUGCUGUUGGGCCCCAAGGGUCCUUUGGUACUGCUAGUAAAGUCGUGAAGUCAAAUCCAAGUCGGGCCAAGGGCCUUCCGCAUUCACGAUAGCCUUGAACGACUUAUGGAAAUAACGGGGGCUUCGCACCCUCUUUUGUCCUAGGUUGUGGGGCUAUGAGAAGUCAGGGUGGUUGGAUUAAGUGAGUAGUACGGAUGAUGCCUAAGGGAUCGUUUGUAUAGUUGCAAGCUAGUCAUUUUCAUUAAUGCGUGAUUAUAACAACUCACAACCCAUAAUUAGUCCAAUGUCCCCUGGAAUUAUCGAAUACAAAAGUCGUAACGGCAUAACAAUAUAUAAAACACGUAAUUUAAAGUAUUAGGAAAACAUUGGGUUUUCCUAGGGAUUUCAACACUUACACCUAUGUGAUGCAUACAAAGUCUAACAAUUAUUCACGCUUAUAGAAAUCAACAAGCAUAUUUACGGAUCUUCACUCUUUUUCUUACUUACAAUAAUCUUUUUAGAAAAUAUCGGAUUUUCUGGUGGUUUUCACAACAAUACAAAUCCUUACUUUUCAAACACUACUUAUGAACUCACCAACAUUUCGUAUGUUGACGUUUUUCCAAAAUACUUGUAUUCUCAGGUAACAGGUAAAUCGAAGGAAAAAUGUACCUAGUGAUAUCAUGAUGUUUUGUUUAAUUAAUAUCGAGCGAUUUAUGUUUUGGAAUUGUAAUGUGUAAAAACAAUGUACUGAAUGUAAACACUGAUGGUUGUAAUAUUUCAAUUCAUGGUGACGAAUGAUGUUAUGAUUCAUGUAUAUUCAUUGUGAUGGUAUUCAAUUGAGUCACAAUAGCCCUCGAACGUUUCCGCCGUCUGGUUCGGGGGUGUGACAGGUUGGUAUCAGAGGUCUGUUUAUAGUGAACUAGCNCACACAUUGAGCAACUAUAAACCAAAAGAGGGACUAACCCAACUCUAAACAAAACGAGUAAAACACAACAAUAAAGCACCCUUGCUUGCAUUAGGAAUAAGAACAUAAUGUCGAACCAAACAAGAUAAUGCUAGUAUCCCGGUUAAUCCAGGACUGUUCUUAGUUAUAUCAAGGAACGAAUAUAGCCUGAUCAACUACAUUAUUUCCAAGGUGUAACUAACACAUGUUCUUAUGAGAUCGCGAUAGCUAGGGAACCUAAAAAUAUACCCCUUCAACACCAAAAAGAGAACGUAUGUUUAGUCUAUAUCAUAGUUGUAGAGUCAUAGGAGUAACGAUAGUUUAUACCUUCCCCCAGUCUUCAUGGAGGGAGAGAAGCAGGGUAUCCAGUUUCAUCAAGUCCUAGUGGCUCACGGAAUGCUUGAAGAGGAACCAUAAGGGAAUCAAGAGGGAGCACACGACGUCGGACCUGACGAAUACAUAGACACCGACUACGAGUUCGAGGAGAGUGAUGAUGACAUGGAAGAAGGGCAAAACUCGGGCAGGGAUAACACCACACCACCUGAAGAUGAGGCGCAACCGGACCACCCCGCCCCACCAGUGAACCCCCCAAGGGAGAACCGCACUCCCGAAGCUGAGAUCGCCGCCCUGCGGCAACAACUGUAUGCCAUGGAAGCACGUGCAGUGCAAGCUGAGCAUGAGAGGGAUGAGGUUAUUGGAGACAUGACUGAGAUGGCGCAGUUGCUGGCUCAACACUUCGGCAUAUGACCCCGACACUAUAUAGGACACACCACAGAGUGUUAGGGAUAGGCUCAUCUGACUAGGUCAUUAUGAUCUAUGCUAUGUACCCCGACUCUAUGUUUAAGUGACUACACUACUCAUAGAGCUGUUAUGCGGUCAAACUAGUAUCACUCAUGUAUGCUCUUACGAGUGAAAUUUUCAUGUAUCAAAUGCGGAUAAUAUUAGUGAACUUUUUAUGACAUUACAAAUUGCUAUGUGUUGCGAAUCCAUGAUUGUAUGCUAACUUGUAGAAGCACUUAAGUUCGUACCAUGCACCUAGUCAGUAGGAUCACAACCUCAUAGAACCCACAAACACUCAACAUCUUUCCGUUUCAUGACAGAAAGAUGCCUCGCCGACCUACUCGCGGAAACCCUGGACCAACCCCACCCGAAGUUGACUCCACUGCAUUCCAGGCUGCGGUCACCGCAGCUAUGGCACAAAUUCACCAAGGGAACAACGGAGGAGGCAACGGGCAAGGGGCCGCGAGUUCGAACAACGAAAUGAAUCAAGGACCCACCAAAACAUGUACCUACAAGGACUUCACAAACGCCAAACCAUGAACCUUUAACGGNUGGAGGGGUGAUUAGUCUGAAGCGAUGGAUCGAGAAGGUGGAAUCGGUAUUCGAGAUAUGCGAUUGUCCUGAGGUGAUGAAGGUUACGUUUGCAGCAUGCACUUUUGUUGACCAAGCGUUCACUUAGUGGAACGGACACGUGGACGCCAUGACACUCCCUGUAGCCAACUCCAUGCCGUGGGCAGAAAUGAAAGAAAUGCUGAUGGCUGAAUACUGCCCUCGUGGUAAGAUUUAGAAAAUGGAGCAAGAAAUGUGGAACCUCACUGUACGAAAUGCUGAUAUCGAUGCCUACAUAUCAAGAUUUAGUGAACUAUGUCUGUUAUGUCCGGGCAUGAUCACCUCGGAAGGAAAGAAGAUUGAGAGAUUCAUCUGGGGACUAACCUCUCCGAUCCAAGGAAGCGUGAUAGCUGCAAAUCCCGAAACUUUUGACAGUGCCAAGAGGUUGGCAAAGAAGCUGGAUGACCACAACAACAAGAAGGGUGAGAAGUCAGCGGAAGCUGAAGGUGAUGGCAAGAAGGGGAAGAACAACAAGAGGAAGGGGCAUCAAGGCCCCGAGACCUCUAAGAAGCAGUAGACAGUGGUAGUCAAUGCUGCCACCGCACAAGUUCCGACCACACCACAUGCUCCAGCCUCAGCUGCUUUGAAUGCUCCUAGACCUUAUUCCGGUAAUCUUCCCAAGUGCAACAAGUGCGGUUUCCAUCAUAAUGGAGAGUGCACGGAGCUGCAGUGCACAAGUUGCAAUCGGAAGGGGCACACGACAAGGUAUUGCAGGACUUACCCUCCUCAGAAUCAACAACAGAGAAGCAACAACAACAACAACAACCGCAAAAACAACAACAUCAAUGUUGGUGGCAACAAUUCCGGACCUAGCCACACCUGCUAUGGGUGCGGAAGGACUGGGCAUUUUCGUCGCGAUUGCCCUAACAACAACAAUCCCGCAAAUGGAGGAGUAGGAAGGGUGCUGACUAUGGGUCAGGGGGAGGCGAUUAAGGAUCUCGCUAUUGUUACCGGUACGUUUCCCCUAAACCACACUUAUGCAUGCAUCCUAUUUGACACCGUAGUGGAGCGAAGCUUUGUGAGCAAUAAGUUUAAACACUAUCUAAAACAACGACCCCAGAAGCUCAAUGAAACCUUUACGGUGGAAAUGGCCAAUGGGAAAACUGAAUCCAUGGGGGAAAUCUACAUCGGAUGUACCCUAACCCUGAACCAACAUGUCUUUCGAAUAGACUUAAUGCCUGUUUCCAUUAGGAGUUUCAAUGUGAUUAUUGGCAUGGAAUGGUUAAGCCCCCACCAUGCUGAAAUUAUGUGUCACGAGAAGGCCGUUCGCCUUCACCUUCCCAAUCACGAAACCCUAGUUAUUUAUGGAGACAAACCUAGCACGAACCUUCGUCUUAUCUCGUACAUCCAGGUACAAAAGCAUCUACGAAAGAACGAUUUGACGUUUCAGGAUCACAUAGUGGAUAAAACCAAGGAAGAGGUUAACAUUCAAGACAUUCCCGUAGCACGUGAAUUCCCAGACGUAUUUCCUGAAGAUCUUCCUGGAGUACGCCCAGAGAGACAAGUUGAGUUCCGAAUUGACCUCGUACCAGGAGCAACCCCUCUUGCUAACUCGCCCUACCGGCUAGCUCCUACUGAAAUGCAGGAAUUGUCCAGUCAACUUAGCGAACUCCUGGACAANUCAUCCGACCCAGCUACUCGCCAUGGGGAGCUCCGGUCCUAUUUGUCCAAAAGAAGGACAGAUCUUUUAGGAUGUGCAUCGAUUAUAGAGAAUUAAACAAACUCACCGUCAAAAAUCGCUAUCCACUCCCACAAAUCGAUGAUCUAUUUGACCAGCUCCAAGGAGCUAGUUACUUUUCUAAGAUAGAUCUACAGUCCGGAUACCAUCAACUCAAAGUUUGGGAAGAGGAUAUUCCUAAAACCGCUUUCCGAACUCGUUACGGACAUUAUGAAUUUGUCGUAAUGCCCUUCGGUCUAACAAAUGCCGCUGCCGCAUUUAUGGAUCUGAUGAACCGAAUCUUUCGACCAUUCCUCGACAACUUUGUCAACGUCUUCAUUGACGACAUUCUCGUCUAUUCCCGAAUCGAGGAAGAGCAUGGCCAACAUCUCCGACAAAUCCUAGAAACUCUGCGAUCAGAAAAGCUAUACGCAAAACUCUCCAAGUGUGAGUUCUGGCUCCGUAGUGUGAACUUCCUAGGUCAUGUUGUUAGUCAAGAAGGAAUUCAUGUGGAUCCUUCCAAGGUCAAAGCCGUCGAAGGAUGGGCAGUCCCGACAACACCCAUAGAAAUUCGCCAAUUCUUAGGCCUAGCAGGCUACUAUAGGAGGUUCAUUCAAAACCUCUCUAAGUUCGCCAAGCCACUUACCUCACUUACAUAAAAGGGCGUAUCAUUCAAAUGGACGGACAAAAAAGAAGUCGCAUUCCAAACCCUGAAGCAAGCCCUCUGUAGUGCCCCGGUACUAUCUUUACCGGAGGGAACAGAAGAUUUCGUGGUCUUCUGUGACGCGUCGAAUCAAGGCUUAGGUUACGUUCUCAUGCAGCGUGGAAGGGUGAUAGCUUACGCAUCCCACCAACUAAAGACACACGAAGUGAAUUAUACAACCCAUGAUUUGGAAUUAGGAGCAGUGGUCUUUGCUCUGAAGAUUUGGAGGCAUUACCUUUAUGGUACAAAGUGCACCAUCUUCACGGACCACAAAAGUCUCCAACAUAUCUUGAAUCAGAAAGAGCUGAAUAUGAGGGAACGAAGAUGGGUUGAAUUAUUAAACGAUUACGAGUGUGAAAUCAAGUACCACCCUGGCAAGGCCAACGUGGUAGCUGAUGCGUUGAGUCGGAAGGAGUACUCUAAUCGUCGUGCGAAAACUCUCUCAAUAACCAUCCAAUCUCACCUAACUACUUAGAUUGGGGUAGCCUAGUCAGAUGCCAUGAAGACGGAAAACAGAGCAAGCGAAGCAUUAUGCGUAAUGGGAAGAACCUAAAAGUGAGAGAGGACGAAGUAUACCAUUUCAUGAACCGUAUUUGGGUCCCUAAACUCGGAGGAUUUAGGGAGGUAGUCAUGAAGGAAGCUCACAAAACGCGAUACUCCAUCCAUCCCGGCUCGGACAAGAUGUAUUUGGAUAUUAAACAACACUAUUGGUGGCCUAACAUGAAGGCAGAAAUUGCCACCUAUGUUGGUAAGUGCCUUACUUGUGCUGAGGUAAAGGUGGAGUACCAGAAGCCCUCAGGAUUAUUACAACAACCGGUGAUCCCUGAGUGGAAAUGGGAAGGGAUUUCUAUGGAUUUUGUGACCAAGCUACCCAAGACGCCGGAUGGACUAGACACCAUAUGGGUAAUAGUCGACCGACUGACGAAAUCCGCCCAUUUUCUGCCAAUAAAAGAAUCCUACAAGAUGGAGAGACUGAUGCGUUUAUACAUUCAAGAAAUCAUGAGACUCCACGGAGUACCAGUGUCUAUUAUCUUGGAUAGAGACAGUAGGUUCACUUCACGUUUUUGGCAAUCACUUCAGAAAGCACUUGGAACCCAUCUCGACAUGAGCACCGCUUAUCUCCCACAAACGGACGGUAAAAUGAACGAACCAUUCAGACGCUCGAAGACAUGCUUCGUGCAUGUCUGACAGACUUUGGGAACUCUUGGGAUAUCCACUUACCCUUAGUUGAAUUCUCUUAUAACAACAGUUACCAUUCGAGCAUCAAAGUCGCUCCUUUCGAAGCACUAUAUGGACGUAAGUGUAGAUCACCGUUGUGUUGGGCUGAGGUGGGCGACACCCAGCUAGCAAAGACACUAGCAUCGGACAAGGCGCUAACGGGACCGGAGAUCAUUCGUGAAACCACGGAAAAGAUAGUUCAAAUCAGAACUCGAUUUCAAGCAUCGCGCGACCGACAAAAAAGCUACGCCGAUAAACGGCGAAAGCCCUUAGAGUUUCAGGUCGGGGAUCGAGUGCUGUUAAAAGUUUCACCUUGGAAAGGAGUCAUUCGUUUCGGAAAAUAGGGAAAACUAAACCCGCGAUACAUUGGACCAUUUGAGAUCGUUGCCCGAAUAGGUCCAGUGGCGUACAAAAUGCAGCUACCCGCGGAGCUAAACAGUGUACACCCCGUGUUCCAUGUCUCUAAUCUAAAGAAGUGUCUAUCGGAUGAAACACUCGUCGUUCCCCUUGACGAGAUUGAAAUCAACAAGAAUCUCCUGUUCAUUGAAGAACCGGUCGAAAUUAUGGAUAGGGAGGUGAAGCAUACUAACCAAAGUCCCAUCCCGAUCAUGAAAGUACGGUGGAACGCGAAGCAUGGGCCAGAAUUCACGUGGGAACGCGAAGAUCAAAUGAAACAAAAGUACCCUCACCUAUUCUAGCAUUCUCAAAUCUAGCUUUCAAAAGAAUUUCGAGACGAAAUUCCCUCUAACGGGGGGAUGAUGUUACAAUCAAGAAUUUUUGUGCCUUGUAACUACAACACUUAAGUCAAAUUAUGAAUCCAAAAACAUAAGGGCAUGUAUGAUGCUUACCCUAUGACAACAAAAUUUCAAUCAAAUACACCAUACAAGCACUACAAAUAGUCAACAAGCAAUUGGAAAUCCUAGAAGUUCUUGUUUAGGUCCAUUUUGGACUAGGACUUUCUAAUUGGGCCCAAUGGACCAAUAAGCUUCCAAUUUGACUAUCUUGGGGUUAGAACUCUUAAAUGGGCUCUAAUUGGACCCAUUUCCAAUUAAUUCAAUAUUUUGGGCCAUAUUGGGCCUAGAAUGAAAUAGAUUAAUUAUAUGAACCAUUUUGGACCAUAAUUAACCUAAUCUAGCCUAAUAAAGCAUAAAAAUCACAUUUAUAUUUUUUUGGGGCCAAAAAUCACCCAACCUAGCUAUAACAUGGGCUUAAGGGCAAAAAGCCCAAAAACCUCCUCUCACCCUCCCCAUUCUCGACCCAAGCCCAAAGGAAAGGAAGAAGUUGACUUAUUGCAUGACACCUCACUUUUAUAUGGGGGAUAUCCAUGUUUUACACUUCAAACAUCCAUGCAAUCUCAUCUUUCCAUGCAAGCACUCUCUUCUUCUCCCUCUCUCUCUCAUUCUCGGCCGAUUCCAAAAACACACACACAUAAUUCUCUCACAAAUCUCUCAAGGAAACUCUCUCCGCUCUUCAUCAAGAUCUCGAAUUUUAGAAGGUUUUUCAAGAAGAUAUUUCCAAUAAUUCUUCAUCUAAGGUAAGAUUAUGCUUGGAUCUAUGAUCUAGAUUCUUUUUUUUUUUAUCAAAAAUAUCUUUCUAAUCCAUGCAAAAAUCAUGAUCACUCUCUUAGAAACUCCCUAAGUUCGAAAUCAACAAGGGAAGACUUGUUAGAGCCGAAAACAACAUCAAACUUCUUACAAUCUCCUCCAAAACCGAAACCCAACUCAAGGUGAGCUUCAUACCCUCUAUUUUUUGGUUUUUAUAAGUUUUGUGGGGGAGAAUACAAGCAAAUGUGUAGAUCUAUGAGUAUAUGUAUGCCUUGUGUGAUUUCUAUGCUUAUAUAUGAUCAUAUGUGAUUGUGGUGUUGGUACUAGUAAAAAAGAACUUAGAAACCGAGAGCUACAAUAUGUUGAAUGAAAUAAGUAUAACUUAUAUUAUUUCACACAAAUCAAGUCUAGAAAAAUAACCAAGUUGGUUAAUAUGAACAUCUUUGGGCUUAAAACCCAUUUUUGGGCUCAAAAUGCUAAAAAUACAAAACUAAAGGGCCCAAAACGACAAAAUAUAAAUUCUGAAGGUUGAGAUGAGUCAAAACAGUUUCUAAUAUGUAUUUUCUGAAAAUUUACACUUUUGAAGGGUUAAAAUGUGAAUUUUUAAACAUAAUGGGCCAAAAAUGGACUUUUCGGCCCAAUAAAGCCCCAAAUUGCGAGAUUUUUAAUUUGGAGGGGCUGAAACUGCACAUUUCUGUAAAACAGGGGACUACUAGUGUACCAAGUCCAUUUCAAGGGUUAAAAAUGCUUUUCAAAUUUAAAAGGGACCAAAGAUGCACAAAUUUUCCAUUUUGGGUCAAAAUUGUAAAAAUUGCGAAAAUGGAGGUUUCAACCGAGAAAAUUUCAUUUUGAGGGACUAAAACUGUUUAUCAAGUAAAUUUGGGCUGAAAAAUGUCUUUUCAACAAGUUUUGAUAUUAAAGUGUCAAUAAAAAUGGUUUAAGGACUAAAAUGGAAAUUCUUUUAUAUAAAGGGUUAAAAGUAUAAAUUUUAUCCAAGACGGGGCAUCAAAAAGAAAAAUUCUAAUGUUUAAAACAAUAAAUCCUUUAAGAUAAAAUACGAGUACCACGACUACCGGCGAAACGUAAUACACCCUCAACACCAAAAUCGUUACCAAACGAAUUGAUUCGGUCUCGAAUCAAUAACGAAUCAAAAAUCAAUAAACAAUGAUACUUCAAUACACACGCGGAAAUUUACGGGAAGUCAAUACACACGCGGAAAUUCACAAGAAGUCAAUACACCAUCUUUGGGCCCGAAAGUUUCAAAUCGUGCUUGUUGGGCCUAGCUAGCCCAAUGACAUGAUCUUUAGGCCCGAAGGAAACGCGCUUACAUGUUGUUGGGUCUUAUACGACCUAAUUCCGUGUAAAAGGACUUUCAAUAGCUUUUGUGCUGUUGGGCCCCAAGGGUCCUUUGGUACUGCUAGUAAAGUCGAGAAGUCAAAUGCGAGUCGGGCCAAGGGCCUUUCGCAUUCACGAUAGCCUUGAACGACUUAUGGAAAUAACGGGGGCUUCGCACCCUCUUUUCUCCUAGGUUGUGGGGCUAUGAGAAGUCAGGGUGGUUGGAUUAAGUGAGUAGUACGGACGACGCCUAAGGGAUCGUUUGUAUAGUUGUAAGCUAGUCAUUUUCAUUAAUGCGUGAUUAUAACAACUCACAACCCAUAAUUAAUCCAAUGUCACCUGGAAUUAUCGAAUACAAACGUCGCAACGGCAUAACAAUAUAUAAAACACGUAAUUUAAAGUAUUAGGAAAACAUCGGGUUUUCCUAGGGAUUUCAACACUUACACCUAUGUGAUGCAUACAAAGUCUAACAAUUAUUCACGCUUAUAGAAAUCAACAAGCAUAUUUACGGAUCUUCACUCUUUUUCUUACUUACAAUAAUCUUUUCAGAAAAUAUCGGAUUUUCUGGUGGUUUUCAAAAUAAUACAAAUCAUUACUUUUCAAACAUUACUUAUGAACUCACCAACAUUUCAUAUGUUGAUGUUUUUCCAAAAUACUUGUAUUCUUAGGUAACAGAUAAAUCGAAGGAAAAAUGUACCUAGUGAUAUCAUGAUGUUUUGUUUAAUUAAUAUCGAACGGUUUAUGUUUUGGAAUUGUAAUGUGUAAAAACAAUGUACUGAAUGUAAACACUGAUGGUUGUAAUAUUUCAAUGCAUGGUGACGAAUGAUGUUAUGAUUCAUGUAUAUUCAUUGUGAUGGUAUUCAAUUGAGUCACAAUAGCCGAGCUCAAGUAUGUUUUCCCCUAGAUACCUAUACAUGCUAUGAUAUGUUACGAUAUGAUUAUCAUAAUUGCAUGCUAGCUUAGGGUUGAGGAUCUAGGAGGAUGCCUUAUAUCCCUAUUGUAUAUGCUUGUAGACUUGCAUGCUAGUACUAAUCCAUUAGUGAUAGGAUAGCCUGUUUAGGUUAUGCCUAAUUAUAUGAGCCUUUGGAUUGUAUGUACAGAUUCCUGAUUAGAGGAUGGAAUGAUUUGAUUGGAAUAUGAUAGCUAGAUCUUCCAUUGUCUGAAUGCUGCUUCCUUUGUGCUUUGUGGGACUCUUAGUAAUGUGAGCUAACUAUUAAGUGAAUAUGCUAAGUCACAUCGGACACAUGCCGGAUAAUCUCAAAGUGAGAGACUUGAACCUAUUGCACAACUAUUGUCUGAUUCCAACCGUUCUAGGGAUGGGUCUUUUACCCGAAGGAUUAUCUGAUCUCUGUUGCAUGUGGCUAUAUUCAUGAGGUAGCUAGUUGACAUUAUCGGGAAUCUUUCAGCAGCUGAGGACUGGGUGAGUUCGGGAACCUAGGGAAGCCUAGGAUAUAAUUUAUUGAGUUAAUAGUGAGGCUCAGUUAGACUUGGGUGUACCAGUUGAGGAUGUGACAUGGAGGAUCCGGGAGGAUUGCUGAGGAAAGUAUGGAUAGGUGUGGAAGGUAGUAUUGGGCCCGUACUACGGAAAGCACAGGAUCCAUACUCGACUCGGUGAGAGUCUUGGAGAAUCUAAGUAGCUUCAGGGAAGAGUUUGUGACCCAGUUUGGGAACAAAGGAUGUUCCAGUUGUUGCAGCUUAGCCAUUGGCAAGCAAGGUAGUGAGCGUGACAGGGUGUCAGACCCUGAAGGAUAUGAUUUCCAAGAGUUGCAGAUGCGGGAUCGAUUUGGAGCGCUUUGAGAAGAGAGGUUCGUACCAGGUGUAUAUAGUAGAGGGUCCCAGGAAGAGACCCAUGACUUCUGAUCAUUAGGUGAAAGGCCAGCAGGGCCUGAUUCAGUGCAACGCAUAUGAGAAAGUACACGAGGGAGUUUGUCACUCCAAGGGUUCAGGCUGCUACAGUGUAGCAGGAUUGGUCAUGUCAGCAGAAGGGGAUCAGUAUUCCUCCAGAUGUUGCGGUUAUGUCAUCUUAUUAGAUGGAUAUUGGGAAUACGUAUUGCUUUGGGAUUGCGAGUGAGUUUGGAUAAGUCGGAUCUCAAGUCAGUUUUCUGCUAGUGUUUGGUCAUCAAGGACCGUAUAUGCCAUCUUGCAUGCCGUAAGGUCCUUGAUGAACCUAUAGAGGGACAUAUCUUGUAGAGUGGGUUCCACGCGUACCGUUAUCAUUUCAGAUCUUUGUCGGGAUCUAUGCAGGAGUAUUAUUUAGAGAAUACUCGAUCAGCGUUGGAGUGAUAGCUCUCCAAUGAAGUUAGCGUUCAGUGAUCCUAUCAUUGUUCAGGUAUGGUCGGUAAUUGUUUAUGGAUGAACUUUGGAGUUCAAGGCACUACCGUUGCUAGGACAGAACUGGUGACAUGAUGAGGGUAGUGUCAGUCGUGGGUGUUAGAUGCAUAAGUGGUUGGUCAUUGGAUGUUCAAGAGAAUUGUGUUUUCGCAUGGUCCGUGUUCGGCUAGAGUUCAGUGGUACUGCAAGAUUGGGAGAGGGAACGAUGAUUCGUCAGCCAGAGUGAAGAUUUAGACCUUCAAUUAACAGCAUGGGAGAUGGAUUGAGGCGUUAGAUUGGACCAGAUUUCAGGAGUACUCUUCAAGAUUUCAGAGGAUGGGCGAUCUUAAGGUUUGAUUGGUGAUGGAUCGCUAGCACUGGUAAGUACGGGUUGUCAUCAAGGGGAUACUAGGAAGUGAGAAGGAUUGGAAAUCCUUCAAUUCUUGCGUGCAGUGAAGAAUUAGUUGAAUCUAAGUAGGGGAGGGACUUUUUAUAAAGUUCUCCAAAUGUGAGUUCUAGUUGCACGGGGUGCAAUAUCUUGGGCACCUAGUCUACCAAAAGGGUAUUCUAGUGAUCCGGCCAAGAUAGAGGUUGUGAUGCAGUGGGAGAUUCUGAGGUCUCCAUCUGAGAUUCGGAUUUUCCUGGGUCUAGCAGGUUACUACCAGAGAUUUACAUGGGACUUCUCUGAGAUUGUGGUUCCUUUGACCCGACUAACCAAGAAGUUGGUGGCCUUUUGUUGGGGGUCUGAGUAGCAGGCAGCCUUCGAGACUCUCAUGCAGUGGUUGUGCGAGGCAUUGAUUCUUACUAUGCCAGAGGGUGUAGAUGAUUUCGUGGGUUACUGUGACGCUUUGAUCACGGGAAUGGGUUGUGGUACUGAUAGAGUGGGGUCACAUGAUAGCAGGUUUUGGGAAUCAGGUUAGAGUUCGGGUUAGGACUCAAGUUCAGUGGUGGGUUAGUUCGAAUGUGUGUUUGACCCAGUUAGAAAGUGUUGUAAGACUACGGGGGUAGCCGUAGCAUCAACUAGUAGCCAGAUAGUUUGGAAAGUGUCGUAAGACUACGGGGGUAGCUGUAAAAUUCACUAGUGGUCAGAUAGUUUGGAAAGUGUUGUAAGACUACGGGGGUAGCCGUAACAUUCACUAGUUAGUUUGGGGAGUGUUGUAAGUCUGCGGAUGUAGCCUUAUCAUUCGCUAGGUUGGUAGAUGGCAUGAGCGUGUUGUUAGAACGCGGAGAACAGUAGUACUCACCAGUUCGGGUGCAGCAGUGAGGAUAUGGAACUCCACAAAUUGGAUUUUUGGUGUUACCCAGAUGGAUUAGAUAUGUUUAAGCCAGUGCUAAGACUGCAGUGGCACCACUAAAGUAAUGGGAUCAGGCAGCAAUGGACUGUUUAAGAUUUCUUGUGAUAUAAGGCUACCAUCGGUUAGUUGGCAAUCACUGUUAGCCUUGGAUUUGAUGAUGACAGGAUUCGACGCAUGGACUCGAUUGGUUAGAUCAGAAAGUUGUUAGAGCCUCAAUGGCAUGAUAACUAGUGGCAACUAGUUCCGGAAAAGUAUUUCAUUCGAAAGUCGCGUGAGGCGACUAAGUGGCAGUCCCUUGGCUCCACUGCCGGGCCGAAACCCGGUAUUUCAGAUGGUUGUUGAAAAAACUGAGACCAGGCAGGUCUCGUUAGAUUUUGGAAAGCAUCCAUGUGGCAACAUACUGCUUCAGGCAGUUUCAGUGUUUGGACAGUCUUGGCAUUUGUGUUUCAGGUUGCAAGUACGGACAGAAUAGCCGGUUGACGGGGAAGUGACAAGUCACUCCCAGCUGGAUUAGCUGAGCCUCGACAAGAAAAAGUGAUUUUUAGGGGUAAUUAGGUCUGUGAACCUGUUUUAUAGUGGGAGCUUCGAGUUAUUGAAAGUUGAGUAGUCGGUCGAGGGAUAAACGGACUGGAUUCAUCGAUGAUGAAUCAAUAUUAGUGGUCUGUCAGGGAAUCAGACCAUCUCGAGAUAGUAGAUUCAGAUGAAGUAGAUGUGAGCUUGUUGUGAGGAAUUGGUUCACCUACGGAUGUUAGGGCUUUACGAGGAUUGGUCAUGGCUACCCUGGGAAGGAUAGAGCGUGGUCAGGUUGGUGACCAUGCUACUAGAGUGAUUGGGCGAGUAAGGGAUGGUAAGGAAUGAUUUCGAGGACGAAAUCUAAUUUAAGUGGGGGAGAGUUGUAACACCUGUUUAUUUAUUAAAUAAACAAAUAAAGAAAUGAAGGACUCGUAGCCUUAAAAUAAAUAUUUAUGUAUAAAAGGAUGGUCUCGAAGAGCUAAUCGUCACCGUUUUAGAAGUCGAGGGUUAAAAGUGUGAGUUUGAGACUCAUUUUAUAAAUAUUUAUGAAGACAGGGGCUCCAUGGUAAUUAUUGGGAAUUAUUUUAAUAAGAAAUGAGGUGGAGGGGUUGAAUAUGUUAUAAUUAAGACAUUGGGGGACUGUUUGGUAAUUUAUGAGACUUAAUUUGUAAGGGAUUUCCAUGGAUUGGGUUGAAAGGGUAAAUGUAAGAUGACAUUUGAAAGAAAAGAGGCAUGGAGGGACUGAUGUUGCCACUGUGGCAACCUUUUAAGAGGAGUCGGGUAUAUAAUCACAUUAUCAGUCAAACCCUAAACAAAAACCCUCCCUUAUGCAGCAGCCGUCACCCCUCCCCCCUUGUGCCUCCCAACUACCGGUUGCCACCCCAUUACCUAGCUUCUCCGACCGACCCAGGCCACCGAAGGACCAAGAUGACCGGCGACGACCAACGCUGCAACGGAAGUUUCCAAGGCCGGAGCAUUUGUGAGAAAUCACCGCCAUCAUCCCUUCGCCACCUCAGCCGUGUUUUCUCUCCACUGCCGCCAGUUUCCAUUGAAGGUAAUGUCGCCGGAGAUUCGUGUGUGCUCCAUCAGUGCGUGUGUGGACUGGAUGAUGGGAAAAGACCAAGAGGAGCCUUCGCCACCACCGUGAGGGGGUGGCUCUCAACGCAAAACCACCUCCUGCUGUCGUUUCUUUCCAUUUUCCGUCAUUGCUGCCUUGUCUCGUCACCACCAACUAUUGGGAGUGGCCCUGAGUUCGUAUGGGUGUGUUUCAACUCCAAUGCUCGUGUGUGGGGGUGGCUGUUCGACUGGGAACCACUAGUAACCACCGCCACCACCACGAGGUUGUGGGUGCCGACGUGAAAUCACCGUUUGCUGCUGCCAUUCGCCACCAAAAAGGUGGUUGGUUUCCCGUUCUGAGAAAGAGUCGUGUUUUAUGGGUGUGAAGCCGGAAAAUCAUGGAAGACCGCCACUGCCACCACCGUGAGGUGGUGGCUGCCACCGUGUACCACCAUGGGUGGGUGUUCUUUCGUGUGUGUGUAUUUGUAAUUAGAUUAGGGUGUGCGUGUGUUAAUUUGAUGGGCAUUGUAAUUGUAACAAAAUGGAAUAAUGAGAAAGAACCGUAACCACCACCGUGAGGUGGUGGCUGCUGCCACCGGCCGUCGUGUCUGGUGGCGGUGCACUUUUCCUCUUGUGAUAGAUUCGUUUGGGGUGCUAGACACCCUAAUGGGCUCAAAUGAGCUCUAAUGGGCCCAAUGAAGCUUAAUGUACUCUAAUGAACCCAAUAAAACCCAUAUGGGCUUAAUAAGAUUUUAUUGGGCUUAUUAGGCCCAAUAAAGCCCUAAUUGUCAUAAAAGACCAACAAAUUGAUAAAUGGGCUAAUAUUUGUCUUGGAUCACCGUAAUGCCAAUGAAAACCUAACUUUAAGAAAUAAUUGGGUCACACACACGAGAAUUAUUUAAUAACUUGAGAUAUUAAAUAAUAAUCAUUGGCAAAGAUUAAUCUAAGCAAUAUUGGACUUAAUGGAUUAAGUCCUUAAUGGGUUAAGUAGGAAACUUAACCCUAAUCAUCAUUUUAUGUGACACCCUAAUUUCACUUGGGUUUAUUGUUGGGCCUUUCUAUUGGGCCUUGAUGAUUAGGUUAUUAAAUGGGCUAUCCAAGAUCAAGCAAAUGGUCUAGAGUAAUUUAAUGGGCUUAGGGUAAGGCCCAUGUAAGGGGGUUGGGCCCAAUUUGGAAAAUUGGGCCAUAGUUUGGGCCUUAAUGAUUAUAUGAUGUUGGGCCUUAGAAUGAGAACAUGUAUAGGCCUAGGCCCAAUUUGGAAAAUUGGGCCAUGUGUUGGGCUUUGAUUCAUAAAUGACUUUGGGCCUAUGGAUCGGACCUUGGGCUUGAAUAAGCCAAGCUAGGGGUAAUGUAGUAAUUACCCAAAGAAUGUACUUAUGGUUAUGUAUUGGGACCCAAUUAUUAAUUGGGUGUUAUUUUGGUGUUGGCAGUUCGGGAAUCUGUCAGCCAGAAGCUGGGGUCGAGUCUGCGGGGCUUCAGCAAGUGUGGGAUUGUGUCUUCGGGACUUCAGCAGUGUGAUGUGAGUUACCUUCCAGUAGUGGUGGGUCUACGGCCACAAUGCCGGCCCACCAGUAGGAGUUGUAUGCUAGAUGGUUGUCUUUGUGAUAUCAUAUAGGUUUGCUACUACAUGAUAUGCAAUAUGCUGGUAUGAUAUGUUAUAUGUGAUGAUAUGUUUAUAUGCUAGCACGAUAUGUUAUAUGUGAUAGUGGUAGUAGGAGGGGAAUUGUCCCCAAGUUCGGUUGUUAGGACCGAAGGGUAGUUCGGACACCCCAAAUAUGUCUGAUAGUAUGUUUGUGUUAUGAUAUGUGUGAUAGUAGCAGUAGGGCUGGAAUAGUCCCCGAGGGUCGGUUGUUAGGACCGACGGAUCGGUCAGCACCCCAGAAUGGCUUGACACGGGUAGGACGGCACCCUAGAAUGGCCAUACGGGUAGGUCGGCACCUCAGAAUGGCCGUACCGGGUAGGCCGGGCACCCCAGAAUUGCCCGGCAGUAUAUAUGUUAUGUGCUUGUGUGGUAUGUGGUAUGAUGGGGGAACUCACUAAGCUUCGUGUUUACGGUUUUCAAUUUUGGUUUCAGGUACUUCAUGUUUAAAGGAAAGGAGCCAGCUUGAUCGCAGCGCAUCACACUAUGGUUUUCCGCGCAUGAGAUCUUUGGUAUUACACUCUGAUAUUUUUUUAUGAUAACACCUUUGAUUAUUUUUACUUUGAUUUUGACAUGACAUGAUAUUACAGAUGUUUUAUUACACUGUUGGUUUUAUAAUGAUGUAUUUAAAAAAAUGAAAAUUUUGGCCUGUAUUUUUGGGAUGUUACAAAGCCAUUGAGAACUGGUCAGCACCAAAGACGCCUACAGAAAUUCGUCAAUUUCUAGGCCUCACUGGCUACUAUCGCAGGUUCAUUCAGAACUUCUCUCACAUUGCGAAACCUCUUACCACAUUGACCCAGAAAAGUGUGACCUUUGAUUGGGAAGAGAAGCAGGAGAGAGCGUUCCAAACGCUCAAACGAGCCUUGUGCACCGCACCAAUACUAUCCCUCCCCGAAGGGAUUGAAGACUUCGUUUUCUAUUGCGAUGCAUCAAAUCAAGGGCUUGGAUGUGUUCUGAUGCAGCGAGGUAAGGUCAUCGGCUAUGCUUCGAGACAGCUGAAGACACACGAGGUCAACUACACCACCGACGAUAUUGAGCUAGGAGCAGUUGUGUUUGCUUUGAAGAUCUGGAGACACUAUCUGUACGGUACAAAAACCACGAUCUUUACAGACCACAAAAGCCUACAACACAUAUUCGAUCAGAAGGAGCUCAACAUGAGACAACAACGAUGGGUCGAGCUACUCAGUGAUUACGAAUGCGAAAUUCGUUAUCAUCCGGGUAAAGCCAAUAUAGUAGCAGACGCCCUCAGUCGGAAAGAAUAUUCUGGUCGUAGAGUCAAAUCAUUGACUAUGACUAUCCAUUCACACUUGUCCACACAAAUUAAGGAGGCUCAACUCGACGCUUUGAGACCUGAAAAUGUGGCGGGUGAAUCCCUGAGACGGAUGGAUAAGAACUUGGAGGUUAAGGGUGGCGGAGUUUAUUAUUUCAUGGAUUGGAUCUGGACCCCAAAACUCGGUGGUUUCAGAGACUUGGUCGUGAACGAGGCACACAACACUCGUUAUUCCGUCCACCCAGGUUCAGAUAAGAUAUAUCUGGAUCUUAAAAAGUUAUAUCGGUGGCCUAACAUGAAAGCAGAGAUUGCUACCUUCAUGAGUAAAUGCCUUACUUGCGCAAAGGUCAAGGUCGAAUACCAGAAACCCUCCGGUUUAUUACAACAACCGAAAAUACCGGAGUGGAAGUGGGAGCGGAUCACUAUGGACUUUAUAACCAAGUUUCCCAAGACAACGGGUGGACUUGAUAUCUUAUGGGUAAUGGUCGAUAGAUUGACCAAGUCUGCAUACUUCUUGCCGAUCAAAGAAACAGACAAGAUGGAGAAGCUUACAAGAAGUUACAUAUGGGAGAUUGUACGACUGUACGGUGUUUCUAUAUCCAUUAUCUUGGACAGAGAUAGUAGAUUCACUUCGAUAUUUUGGCAGUCGUUACAAAGUUCCUUAGGAACUAGGUUGGACAUGAGUACAGCCUACCAUCCACAGACCAACGGGAAAAGUGAGAGACCUAUCCAAACCUUGGAAGAUAUGUUGCGAGCAUGUGUGAUGGACUUUGGGAAAGCAUGGGAUAGUCAUUUACCCCUUGUCUAAUUUUCGUACAACAACAGUUAUCACACGAGCAUAAAGGCUGCUCCAUGCGAGGCCCUCUAUGGCCGAAAGUGCAGAUCCCCUAUGUGCCAGGCUGAGGUGUGUGAUACCCAGUUAGCUAAAGGGCGAGUUCCUGACAACACUCUCAUAGCUCCGGAGAUCAUACGGGAAACGACAGAGAAGAUCGUUCAGAUUCGUGAACAAUUGAAAGCCUUUAGAGACCGACAAAAAAGCUACGCUGAUAAACGAAGAAAAUCAUUGGAAUUCCAGGUGGGCGACCGUGUUCUUUUGAAGGUCUCACCCUGGAAGGGCUUGAUACGCUUCGGAAAGCGUGGAAAGCUAAAUCCAAGGUAUAUAAGGCCUUUUGAGAUUCUCACAAGAAUCGAACUUGUAGCUUACAAACUUAACUUACCACGCGGAGUCAGUAACGUACAUUCUACAUUCCACGUCUCAAACUUAAAAAAGUGUCUGGCCGACGAGACUCUUGUUAUCCCACUCGACGAUAUCGAGAUCAAUGAGAGCCUCAACUUCGUGGAAGAACCAGUAGAGAUCAUGGACCGAGUGGUCAAUCAAACGAAGCAGAGCCGUAUCCCUAUAGUGGAGAUUCGUUGGAACGCCAAGCGAUGACUUGAAUUCACUUGGGAGCGAGAGGAUCAGAUGAAACUAAAAUAUCCUCUUCUUUUUACUUAGUUAUUUGUAACUACUUAUUUUCUUAAGCUCUAAUUUCGGGACAAAAUUCGUUCUAACGGGGGGAUGAUGUGACAACCCGAAAUUUCUAUUAUGUAAAACAUUUCAAUUCAAUAGAAGUCAAAACUGUUGCUGCUAAUUUUCAAGCUUUUGGAAUAAGUUUGAGUAUUUUAAGAUUAGCGAUUUAGGAGAUAUUAGGAGGGAGGAUGCUCUAGGGUUUAUUGUGCAACAAUAAUACCCCAAUGAUCCAAGAGUUUGGAGUUUACGGCCUAAACAAAGGUGUUUUAGGUCGUAAACCCUAAAUUGGGGGUAUUGAAGUGACACUUAGUCAUUAUUUACCCUUUUUCACAAAAUGAAGAUCCAAAUCUCAAUUCUCUCUCAUGUAUCAUCCAACAAUUCUUUAAGAUCUUCAACUUGUAAGUGUUUCUAGCCCUAUUAAGUUGAUAUAUUACUUAAUCUAGUGAUCUAACACACAUCCAUCCGUGAAAUCAUUCCAAAAGGUUAGAUCUUGAAGUUUCACCAAGAACACCAAGAACACACACUAGUGUUCUUGGACUUUUAGCACCUUUUCAAGCCUCUAUCUUGUAAGUACUUCUAUCCUAGAGUAUCUUAAGGCAUGUUACACUUCCUUACAUCAAGAAAACACCCAAGAAACCAAGGAUCAAAGGUGUUUACUGUUCGAGAUGUUCUUGAACCGUAAACCCUAUAAAGGGUGCCAAAGUGUGCCCUAGUCCCUCCUAAGCCCUGGAAACUUGCAUAGAUCCAUUCCUUGAUGAGUUAAGGGUUUGAAAACAUCAAAAAAACAUAAAACAUAAGGGUUUACGACUGUAAACCUAAAAGGAAAUGGUCCAAGAACCGUAAACUCCAGUUAAGAGUGAAAGAGUGCCCUAAUCCCUUCCAUAGGCUUAUACUUCAAGUAGUAAUGCUUCUAAGGACUUCUAGAGAUUCAAAACAACUCAUGGUCAAGGAAGCAUGAGUUUACGACCAUAAAAUCAUGAGUUUACAACCGUAAACUCAUGAGUUUACGACCGUAAACUCAAUGAAUGAUGGUCACAAAACCAUAAACUCAUAUUAGGGGUUUCCUUUGAACCCUAAACUCAAUAGCAAUGUCCUACAACACUUAGAUGCAAUCUUUGGGACUUAUAACACUUAUAUAAGGUGUUUAGUAUGUCCUAGGAUGUCUUAACUUUGUUGAUUAGUUGUUUUAAGAAUAAUUGGAUUCUUAUAUGUGGUAUUAUAUGUUAACUAGGAUCCUUGUGUGUGUUCAAGACUUCAGUUGACACCUAGCAAUCCUGUUUCAUCAGUUCAUCCAUACCACUCACUACAGGUGAGUUCAUACCCUUUNUUUUACUUUGAUUUUGACAUGACAUGAUAUUACAGAUGUUUUAUUACACUGUUGGUUUUAUAAUGAUGUAUUUAAAAAAAUGAAAAUUUUGGCCUGUAUUUUUGGGAUGUUACAAAGCCAUUGAGAACUGGUCAGCACCAAAGACGCCUACAGAAAUUCGUCAAUUUCUAGGCCUCACUGGCUACUAUCGCAGGUUCAUUCAGAACUUCUCUCACAUUGCGAAACCUCUUACCACAUUGACCCAGAAAAGUGUGACCUUUGAUUGGGAAGAGAAGCAGGAGAGAGCGUUCCAAACGCUCAAACGAGCCUUGUGCACCGCACCAAUACUAUCCCUCCCCGAAGGGAUUGAAGACUUCGUUUUCUAUUGCGAUGCAUCAAAUCAAGGGCUUGGAUGUGUUCUGAUGCAGCGAGGUAAGGUCAUCGGCUAUGCUUCGAGACAGCUGAAGACACACGAGGUCAACUACACCACCGACGAUAUUGAGCUAGGAGCAGUUGUGUUUGCUUUGAAGAUCUGGAGACACUAUCUGUACGGUACAAAAACCACGAUCUUUACAGACCACAAAAGCCUACAACACAUAUUCGAUCAGAAGGAGCUCAACAUGAGACAACAACGAUGGGUCGAGCUACUCAGUGAUUACGAAUGCGAAAUUCGUUAUCAUCCGGGUAAAGCCAAUAUAGUAGCAGACGCCCUCAGUCGGAAAGAAUAUUCUGGUCGUAGAGUCAAAUCAUUGACUAUGACUAUCCAUUCACACUUGUCCACACAAAUUAAGGAGGCUCAACUCGACGCUUUGAGACCUGAAAAUGUGGCGGGUGAAUCCCUGAGACGGAUGGAUAAGAACUUGGAGGUUAAGGGUGGCGGAGUUUAUUAUUUCAUGGAUUGGAUCUGGACCCCAAAACUCGGUGGUUUCAGAGACUUGGUCGUGAACGAGGCACACAACACUCGUUAUUCCGUCCACCCAGGUUCAGAUAAGAUAUAUCUGGAUCUUAAAAAGUUAUAUCGGUGGCCUGACAUGAAAGCAGAGAUUGCUACCUUCAUGAGUAAAUGCCUUACUUGCGCAAAGGUCAAGGUCGAAUACCAGAAACCCUCCGGUUUAUUACAACAACCGAAAAUACCGGAGUGGAAGUGGGAGCGGAUCACUAUGGACUUUAUAACCAAGUUUCCCAAGACAACGGGUGGACUUGAUAUCUUAUGGGUAAUGGUCGAUAGAUUGACCAAGUCUGCAUACUUCUUGCCGAUCAAAGAAACAGACAAGAUGGAGAAGCUUACAAGAAGUUACAUAUGGGAGAUUGUACGACUGUACGGUGUUUCUAUAUCCAUUAUCUUGGACAGAGAUAGUAGAUUCACUUCGAUAUUUUGGCAGUCGUUACAAAGUUCCUUAGGAACUAGGUUGGACAUGAGUACAGCCUACCAUCCACAGACCAACGGGAAAAGUGAGAGACCUAUCCAAACCUUGGAAGAUAUGUUGCGAGCAUGUGUGAUGGACUUUGGGAAAGCAUGGGAUAGUCAUUUACCCCUUGUCUAAUUUUCGUACAACAACAGUUAUCACACGAGCAUAAAGGCUGCUCCAUGCGAGGCCCUCUAUGGCCGAAAGUGCAGAUCCCCUAUGUGCCAGGCUGAGGUGUGUGAUACCCAGUUAGCUAAAGGGCGAGUUCCUGACAACACUCUCAUAGCUCCGGAGAUCAUACGGGAAACGACAGAGAAGAUCGUUCAGAUUCGUGAACAAUUGAAAGCCUUUAGAGACCGACAAAAAAGCUACGCUGAUAAACGAAGAAAAUCAUUGGAAUUCCAGGUGGGCGACCGUGUUCUUUUGAAGGUCUCACCCUGGAAGGGCUUGAUACGCUUCGGAAAGCGUGGAAAGCUAAAUCCAAGGUAUAUAAGGCCUUUUGAGAUUCUCACAAGAAUCGAACUUGUAGCUUACAAACUUAACUUACCACGCGGAGUCAGUAACGUACAUUCUACAUUCCACGUCUCAAACUUAAAAAAGUGUCUGGCCGACGAGACUCUUGUUAUCCCACUCGACGAUAUCGAGAUCAAUGAGAGCCUCAACUUCGUGGAAGAACCAGUAGAGAUCAUGGACCGAGUGGUCAAUCAAACGAAGCAGAGCCGUAUCCCUAUAGUGGAGAUUCGUUGGAACGCCAAGCGAUGACUUGAAUUCACUUGGGAGCGAGAGGAUCAGAUGAAACUAAAAUAUCCUCUUCUUUUUACUUAGUUAUUUGUAACUACUUAUUUUCUUAAGCUCUAAUUUCGGGACAAAAUUCGUUCUAACGGGGGGAUGAUGUGACAACCCGAAAUUUCUAUUAUGUAAAACAUUUCAAUUCAAUAGAAGUCAAAACUGUUGCUGCUAAUUUUCAAGCUUUUGGAAUAAGUUUGAGUAUUUUAAGAUUAGCGAUUUAGGAGAUAUUAGGAGGGAGGAUGCUCUAGGGUUUAUUGUGCAACAAUAAUACCCCAAUGAUCCAAGAGUUUGGAGUUUACGGCCUAAACAAAGGUGUUUUAGGUCGUAAACCCUAAAUUGGGGGUAUUGAAGUGACACUUAGUCAUUAUUUACCCUUUUUCACAAAAUGAAGAUCCAAAUCUCAAUUCUCUCUCAUGUAUCAUCCAACAAUUCUUUAAGAUCUUCAACUUGUAAGUGUUUCUAGCCCUAUUAAGUUGAUAUAUUACUUAAUCUAGUGAUCUAACACACAUCCAUCCGUGAAAUCAUUCCAAAAGGUUAGAUCUUGAAGUUUCACCAAGAACACCAAGAACACACACUAGUGUUCUUGGACUUUUAGCACCUUUUCAAGCCUCUAUCUUGUAAGUACUUCUAUCCUAGAGUAUCUUAAGGCAUGUUACACUUCCUUACAUCAAGAAAACACCCAAGAAACCAAGGAUCAAAGGUGUUUACUGUUCGAGAUGUUCUUGAACCGUAAACCCUAUAAAGGGUGCCAAAGUGUGCCCUAGUCCCUCCUAAGCCCUGGAAACUUGCAUAGAUCCAUUCCUUGAUGAGUUAAGGGUUUGAAAACAUCAAAAAAACAUAAAACAUAAGGGUUUACGACUGUAAACCUAAAAGGAAAUGGUCCAAGAACCGUAAACUCCAGUUAAGAGUGAAAGAGUGCCCUAAUCCCUUCCAUAGGCUUAUACUUCAAGUAGUAAUGCUUCUAAGGACUUCUAGAGAUUCAAAACAACUCAUGGUCAAGGAAGCAUGAGUUUACGACCAUAAAAUCAUGAGUUUACAACCGUAAACUCAUGAGUUUACGACCGUAAACUCAAUGAAUGAUGGUCACAAAACCAUAAACUCAUAUUAGGGGUUUCCUUUGAACCCUAAACUCAAUAGCAAUGUCCUACAACACUUAGAUGCAAUCUUUGGGACUUAUAACACUUAUAUAAGGUGUUUAGUAUGUCCUAGGAUGUCUUAACUUUGUUGAUUAGUUGUUUUAAGAAUAAUUGGAUUCUUAUAUGUGGUAUUAUAUGUUAACUAGGAUCCUUGUGUGUGUUCAAGACUUCAGUUGACACCUAGCAAUCCUGUUUCAUCAGUUCAUCCAUACCACUCACUACAGGUGAGUUCAUACCCUUUAAAUUGACCUUUUAAAUGUAUUUAAAUGCUUUUAUGGNGUUUAAAUUAUUUUAAUUUUUUUUGGGGGGGGGGGGGGGAAUACAAGUUGAAUCAUUUUAGUUAUUAUAUCAAUCACAUGUGAUUAAUAACUACCAAGCUAGUGGUUUUCUUACUUUUCAAACUGUGAUAUCAAACUGUUUUGCUUCAAACUAUUUUACAAACUCUUUUGCUUGUCAAAUACUUUUACUUAAACUCUUUUUAUACUUUUAUAUUGUCAAAUGCAUGCCUAUGUAUGUAUAGUUAUAUAAGUUGUUUAAAGGACUUAGGAAGGGUAGCUCGCUUUAUCUCCUUUUCCUCGUUGGGAUGUGGCUUUAGGGCAUCGGUUAUCCGUCCGAAGGUCGUCUAAAUAUUAGUUAUAUAUUAUGUAUACAUAUAUAGACAUAAAAGUUCUAUCAGUCAAUUCAACACCCUUGGGUACCAAGGGUAUACGUUCAUAUUCAUACGUACAAGUCAUAUUACUUGUAAACUACGAUAGGCGUAGUUUAGGAAGUUACUAAUACUAUUACUAGAACAAAGAAUCAUACAAUGAGUCAGUUCAUUCAUGAGUCAAUAAUUGCUAGAUAGAGAGAACACACAAUACAACUAGUACACACAAUACAUUUCAAUACUUGCUUGAUAGAGAGAGAGAACACACAAUACAGCUAGUUCAUGCAGAACAUUACAAUACAUACAAGCUAGACAGAGGGAUAACAUACAAUAUAGCUAACACAUUCAUUACAUAUACAUUCAUGCAGUUAUGUGAGCCAUUAAACGGGGCAUGGCACUACCUGCCAUGACCGUUUUUGUAUCCAGAAUCUCCUUAAUUAGGGAGCGUAUGAGUUUGCAUAUAGAUCUAUAUUGGAUUGACUAUCCUACACCUUGCUGCUCGCUACAGUGGCACUUGCAAGUCUACGGGUGCCAAAUGGCAUUUCUUACGACGUCUUACAUCGUCGUUUUACUAUACUCGGUAGUAGGAUAUAGGCUGAUCACAUGUUACUUUAAAUUACAUUUGGUUUAAGGUAGUUAGUACAACAGUAGUUACUUAUUACAAUACUACAGUACUAUAAUAUUUUCCCAUUACAUUCCCUUCGUGAACAUUCACACGAUGUGCGGUAAUGAAAAAAUUAUAUUUUUGUUUAAUGAUAGUCGGAUUUGGGAAAAUACACAGUCUUACUAGAGACAGACACAGACACUAGAUGUCUUGGUAGAAGGCUACUUUUGGUAGGAAACAUAGGGUUUUCUAGGAGAGUUCAAAACAUCUUACAAAACAUCUUACAAAUACUUUCUUACAAAUCAGACACUAAUAUACUUAUGAUCUCACCAGCUUUAAAGUUGAUACUCUCUUUAAAAAUAACUUGUAUUCUUAGGUCACCAGUAGACAGGUACCAGUGCCAGGUUUUGAGAAGAUGGCGCUCGUUCAAGACUCAUCUUUUAUUUUGAUAUACAUAUAUUUGGUGUCUAUAUAACUUGACAGAACGAACUUGUAUGAAACUAUAUUAUUAAUGCAAUGGAUGAUGUUGUUGCUUGUUUACUACAAUUCAUUGUUGUGAUAUUGUACAUGAUGUCCUCCGCCCCAGAACAUUUCCGCUGUACAUGGUUUUGGGGUGUGACAGGAUAGAGUACACCGGUGAACAUCAAGCCCACAACACCUACACGUCAUGAACCUGCUAGCGUUCCACAAGACAGUCUAGAAAGAGUCUGUGGUCAUCAUCCAUACUCCGCUAGAUGACUAGAUUAACAACAUCAACAUCGAGGCCUCUCAUCAGUUUAUCACACGACAACUAUCUACCCAAGUUCUACCCCACAUUUUGUAGAUAUCAAUAUACAUAUGCAACUUAAAAAACUGGUAAAAUAUUCGUUUAAUACUCUUUCCAAAUAUACAGAUUCAUUCCAAGUAACAGAUAAUAUAUAUCUAUAUACACAUAGCACGUAUUUACUAGGAGAUACUUUAUAUCUAUAUGUUUGAAGAAAAGGAAUAUACACUCACUUGAUCAGAAGAUGAUUAGACAACACUACAACUUUAAAAGUAGUAUUCUUCGGUAAAUCUGAAAGAUCUUCACACACCGGGCUUCUCGCAGGAAGAGCUUCGGCUCAGAAACUUUUUUCUUCUCGGGAUCUUCGGGCUUCAGGACAUGCUUUAGGUCUCGGGAUGAUACUGUAUAACUCCUGUGUUUUGGGGCUAAGCAGUUUAGAUGAUGUAAUACUCUAGGUCAACUAUUGUAACUCUUUUUAAAGUUGUAAAGAUGAUUUUUUUGAAUAUUAUGUGAAUUAUGUGAAUUUAUAUGCUUAUUACUUAUUUAUAAAUGUGUAAUAAAUGAAGAAUAAAAAUAAGCAUAAAAAUUAAAGUGUGAGACAAGCCCUAUUUCUUUACAUAAAUUUAUAGUGGCCGAAACAAGGAUUCUGGGGAUAUAAAGAAUGUCGAAAUCCGAGUUAUAACGAAGAAGUUAUGGUCUGUCGAAGUUUUAGGGCAAAACCGGCACGACACCGGGAAGCGUAAAUAGUGAAUUGAUGAUAGAAGACUUUUUAGCCUUAUUUAUCUAAAUAAAAUUUGUAGUAUAUGUUAAACCGUGAACAUACAAAAAAAAAAAAAAAAAAAAGAACGCCCAAAUCUGACUUUGUAUGUGGAAGUUAUGAAUUUCUAAGAUUUGGCUUAACAGUACACGACCCGAAACUCGAAUUUUAGAUCGAGCAUUUUUUGUCCUACGCGACCUAAAUAAGAAUUGAAGAU
rnacentral:lncRNA from 1 species